rnacentral:lncRNA from 1 species
GUGCUUCCCGGAGGGCAUUGACAUCUACUUCGAGAACGUGGGUGGUGCAAUGCUGGAUGCGGUGCUUCUCAACAUGAGGCUGCACGGGCGGGUGUCGGUGUGCGGGAUGAUCUCGCAGUACAACCUGGAGCAGCUCGAGGGCGUGCACAACCUCUUCAGCAUCGUCGCCAAGCGCAUCCGCAUGGAGGGGUUCAUCGUGAUGGAUCACUACGGCAGCUACAGAAAGUUCGAAGAGGAGAUGGCCGGCUACCUCAAGGAAGGGAAGAUCACCUACGUGGAGGACGUUGCCGAGGGGAUCGAGAGCUUCCCAUCUGCGCUCAUCGGGCUCUUCUACGGGCGCAACAUCGGAAAGCAGCUGGUGGCCGUCGCACGAGAGUGACGUCGCAUGCCAGGAGCCCUCCUGGAUCGAGAAGUACUGAUGUGCGUUCAGAGACCAGAAUUCAGAUAUAUAUGGAGAGGUACUUAGUCCGGUUUGCUGGAUUCAGCAUGCUUUGAGACAGUGUUUUCAGAAAGUUGGAGAAAACAGAAUCCUACUUAGGUGAACCAGGAAGUUGGAAUGAACUACUGUAUAAUCUUUAGCAUUUUUAAAAAGGGAAGUUGAUGCUGCUCAUCCCGCACUCUGGUCACAGCCAUGGUUUUCAAUUUCAGUUUCAGAAAAAUUUCAGCAUCAACCGAAAUCACUGAAAUUCAGUGAAUUUCAGUGAUUUCAGUUUCCAUUUCAGCCAAAUGACCGAAAUAUUCACUUGAAUUCAAUUAAAAAUUUGAAAAAAUUUAAAAAUAUUUCGAAAAAUAUUGGAAUUAUUCUGCUAUGCUGAAAUUGCUGAAAUAUUUUGGCCGAAACGUAAUAUUUCAGUGUUUGCUGAAAUGACUGAAAUUCAGCGAAUUUCACUGAAAUCUCACUGAAAGUGAAAACCAUGGUCACAGCCCAGCAAAGUGCCAGUUUAGGUGAUGCAUUAUAACACACGCAAAUUUUGGAUUACGAAAAGAGCACAAUUCCUUCAUCUGCACAGGGCUGUUCACAGGGAAAUCAAUGACCAUGACUUGUGGGGCUAGGUUAGCUACCGAAGAGAACAUUUAGGCCCUCUUUGAUUAGCAGGAAUUUCAAAACGCAGAUCAGGAGAAAUACAUAAUCGGGAUGACAUGCCCACUUCAUUUCUAUAGGAUUAGCAAACCACAGGAAUUUGCAGAUAGUGCCAGAUGGCACACAAAAAACAAAGGAAUUGUAAAAAGACAUUGGAGUGGAUGCUAGAUUUUUAUGAAAUAUAGAUGUAGUACAAACAAUUCCAGAGGAAAGAAUCUUAUAAUGUCCAAUCCUACGAAUCAAACGACCAACAUAGAAAAAAUUCCUACGGAUUUUAAUCAUUCAAAAGCCCUAUGAAAUUCCUCUGAAUCAAAGGAGCCCUUAACUUGAAAUUACACGUAGAACAUUCGGUAAUUUAUGAUAACAAGCCAUCUAGAGCUCAAACAACAUGGCACUGGCUGCAGGGUUCCACAACAGUAAACUUUACAUUGGAGGGAACAGUUCCCUCAAUGUAUGUUCUGAUUGUGACGCGCUUUACGAGCUUCUAGGAUAGUAUCCCUCCUGAUGGGGAAGCGUUUGCCAAAUCUGCGGACAGAAGAAGAACAUCCGAGUGGAGUAUUUCCUUCUGAGGUGUCUAAUGUAAGAUACCGAAGCGACGUUGUACUCUCGAGAACAUGACAUGUUUUAUUAUGGGAACACCUCAUGGCAUUUUAUUCAAUUUGGGGUAAAGUAACAUCUUGGAGUACAAGAGGUAAAAGAAAAGCAGGCGUUACAUCUACCCAGUCCUCACAAAUUUUAGAAUCAUAGCAUCUUCUAGCAAGAAAAUGGGGUACUCCAUUGGCUUCUCUUGGACAGUGUUUGAAGUUGAUCCCCGGAAUGUUAUGCGCUAACAGAAAGCAAUCAGCUAGUAUCGCCGAGCGAGGGCUCCAGAUUUCCGAAUCUCCAUUGCAUGCUUGCACUAACUCAAGACAAUCAGACUCUACCUGUACAUUACGGCAGCCCAGUCUGUCCACCAGUUUUAAUCCACUCCAAGCUCAACCAAGCUCUUCCAAGAGGAGAACCCUUUUCACACUCUUGAGCUUAUCAUGUCGGUGCUUGGGUAUCUUCUGUUGGAAUAAUUGGGCCUAGCCCAUAUAAUAAUUCAUAUUUUCUGCCAAUAAUUCAAGGUAAAUCCCAUAGGCCGAUGUGGUCCAUUCAUGCAUGACAAGGUGGUGUGGAAAAUUGACCUAUGUCAUGUGUAUGCGCAGUUUUAUUUUUGUCACGCAAAGAAGUUGAAACAAUUGAUGCAUAAAUGCGAGAAGAAACUGAACACUUCAUUGGAUUUUGGUGCGCUUGUUUCUUCUCUUCUUAAUGGUGUUUAGUGCUUCCGUUUAAUGGUGUUUAUUGCGCCCGUUUAUCUUCUACUAAUGAGGGGUCAGUUUCAGCUCUUCUCGCGUAUAUAAGAGGUUGCUCAUGUACAGGUAAGAUGCACAACUCUUCGUCUCGUUCCAAAGCUUUGCGUCGCCAAUCUCUUUCCCAUCUCGCUUCCCGGCAUGCACCGGGGAGUGAGACAGUAGGCCUCCGAAACCCCGCCUCUUGUGAUCCGGCACGGGAGAGCAGAUAUUAAGUUUUUGGGGGAGUGCUUCCGCACGACUGUUGGAUCUUUGUUCAUCGUGGCUGCAAACGAUGACAUCCCCGACGACGAGUUUCCCAACGACGACUUCUUCCCCGAUGUCGAUGGCCUCUUCAAUGACAUGACGAAUGUCACGUCUACAUCUUCUGCUGCUGUUUCCUAUGGCACCUUAUCCUCUUUGUUAGGGAUAGCAUUUGGUUUACUGCAACUAAUGAUCGACAUGGAUAUGUUUCUUUUUGCUUAUGAUCCCAAUUGCAUGAUUAGUUUCAACAAUCAAUUGCAUGUCUCCAAUUGUUCUCUCUAUCAUGUUGAUCAUGUUUUACCUAUUGUUUUUCUGGAUUAAACUUAACAAAAAAAAUAUCUAAUUAUUCAACAAUCCAAAAACCUAAAAUGUGUAGGCAAUUUUCUCCUAUUGCUUUUGUUGCAACUCCCAAGCCCGCACCGUUUGAGGGUGUGAACUAUAAGAGGUGGUGUGCGAGGGCACUUCUUUGGCUUAUCACCAUGAACUGUUUUCAUGCCUCUAAAGGCAUGCCAGAGGGAGAGCCAGGGCCGGGCCGGCAAAAUCUAGGGCCCUGUGCGAAACUAAAAAUGAGGCCCUGUCUCACUAGAAUAAAUGUGUUGGGGAACGCGGUAAUUUCAAAAAAAUUCCUACGAUCACGCAAGAUCUAUCUAGGUGAUGCAUAGCAACGAGAGGGGAGAGUGUGUCCACGUACCCUCGUAGACCGAAAGCGGAAGCGUUAUGUAACGUGGUUGAUGUAGUCGAAUGUCUUCGCGAUCCAACUGAUCAAGUACCGAACGCACGGCACCUCCGCGAUCUGCACACGUUCAGCUCAGUGACGUCCCUCGAACUCUAGAUCCAGCUGAGGCCGAGGGAGAGUUCCGUCAGCACGACGGCGUGGUGACGGUGAUGAUGAAUUUACCGGCGCAGGGCUUCGCCUAAGCACUACGACGAUAUGGUCGAGGUGUGUAACUGUGGAGGGGGCACCGCACACGGCUGAAAGAUCAACUUGUGUCCUAUUGGGGUUCCCCCUGGCCAUGUAUAUAAAGGAGGGAGGGAGAGAGGAGGCCGGCUAGGUUGGGCGCGCCAGGUGGGAGUCCUACUUGGACUCCUAGUCCAAGUAGGAUCCCCCCUUUUCCUUUCUUCCACCGGAGGGAAAGGGAAGGGAGAGAGAGGGAGAAGGAAAGAGGGAGGCCGGCCCCCUCCCCUAGUCCAAUUCGGUUUGCGCAAGGGGAGGGCGCGCCCCUCCCUUGUGGCCUCUCUCCUCUCCUCCAAUAAGGCCCAAUAGGCCCAUUACUUCUCCCGGGGGGUUCCGGUAACCUCCCGGUACUCCGGAAAAAUGCCCAAACCACUCGAAACCAUUCUGAUGUCCAAAUGCAACCUUCCAAUAUAUGAAUCCUUAUGUCUCGAACAUUUUGAGACUCCUCGUCACGUCUGUGGUCUCAUCCGGGAAUCCGAACAAACUUCGGUCAUCAAAUCACAUAACUCAUAAUACAAAUCAUCAUUGAACGUUAAGCGUGCAGACCCUACGGGUUCGAGAACUAUGUAGACAUGACCGAGACACAUCUCCGGUCAAUAACCAAUAGCGGAACCUAGAUGCUCAUAUAGGCUCCUACAUAUUCUACGAAGAUCUUUAUCGGUCAAACCGCAUAACAACAUAUGUUGUUUCCUUUGUCAUCGGUAUGUUAAUUGCCUGAGAUUCGAUUGUCGGUAUCAUCAUACCUAGUUCAACCUCGUUACCGGCAAGUCUCUUUACUCGUUCCGUAGUGCAAUAACCCAUAACUAACUCAUUAGUCACAUUGCUUGCAAGGCUUCAUAUGAUGUGCAUUACCGAGAGGGCCCAGAGAUACCUCUCUGAAACACGGAGUGACAAAUCCUAAUCUUGAUCUAUGCCAACCCAACAAACACCUUCAGAGACACCUAUAGAGCACCUUUAUAAUCACCCAUUUACGUUGUGACGUUUGGUAGCACACAAAGUGUUCCUCCGGUAUUAGUGAGUUGCAUAAUCUCAUAGUCCGAUGAACACGUAUAAGUCAUGAAGAAAGCAGUAGCAAUGAAACUGUAACGACCAUAAUGCUAAGCUAACGGAUGGGUCAUGUCCAUCACAUCAUUCUCCUAAUGAUGUGAUCCCGUUCGUCAAAUGACAACAUAUGUCUAUGGUUAGGAAACAUAACCAUCUUUGAUUAACGAGCUAGUCAAGUAGAGGCAUACUAGGGACACUAUGUUUUGUCUAUGUAUUCACACAUGUACUAAGUUUUUGGUUAAUACAAUUCUAGCAUGAAUAAUAAACAUUUAUCAUGAAAUAAGGAAAUAAAUAAUAACUUUAUUAUUGCCUUUAGGGCAUAUUUCCUUCAGUCUCCCACUUGCACUAGAGUCAAUAAUCUAGUUCACAUCGCCAUGUGAGUUAACAUCAAUAGUUCACAUCUGUAUGUGAUUAAGACCUAUAUUUCACAUCGCCAUGUGACCAACAACCAAAGGGUUUACUAGAGUCAAUAAUCUAGUUCACAUUGCUAUGUGAUUAACACCCAAAGAUUACGAAGGCCUGAUCAUGGUUUGCUUAUGAGAGAAGUUUAGUCAACGGGCCUGUCACAUUCAGAGCCGUAUGUAUUUUGCAAAUAUUCUAUGUCUACAAUGCUCUGUAUGGAGCUACUCUAACUAAUUGCUCCCACUUUCAAUAUGUAUCCAGAUUGAGACUUAGAGUCAUCUGGAUCGGUGUAAAAGCUUGCAUCGACGUAAAUCUUUACGACGAACUCUUUAUCACCCCCAUCACCGAGAAACAUUUCCUUAGUCCUCAAUAAGGAUAAUUUUGACCGCUGUCUAGUGAUAUACUUCUAGAUCACUAUUGUACCCCCUUGACAAACUCAUGGCAAGGUACACAAUAGUUCUGUACAUAGCAUAGCAUACUUUAUAGAACAUAUGACUGUGGCAUAGGGAAUGACUUUCAUUCUCUUUCUAUCUUCUGUCGUGGUCCGGCUUUGAGUCUUACUCAACUUUACACCUUGUAAUACAUACAAGAACUCCUUCUUUGACUGAUCCAUUUUGAACUCUUUCAAAAACUUGUGAAGGUAUUUAUUCAUGGAAAAAUCUUAUCAAGCGUAUUGAUCUAUCUCUAUAGAUCUUGAUGCCCAAUAUGUAAGCAGCUUCACCAAGGUCUUUAUUGAGAAACUCUUAUUCAAGUAUCCUUUUAUGCUAUCCAGAAAUUCUAUAUCAUUUCCAAUCAACAAUAUGCCAUCCAUAUAUAAUAUUAGAAAUGCUACAGAGCUCCCACUCACUUUCUUGUAGAUACAGGCUUCUCCAAAAGUCUGUAUAAAACCAUAUGCUUUGAUCACACUAUCAAAGCGUUUGUUCUAACUCUGAGAGGCUUGCACCAGUCCAUAAAUGGUUCGCUAGAGCUUGCACACUUUGUUAGCAUCCUUUGGAUCGACAAAACCUUCUGGUUGCAUCAUAUACAACUCUUCUUCCAAAAAACCAUUCAGGAAUGCAGUUUUGACAUCCAUCUUCCAAAUUUCAUAAUCAUAUAAUGCAACAAUCGCUAACAUGAUUCAGACAGACUUAAGAAUCUCUAUGGGUGAGAAAGUCUCAUCAUAGUCAACUCCUUGAACUUGUCGAAAACCUUUUGCGACAAGUCGAGCUUUCUAGAUAGUAACACCACUAUCAGCGUCCAUCUUCCUCUUGAAGAUCCAUUUAUUCUUAAUGGCUUGCCGAUCAUCGGGCAAGUCCACCAAAGUCCACACUUUGUCCUCAUACAUGGAUCCCAUCUCAGAUUUCAUGGCCUCCAGCCAUUUCGCGGAAUCUGGGCUCAUCAUCGCUUCCUCAUAGUUCGUAGGUUCAUCAUGGUCUAGUAACAUGAAUUUCAGAACAGGACUACCAUACCACUCUAGUGCGGACCAUACUCUGGAAGACAUACGAGGUUCUGUAGUAAUUUGAUCUGAAGUUUCAUGAUCAUCAUCAUUAGCUUUCUCACUAAUUGGUGUAGGAAUCACUGGAACUGAUUUCUGUGAUGAACUACUUUCCAAUUCGGGAGAAGGUAUAAUUACCUCAUCAAGUUCUACUUUCCUCCCACUCACUUCUUUCGAGAGAAACUCCUUCUCUAGAAAGGAUCCAUUCUUAGCAAUGAUCUUGCCUUCGGAUCUGUGAUAGAAGGUGUACCCAACAGUUUCCUUUGGGUAUCCUAUGAAGACGCACUUCUCCAAUUUGGGUUCGAGCUUAUCAGGUUGAAACUUUUUCACGUAAGCAUCGCAACCCCAAACUUUAAGAAACGACAACUUUGGUUUCUUGCCAAACCACAGUUCAGAAGGUGUCGUCUUAACAGAUUUUGAUGGUUCCCUGUUUAAAGUGAAUGCAGAUGUCUCUAAUGCAUAAUCCCAAAAUGAUAGUGGUAAAUUGUAAGAGACAUCAUAGAUUGCACCAUAUCUAAUAAAGUGCGGUUUACGAUGUUCGGACACACCAUUACGCCGUGGUGUUCCAGGUGGCGCGAGAUGUGAAACUAUUCUACAUUGUUUUAAAUGAAGGCCAAACUCGUAACUCAAAUAUUCAACUCUACGAUCAGAUCGUACAAACUUUAUUUUCUUGUUACGAUGAUUCUCCACUUCACUCUAAAAUUCUUUGAACUUUUCAAAUGUUUCAGACUUGUGUUUCAUUAAGUAGAUAUACCCAUAUCUACUCAAAUCAUCUGUGAAGGUCAUAAAAUAAUGAUACCCGCCACGAGCCUCAACACUCAUUGGACCGCAUACAUCGGUAUGUAUUAGUUCCAAUAAGUCAGUAGCUCGUUCCAUUGUUCCGGAGAACGGAGUUUUAGUCAUCUUGCCCAUAAGGCACGGUUCGCAAGUAUCAAGUGAUUCAUAAUCAAGUGAUUCCAAAAGUCCAUCUUUACGGAGUUUCUUCAUGCGCUUUACACCGAUAUGACCCAAACAGCAGUGCCACAAAUAAGUUGCACUAUCAUUAUCAACUUUGCAUCUUUUGGCAUCAAUAUUAUGAAUAUGUGUAUUACCCUGAUCAAGAUUCAAUAGUCCAUCAACAUUGGGUGUAUGACCAUAGAAGGUUUUAUUCAUGUAAACAGGAUAACAAUUAUUCUCUAUCUUAAAUGAAUAACCAUAUUGCAAUAAACAUGAUCUAAUCAUAUUCAUGCUUUAACGCAAACACCAAGUAACAUUAGGUUCAACACUAAUCCCGAAAGUAUAGGGAGUGUGCGAUGAUGAUCAUAUCAAUCUUGGAACCACUUCCAACAUACAUCGUCACUUCAUCCUUAACUAGUCUCUAUUUAUUCUGUAACUCCUGUUUCGAGUUACUAAUCUUAGCAACCGAACAAGUAUCAAAUACCCAGGGGCUACUAUGAACACUAGCAAGGUACACAUCAAUAACCUGUAUAUCAAAUAUACCUUUGUUCACUUUCCCAUCCCUCUUUUCCACCAAAUAUUUGGGGUAGUUCCGCUUCCAGUGACCAUUUCCUUUGAAGUAGAAGCACUUAGUUUCAGGCUUAGGUCUAGCUUCGGGCUUCUUCACGGGAGUGACAACCUGCUUACCAUUCUUCUUGAAGUUCCCUUUCUUUCCCUUUGACCUUUACUUGAAACUAGUAGUCUUGUUUAAUCAUCAACACUUGAUGCUUUUCCUUGAUUUCUACCUUCGUCGAUUUUAGCAUCACGAAGAGCUCGCGAAUUUCUUUUGUCAUCCCUUGCAUAUUAUAGUUCAUCACGAAGUUCCAGUAACUUGGUGAUGGUGACUAGAGAACUCUGUCAAUCACUAUCUUAUCUGGAAGAUUAACUCCCACUUGAUUCAAGUGAUCAUUGUACCCAGACAAUAUGAGCACAUGCUCACUGCUUGAGCUAUUCUCCUCCAUCUUUUAGCUAUAGAACUUGUUGGAGACUUCAUAUCUGUCAACUCAGGUAUUUGCUUGAAAUAUUAACUUCAACUCCUGGAACAUCUCAUAUGGUCCAUGACGUUUAAAACAUCUUUGAAGUCUCGAUUCUAAGCUGUAAAGCAUGGUGCACCAAACUAUCAAGUAGUCAUCAUAUUGAGCUAGCCAAACAUUCAUAACGUCUGCAUCUGCUGGUGCAAUAGGUCUGUCACCUAGCGGUGCAUCAAGGACAUAAUUCUUCUGUGCAGCAAUGAGGAUAAACCUCAAAUUACGGACCUAGUCCGCAUCAUUGCUACUAUCAUCUUUCAACUUAGUUUUCUCUAGGAACAUAUAAAAACAUAGGGAAGCAACAACGCGAGCUAUUGAUCUACAACAUAAUUUGCAAAAUACUAUCAGGACUAAGUUCAUGAUAAAUUAAAGUUCAGUUAAUCAUAUUACUUAAGAACUCACACUUAGAUAGACAUCCCUCUAGUCAUCUAAAUGAUCACGUGAUCCAUAUCAAGUAAACCAUGUUCGAUCAUCACAUGAGAUGGAAUAGUUUUCAAUGGUGAACAUCUCUAUGUUGAUCAUAUCUACUAUAUGAUUCACGCUCGACCUUUCGGUCUCCAGUGUUCCGAGGCCAUAUCUGCAUAUGCUAGACUCGUCAAGUUUAACCCGAGUAUUCUGCAUGUGCAAAACUGGCUAGCACUCGUUGUAUGUGAACGUAGAGCUUAUCACACCCGAUCAUCACGUGGUGUCUCAGCACGAAGAACUGUAGCAACGGUGCAUACUCAGGGAGAACACUUAUACCUUGAAAUUUAGUAAGGGAUCAUCUUAUAAUGCUAUCGCCGUACAAAGCAAAAUAAGAUGCAUAAAAGAUAAACAUCACAUGCAAUCAAAAUAUGUGACAUGAUAUGGCCAUCAUCAUCUUGUGCUCAUGAUCUCCAUCACCGAAGCAUCAUCAUGAUCUCCAUCUUCACCGGCGCGACACCUAGCAUCAUUGUCGUCUCGCCAACUAUUGUUACUACGACUAUCACCACCGCUUAGUGACAAAGUAAAACAAUUACAUGGCGAUUGCAUUGCAGACAAUAAAGCGACAACCAUAUGGCUCCUGCCAGUUGCCGAUAACUUUGUUACAAAACAUGAUCAUCUCAUACAAAAAUUUAUAUCACAUCAUGCCUUGACCAUAUCACAUCACAGCAAGCCCUGCAAAAACAAGUUAGACAUCCUCUACUUUGUUGUUGCAAGUUUUACGUGGCUGCUACGGGUUUCUAGCAAGAACCGUUCUUACCUAUGCAUCAAAACCACAACAAUUUUUUGUCAAGUGUGAUGUUUUAACCUUCAACAAGGAAUGGGCGUAGCCACACUCGAUUCAACUAAAGUUGGAGAAACAGACACCCGCCAGCCACCUAUGUGCAUAAGCAUCUUGGUAGAACCAGUCUCAAGAACGCGGUCAUGUAAUGUCGGUCCGGGCUACUUCAUCCAACAAUACCGCCGAAUCAAAGUAUGACAUGCUGGUAAGCAGUAUGACUAUUAUCGCCCACAACUCUUUGUGUUCUACUCGUGCAAAUAACAUCUACGCAUAGACCUGGCUCGGAUGGCACUGUUGCGGAACACCGUAAUUUCAAAAAAAUUCCUACGAUCACGCAAAAUCUAUCUAGGUGAUGCAUAGCAACGAGAGGGGAGAGUGUGUCCAUGUACCCUCGUAGACCGAAAGCAGAAGCGUUAUGUAACGCAGUUGAUGUAGUCGGACGUCUUCGCGAUCCAACCGAUCAAGUAUCGAACACGCGGCACCUCCGUGAUCUGCACACGUUCAGCUCGGUGACGUCCCUCGAAAUCUAGAUCCAUCUGAGGCCGAGGGAGAGUUCCGUCAGCACGACGGCGUGGUGACGGUGAUGAUGAAGUUACCGGCGCAGGGCUUCGCCUAAGCACUACGAUGAUAUGGUCGAGGUGUGUAACUGUGGAGGGGGGCACCGCACAUGACUGAAAGAUCAAAUUGUGUCUUAUUGGGGAGCCCCCUGGCCACGUACAUAAAGGAGGGAGGGAGAGAGGACGCCGGCCAGGUUUGGCGUGCCAGGGGGGAGUCCUACUUGGACUCCUAGUCCAAGUAGUAUUCGGCCCCCCCUUUUCCUUUCUUCCACUAGAGGGAAAGGGAAGGGAGAGAGAGGGAGAAGGAAAGAGGGAGGGGUAGCCCCCUCCCCUAGUCCAAUUCUGUUUGGGCAAGGGGAGGGUGCACCCCUCCCUUGUGGCCUCUUCCCUCUCCUCCAAUAAGGCCUAAUAGGCCCAUUACUUCUCCCGGGGGGUUCCGGUAACCUCCCGGUACUCCGGAAAAAUGCCCGAACCACUCGGAACCAUUCCGAUGUCCAAAUGCAACCUUCCAAUAUAUGAAUCUUUAUGUCUUGACCAUUUCGAGACUCCUCGUCAUGUAUGUGAUCUCAUCCGGGACUUCGAAUAAACUUCGGUCAUCAAAUCACAUAACUCAUAAUACAAAUCAUCAUCGAACGUUAAGUGUGCGGACCCUACGGGUUCGAGAACUAUGUAGACAUGACCGAGACACAUCUCCGGUCAAUAACCAAUAGCAGAACCUGGUUGCUCAUAUUGGCUCCUACAUAUUCUACGAAGAUCUUUAUCGGUCAAACCGCAUAACAACGUACGUUGUUCCCUUUGUCAUCAGUAUGUUACUUGCCCGAGAUUUGAUCGUCGGUAUCAUCAUACCUAGUUCAAUCUCGUUACCGGCAAGUCUCUUUACUCGUUCCAUAGUGCGUCAACCCGUAACUAACUCAUUAGUCACAUUUCUUGCAAGGCUUCAUAUGAUGUGCAUUACCAAGAGGGCCCAAAGAUACCUCUCAGAAACACGGAGUGACAAAUCCUAAUCCCGAUCUAUGCCAACUCAACAAACACCUUCGGAGACACCUGUAGAGCACCUUUAUAAUAACCCAUUUACUUUGUGACGUUUGGUAGCACACAAAGUGUUCCUCUGGUAUUCGGGAGUGGCGUAAUCUCACAGUCUGAGGAACAUGUAUAAGUCAUGAAAAAAGCAGUAGCAAUGAAACUGUAACGAUCAUAAUGCUAAGCUAACGAAUGGGUCAUGUCCAUCACAUCAUUCUCCUAAUGAUGUGAUCCCAUUCAUCAAAUGACAACAUAUCUAUAUGGUUAGGAAACAUAACCAUCUUUGAUUAACGAGCUAGUCAAGUAGAGGCAUACUAGGGACACUAUGUUUUGUCUAUGUAUUCACACAUGUACUAAGUUUCUAGUUAAUACAAUUCUAGCAUGGAUAAUAAACAUUUAUCAUGAAAUAAGGAAAUAAAUAAUAACUUUAUUAUUGCAUCUAGGGCAUAUUUCCUUCAAAAUGAACUAUCGAGCAAUUAUAAAGUAUGUGAUAUAAUGUUUGACAUAACAAUUUUGUACUACUGAAACACAAGAUACAAAAGAUGAAUAGAAUAAAAUAAAAUAAGAUAAAAGUGAUACGGCAGCAGACAACAAUUUAAGAUUAUAUGUGAAUGUUUGGCAAUUAAACAGACCAUCUUACUCACCUAGUCUCAUGUUCUGUUCGGCUGAACUGCUAUAAUGUGUUCACUAAUCGAGGAGGCAUCAUGCAAGAACCUAUCUCUCUAAUGAUCCCUGCAAAAAGUUAACUAGAAAAUGGAAAUUAAGUUAAUAGGAGUAGAAUUAGGAGUAGAAGCUAGUAGUAUUCCUCUCUGACUCUCAGAGAACCCAAGAUCAUGAGAGGAAAAUCGAUGGAUGCAUAGUUGCGAACCAAUGAGGACUUUACUGUAUGAGCAAUGCCAAAACUAUCGUACUAUGGUCUCCUCAUCCUACCUUUGACUAUACCUUCCACCCUGUCGGCCGUGGUGGCGGCAUCGGAUCUGGAAGUCUCGAGGAUGCGCAUGCGCCGGAUGCGAUCGAGCUAGCAGAACUGAACACCAUCAUUCGUUUUCCCAUCGAGCAGAUCAACUUUUUACUUUUUGAGGGGAGGUCGAUGUAUCGAGCAGAUCAACAUGCUCUGGCGGCUGGCAUCCAGCGAUCGAUGCAUCGAGGCAUCGAGGAGCGGCCUGGGACGCUCGAGCAGCGACCUGGUGGACUCACGCGCGGGGGGAGUAACGCGCCAGUGGGCAGCGGCCCGGCUCUAUGUGUAGCCCAACACCUCAUGAACAAUAUGUACGUACACAUAGGCAUAUAAAUUUUUUGAGGCCCCUCAAAUGUAUGAGCCCUAUGCGGGCCACACAGUUCGUACAACUAUGGGCCUGACCCUGGGGAGAGCUGACUGCUGAGCAGAAGCAAGGUUUCCAAGCUACAGACACCCUCUUCAGAGGUGCUGCACUGAGUGUUCUUGGUGACAAGAUUGCUGACCCAUUCAUGACCAUCAUGGUCGGUAAUGAUAUGUGGGAUGCACUUGAGGCCAAGUUUGGGGUCACAGACGCAAAAAGUAAGUUGUAUAUCAUGGAACAAUAUCAUGACUACAAGAUGACUGAUGAGCGCUCUGUUGUUGAUCAGGCUCAUGAGAUUCAAUCACUCAUUAAAGAACUUGAGCAUCGCAAACGUGUGUUACCGGACAAAUUCAUUUCCAAGAUUCCACCUUCGUGGAGGAAUUUUGCUACCUUUCUCGAGCACAAGAGGCAAGAGUCUACUGUUGUCAAUCUUAUUGGCACUUUUGAUGUGGAAGAGAAGGUGAGGGCAAAAGAUGCACGUGCUCGUUUCCAUGAAGGGAAUUCUAGUGCAAUUUGGUACAGAAGAAAAAUUUUCCAACCCCACAAACCGAAGAACAAAAACAACUAUGUGAGAAAAGGAAAGCGCGACGGCAAGAACAAAGUCCAACAGCCUCCCAACUUCAAGAAUAAGGAGACCUAUAAGAAGACACAAAAAUGCCAUGUAUGCGGCAGUGAGAAUCAUUAGGCUUGAUCCUACAAUGAUCGUUGGGACAUGCAUCAAAAUGACAACAACGGCAAGACCUCCAAUGUUUAUUGGCGAUGUUGAGAUGAAAUAUGCCGGGUAUGGUAAAUUUCCUACCGUUCUUUCACCAUGUCAUUCUCCUAAUUGGUGGAUUGACAGCGGUGCCAAUAUGCAUGUGUGUUCUGACAUCAACAUGUUUUCUUCUUAUCAGGUCGCAAGAACUACACCUAUGCUGAUGGGGACGUGUCCCAUGCUUCUGUUCAUGGUGUUGGUACAGUCGAUCUGAAGUUUACUUCGGGGAUCGCGCGACUGAAGCAUGUGCAGCAUGUCCCUUAUCUAUAAAUAAAUAUCUUGUUAGCGACUCUCGUUUGUGUUGAGAUGGCUAUAAGUUGGUGCUUGAGUCCAAUAAGGUUGUAGUGUCCAUGUGUGGACAAUUUCUUGGAAAGGGCUAUGAGAGCGGAAGCUUGUUUCGCUUAUCUUUUUCAGAAUUCUGCACUAAAGUUAUUAAUCAUGUUUGUGAAACUGAAUCAAAUGUUUGGCAUUCAUGACUUUGUCGUAUUAACUUUGGUUGCAUGAUUGAUGCAGCUAGAAAUUUGAGUUUAAUCCUGAAAUUCACAAUUGUCAAAGGUUCUAAGUGCCAAGUGUGUGUGCAAGCAAAGCAACCUUGCAAGUCUCAUAUGACUGCUGAAGAGAGGAAUUUUGCACCACUUGAACUCAUACAUUCAAAUCUUUGCGAGAUGAAUGGUGUGUCGACAAAAGGUGGAAAAAUAUAUUUUAUGACUCUGAUGGAUGGCUCUACUAGAUAUUACAUGAUAUAUCUGUUGAAACCACUUUAAAUCUAUAAAGCCGAAGCAGAGAAUCAAUUUGAUUGAAAGAUCAAAAGGCUUAGAUCGGAUCGUGGUGGAGAGUAUUUUUUUCAUCGAGUUCAAUUUAUUCUUUGAGGAACAUGGUAUAAUCCAUGAGAGGACGCCUCCCAAUUUUCGCCUGUCAAACAGGAUUCCCGAAGAAAAGAACCACACUCUAACUUAUUUGGUUAACGCCAUAUUAGACACAGUGGGAGCUUCCAAAGAAUGGUGGGGGCAGGCUUUAAUGACUACAAAUCAUGUCGUAAAAAGAGUUCCCAACAAAGAAUAAAGAGAUUACCCCAUUUGAGGAAUGGGGAAGGAAAAGGCUUAAGCUCUCAUACUUACGAACUUUGCAUUGUUUGGCUAAAGUCAACGUUGACGGUGUCCUGGAUUAGAGGGUACCAACCUAUACGAUCUGUUGUCCAUGGGUCAAGCUCACGGCACACCAAUCAUUACAAGGAAGGACUCUGGAAGCUCUAAACCUCGGGGUAAUCAAGACGGACACCUCCAAAGACUAGGCGUGCAAUCCAAGGAUAGCUCAAUAACCAACCUGAUGGCAACCAACCAUGUGUGUAACCUAGGUACCCCUGGUGCAUAUAUAAGCCAUGGCUUUAGUCUUUAGAGGCACGAUUACCAGCCUUAGGGUUUAGAACACAAUCAUACAAUCUCGAGGUAGAUCUUGUACCUUGUACUCCAUCACAUGAAUAUAAUCAAGGAGGACGUAGGGUUUUACCUCUUCAAGAGGGUCCGAACCUAGGUAAACAUCAUCUCUAGUUUCUCCCCCAUUACCAUUGUUCCUAGACCACCAGCUCAGGACCCCUACCUGAGAUCUGCUGGUUUUAGCCCCGACAUCGGUGGCCCAUACAGGUCCCAUUAUGUAGUAAAAGAGUAUCAAUGGCUCACCUUCAGAUCAAUAGUGACAUCGGUUGCGGGGGCAUUUUCGUCCUCGGGCAACUUUUCAUUUUCGGCAGUUUUGUCCUUCGUGCUGGUCUGACCGGUCACCUUGGCUAGGUCGAGAACUUCGCUCGGCAUCAGAUCAUCAGAUUUGGCAGUAUAGAAUGCACUAUGGACUCUCGUGGUGACCUCGCCUUCUCCGGCUGGAUGCUAGGACGACUAGAGGACCCCACUAGCACCCUGGCCUUGACCUCGGAUUCGACCCUAGAUCUGGAUCUUAGAUCAGGUCACACCUCGGAGCCAACUUUGAGUUAGGAUCCGACCUUUUUGGAACCAGACCAGGCCCUUGCUCUGGCUAAUCACCGCUCUGAAGACGUGUCGUACGCCUCAUCAAGCACGCUGCAGGUUAGCCACGCCCACAGUCAAGAGAUGGGCCCGACAGACCUCGCGCUUUUGAAUGAGAUGUUGGAUCGAAUCCAGAGUCUUGGUGAAAGGAUCGAUAUAGUUGACUAGAGGGGGGUGAAUAGGCAACUAACACUUUCUAAUCUUUUCUUCACAAAAUUAAACUUUGCAUCAAAGUAGGUUGUCUAGAUAUGGAACUAGGUGAGCAACCUAUAUGAUGAAACAACAAUUAGCACACAAGCAAGCAGGGGAUAUAACACAAAAAGCUUGCACAAGUAAAGGCACGUGAUAACCAAGAGUGGAGCCGGUGAAUACGAGGAUGUGUUACCGAAGUUCUUCCUUUUGACGGGAAGUAUACAUCUCUGUUAGAGUGGUGUGGAGGCACAAUGCUCCCCAAGAAGCCACUAGGGCCAUCGUAUUCUCCUCACACCCUCACACAAUGCGAGAUGCCGUGAUUCCACUAUUUGUGCCCUUGAAGGCGGCGACCGAACCUUUACAAACAAGGUUGGGGCUAUCUCCACAACUUAAUUGGAGGCUCCCAACGACACCACGAAGCUUCACUACAAUGGACUAUGGCUCCACGGUGACCUCAACCGUCUAGGGUGCUCAAACACCCAAGAGUAACAAGAUCCGCUAGGGAUUAGUGGGGGGAAUCAAAUUUCUCUUGGUGGAAGCGUAGAUCGGAGCCUUCUCACCCAAUCCCGAGCAAAUCAACAAGUUUGAUUGGCUAGGGAGAGAGAUCGAGCGAAAAUGGAGCUUGGAGCAACAAUGGAGCUUAGGGUUGGAAGAGGUAGUCAACUAGAGGAAGAAGACACCCCUUAUAUAGUGGAGAGACAAAUCCAGCCGUUAUCCACUUAGUCAGCCCGUGACUUGCGGUACUACCGCCCCAGACCAGCGGUACUACAACAAGGGAUCACGGUACUACCGUGGUGGACCACGGUACUACCGCUGCUACGGCAGGCGCUAGUCCAGGCCAGAGCCGCAAGGGCUGAGAGCGGUACUGCCGCUGGCGCGGUACUACCGCUCCCCCUUGCAGUACUACCGCAAGGCUAGAAUGGACUAGCCUGGGAAGGGCGCGGAUGAAUAAAAAUACAUCCGUGCCUACUUCUGCUAAAAAUCAGAUCUUGCAAAAAUCCGACACGGUACUACCGCACCUGACAUGCGGUACUACCGCGUAGGGAGCGGAUGUAAAAAAUUACAUCCGCCCCUACUUCCGCUCGUGUUGCUGUGCUAGAUCAGGACCCACGGUACUACCGCGUGCAUGGGGCGGUACUACCGCACAGGGGCACGAAUGUAAAAAAUUACAUCCGCCCCUACAGCCGCACGAGCGGCUGGGUCUGGUCAGAGGCCAUGGUAGUACCGCUCCUUCAGAAUGGUACUACCGUGGGCGCCUACGAUACUACCACAACGGCGUGUGGUACUACCGCGGGGGGUUGUGGUACUACCGCUCCUAAGAGCAGUACUACCGCAUGCCUCAGAACAACAACACUAGGAAUCCUUCUUUUUGCAAAAAACAAGAAAACGGAGGAUGCUCCAAAGCGCAGAGGGAAAGGCAAUGUAAAGGAAGAAAACAUGUACGUGAUGAUUCCACCCGAACCUUUCCAAUGCGUACCCCCUCUUAAUAGUACGGCUUUCCUAUGACUCACACCACCGAAAAGAACCGUAGAAAAACGUCGUCUUCAAUAGUCUUCGAGGGGCACCAAACUGUCUUGUGCCUAGUGACGAAUUGUCUGAGAUACUCAAGGCACACGAUUAGUCCGCAAAAUCAUUGUCAUCAAUCACCAAAACACCUUAGGGAUAAAUAUGCCCUUACAAUCUCCCCCUUUUUGGUGGAUUGAUGACAAUACGGGAUUUGCACAAAGGGAAACAAGAUAGAACAUAUGCAAACCCCACAACUCCAAAAUAUAGAUGAGCUCCCCCUAGAUGCGUGCUAUCUAGAUAAGUGCUUUGGACUGCACGGCACGUAUACUAGGAUCAACACUCCCCCUAUAUUUUGUAAACAAAGCAUAUUGGCAACAAUAAGGCUAACACUAGACAAUACGAUAAAUAUGAGCAUAACAUAACUAGCACAAUAUAACAUAAGCUCAAGUAAGGUACGAUAGGGUGCAUAUGUCUUACACCAUAUGAUAGACCAAGUCUCACGAGGAAACUAAACCAAAGCAAGCAAGGUUCAACGGAACAAACGCGAGCAAAGCAAAGACAAGCACGACACAAGACUCGCAAAUCCCUACACUCUCUCUCCCUUUGGCAUCGAGACGCCAAAAAGGCAGAGAGGACACCUACAACACAAGUGGUGGCUCAAGCGGAGUAGUCAGACGCACGCUCCUCGUCAGACUUGGCAGCAGGAAUGGUCUCUUCGAUGUCCUCCUCAGAAUCGGUCCACUUGAAGCUUUGUUUUGCCAUCCACUCAGCCUCUGGAGUGAUGCACUCCUCAGAACCACCAGAAACAUCCUCUCCAAACAGCCUCAUAAGCUUCUUGUCCCGACGGCAACUCUCCUUGGAAACAACGUGAGACCCUCAGAGCUUGCCUAGAGAACAAAGCCUUCAUCUUGUUCUUCAGCCUCUUAGCCCAAGAUGGCUCAGAGGUGGGAGGGAUGAAACCCUCAGAGCUGACCUCGUCCUCUGCCUCCUCCUCAUCCUCAUCCGCAUCAACAUCCAUGGCAGCCGCGGCCUCAGCACGAGAAGUGGUGUUAGCCCACUGAGACUUGACACGGAGCCUGAUGGACUCGUGUCGGAUCCAACCAGGGGCCUCAAACUUCUCCUGAGGGAACUGCUUCUCCCAAGUUGCGGAUAUCAAAUGAAACAGAUAAGGUCCAUAGAUGGGGACCUUGCGGUUGAAUACCAUAAACCGAAGCUCACACCACAUGAUAUGUGAGACAUCAAGUGGUGGCAACUGAGAGUUGUGCGCUUCCUCACACAUCAACAACAUGUCCACAAGAUAAGCAUGCACCUUGUCCUUGUCACGGAUGCAAGGAAAGAGAGAGUUGCGGAAGAUCCGGUACAUGAUGUUAAGAAAGGAGUUGAGCACCCAAGAUGACUUGCCACUAGAGAGCUUCUUCUCAACAUAGAAGGGCUGAAUCUUGUUCUUAUUAGCUGACUCAGGAUUGGCAUGAGGACGAACGCCUUGGGGAGUGGCGAACCCCUCAUCCUGAACACCAAGCAAAGUCAUGAACUCCUUCCAAGUAGUAAACAGCCGCUGACCAUUGGUCAUCCAAGUCAUAGUCCGUUCUUCAUUAGGAUGAAAGUACACCGAGGCAAAGAACUGAGCCACAAUCUCAGGGUCAUAGUCUUUGUGGAAAGAUAUGAUGUGCUCAAUGCCAAAUUGUUCCACAAGAUCCAGAGCCUCACCAAAGUAGUCUCGGUGCUUCGCUUCCCUCAGAUGAUGCAUGUCGCUCCAGUGCACAUCCAUAUAGAUGUUUCACUUGGCCUUGAUCACAUCCAGAUAAAUGAGAUUCUACUGCUUGGUCCAGAACAAAUCAUUCCCUCGGAAGUUGGCACGAGGAUUCACAUAGGGGUUAAUUUUCCUACGAGUGAUGUAUUCAGCAAGUGGCAUCUCAUCCAUGCCCAUGGUGGGCUCCUUGUCCUUGGUGGCUGUGGUCUUGGUCCUGUGUUGGGGGGCACUGGAGCCCUCUGGAGCUUGAUCUUGAUUUUGCAGACGCUUGGAGCCCAUGUCACGGCUUGGAUUGGAACGGCGAGCAGAGGCACCGGAGCCACCACCUAAGACAUAAAGCACAAGAACAACACACAAAAAGCGAGAAGGAUCAAUGCAAAGAACACAACAAAGCAGUGAAAUAAGUAGAACUAGCACUUGAUAGUUGCCACAUGAGAGGUUUGACAAGAACGGUAGCACUGUUUGUACGUGCGGUACUAAAAAAUUAGUGCCGCUCCAAGUCACGGUAGUACCACGCUGGCGGUAGUACCGCGCUGGAGGUGCGAUAGUACCAUGCCGGAGGCAUGGUAGUACCGCACGGAGUCAGAUCCGAAACUUCCACUGGAUCUGAGUACUGCAGCAGCACCAAAGCGGUACUACGGUCGAUCAAAUCUACCACGGGGCAACAUAUCAAGUACUAUCUCUAUGCAUUACUACUCUCCUACAUCCUACUCUUGCACAGAUUUAGCCUAAAAUCUCAAGAACCACAUGCAUCUCCCCAAAGACCUAGAAACACAAGAACAAACCAACAAGAGAGGGAUUUGGGGAGAAACCUUGGUCCAUGGCAAGAGGACGUGGUGGGGAACGAUCCCACCGGUCGAAAUCCGAGGAGAGCGGCCGGGGACGAAGAUCCGGCGAGGGCCUCCGGCGCCGUUCGUGGGCAGGAGAGAGAGAGAGAGGCGGCGUGGGGAAGAAAGAGUGAAUGGGUAUGUGGGAGUUUGGAACUCCCCCUACCCUCUCUUAACCCCCACACGCUCGAUGCUCCACGGUAGUACCACGCGUCCUUGCAGUAGUACCGCCCGGGCGGAAGUACCGCACCGUGGGCGGUAGUAAUGCUCCACCAGCGGCAGUAAAAAAUUACUGCCGUGCUGGUAUUGGUAGUAUCGUGUCCUUGCGGUAGUACCAUGGCAUGCCACGGUAGUAUCGUGAACCCAAGAAAAUGCAGUUACAACCAAAUGAAGAAACAACUUUGCAAAAAACCUUCAAGCGAACGAACACACCAAUAAGCUGAAAAACGAGGCACCACAAGCACAAGCUAGGCACGAAGAGAGAAAAACAAGAGACAACAAGGACCAAAAACGAGAACCAAUCUCUCCAAGGAGAGGGCGGUGGCCGGAGCCACCUAUGUUUGAGUCGAUUGGUAUGGCGCCAUGAAGAAUUAUCCUUGGGCCCAUGACCAAAACUCGUCUUUGAAGCACAAGUACCAUCAAGAAUGGCGAAUGUGAAAGAGUUGAUAAAUUUAUGCAUAAUGGGGGGAGGGAGAGUUCAUUGAGAGAACAAUACUCCCCCUAUGUCCAUGCCUACACCUCAACUAGACAACAAAUUUGUUGGAAAUAUGCCCUAGAGGCAAUAAUAAAAUGGUUAUUGAGGGAGUCCUGGAUUAGGGGGUGUCCGGAUGGCCGGACUAUGACCUUUAGUCGGACUCCCGGACUAUGAAGAUACAAGAUUGAAGACUUCGUCCCGUGUUUGGAUAGGACUUUCCUUGGUGUGGAAGGCAAGCUUGGCGAUACAAUAUGUAGAUCUCCUCCCAUUGUAACCGACUCUGUGUAACCCUAACCCUCUCCAGUGUCUGUAUAAACCGGAGGGUUUUAGUCCGUAGGACGAACAACAAUCAUACCAUAGGCUAGCUUCUAGGGUUUAGCCUCUCUGAUCUCGUGGUAGAUCUACUCUUGUACUGCCCAUAUCAUCAAUAUUAAUCAAGCAGGAGUAGGGUUUUACCUCCAUCGAGAGGGCCCGAACCUGGGUAAAAACAUCGUGUCCCUUGUCUCCUGUUACCAUCCGCCUAGACGCACAGUUCGGGACCCCCUACCCGAGAUCCGCCGGUUUUGACACCGACAUUGGUGCUUUCAUUGAGAGUUCCUCUGUGUCGUCACCUUUAGGACCGAUGGCUUCUUCGAUCAUCAACUACGACGCGGUCCAGGGCGAGACUUUUCUCCCCGGACAGAUCUUUGUAUUCGGCGGCUUCGCAUUGCGGGCCAAUUCACUUGGCCAUCCGGAGCAGAUCGAAAGCUACGCCCCUGGCCACCAGGUCAGAUUUGGAAGUUUAAACUACACGGCUGACAUUCGCGGAGACUUGAUCUUCGACGGAUUCAAGCCACAGCCGAGCGUGCCGCACUAUCACGAUGGGCAUGAUCUAGCUCUACCGCCGGACAGUGCCCGAAGCGCCGCUCAGGUGUGUGCUCCGACCCUUAGCUCGGAGCCGACUGCGCCGGUCGAGGACGGGUGGCUAGACGCCGCCUCAGGGGCUGCAAUCUCUACGGCGAUCGAGCCGAACACCAAUCUUGUCCUUCGCGGAGCUCGUGACUCCCAGGUGCCGGACUCCUUUCCGGACUCCGAAUAUUCCGCACCCCUCCCGAUCGAACCCAAUUGGACUCCGAUCAUGGAGUUCACCGCCGCGGACAUCUUUCAACACUCGCCCUUUGGCGACAUCCUGAAUUCACUAAAGUCUCUCUCUUUAUCAGGAGAGCCCUGGCCGGACUAUGGUUAGCAAGGUUGGGAUGCAGACGACGAAGAAAUUCGAAACCCACCCACCACCCACUUCGUAGCCACUGUCGACGAUUUAACCGACAUGCUCGACUUCGACUCCGGAGACAUCGACGGCAUGGACGCCGAUGAAGAAGAUGAACAAGAACCAGCGCCUAUAGGGCACUAGACAACCACCUCAUCCCAUGAUAUAUACAUGGUGGACACACCUAAAAGAAACAACGACGAGGAUCAAAAGGGUGCAACGAGGGAUCGUUCCCUCGAAAAGCAAUCAAAGCGGCGGCGGAAGCGCCGCGCCAAACCCCACCUCGACAGAGACCCAGCCAUAGAGCAGGAUGAACCGGCGGACGACGAACAUGAGCAACCGUCUGAACAGGGCAACUUGGAUAGACAAACCGAACAACCCGUCCCCGACGAAAAUAAUAGUCCGGACGACCUCACGCUGGACAAGUUGCUGGAGAAGAAGAACCUCCACCAAAGGCUCGUUGCCACUGCGCGUAGCCUGAAAAAGCAGAAGCGGGAGCUCAAAACAGCGGAAGAUGCACUCAGAAUCAGAUGGGGCAAAGUACUCAACACCGCACACAAGUACGGCGACAGUCACCACACAAAGAGCUAUCCGAAGCGAAAAUUACUACCGGAAUUUGAUGAGGAGUCCUUAUAGCCCCCACGGUUAAAAAACAAGGAAGCCACCAGGUCGGAUAGACGACCCCAUGGCCGACAUCGAGCGGCAAAGGACGCCGCAUUCAAUCCGGCAUGCGAUCCGCACAAGGAUUCGAAUCAAAAAGACGGCCCAACUAGAUCUAUCUAUGGGCCAAGAAAUCAAGCUCUAGUAAGCAAUGCAACGCAACAAAUAUCCGAACAUCGCAUCACACCGAAAUACAGGGGCGCCGCACAUCCCCUAUGUUUCACCGAUGAGGUGCUGGACCAUGAAUUUCCAGCGGGAUUCAAGCCCGUAAGCAUAGAGGCAUACGACGGAACAACAGACCCUGGAGUCUGGAUUGAGGAUUAUAUCCUCCACAUACACAUGGCUAGAGGAGAUGACCUCCACGCCAUAAAAUACUUACCCCUCAAGCUCAAAGGGCCAGCCCGGCAUUGGUUAAAAGCCUUCCCGAAAACACCAUAGGAAGUUGGGAGGAGCUCGAGGAUGCUUUCCGGGCAAAUUUUCAAGGGACCUAUGUCCGACCUCCGGAUGCAGACGAUCUAAGCCAUAUAACUCAACAACCUGGAGAGUCAGCUCGAAAACUCUGGAACAGAUUUCUUACUAAAAAGAAUCAGAUAGUCAACUGUCCGGACGCCGAAGCCCUAGCAGCUUUCAAGCAUAGCGUUCGAGACGAAUGGCUCGCCAGACACCUCGGCCAAGAAAAGCCAAGAACAAUGGCCGCAUUAACAAGCCUCAUGACCCGCUUUUGCGCAGGAGAGGAUAGCUGGUUGGCAAGAAGCAGCACCAGCGACCCAAGUACAUCCGAAGUCAGAGAUGGAAACGGGAGACCGCACCGUAACAAGGAACGGCGCCGGAUCAAGGAUAACAGCCCGAAGAGCACGACAGUCAACGCCGGAUUCAAAAGCUCUCGGCAGAAUCAGAAAAAGCCGCCCCCAAGGAUAACAGGGACGGGCUAUCUAACCUCAACAAAAUCUUGGACAAAAUAUGCCAAAUCCACAGUACUCCCGGGAGGCCUGCAAACCACACCCACAGAGAUUGUUGGGUCUUCAAGCAAUCCGGCAAACUCAACGCCGAACACAAGGGGCUCGACAUACCAAGCAAGGAUGACGACGAACCCCACAAGCAGAGCACCGGAGAACAAAAGAAGUUCCCGCAAGAAGUCAAAACAGUAAAUGUACUUCAUGUGACAAAAGGGAAAAACAGAGUGGCGCCUAUGGAGAUACGCGCCAUACGGCCUGUCCCAGAGGAGUCCUGCCACUGGUUGUUACAGCCAAUCACCUUCGAUCAUCAGGAUUACUCUAGAGGUAUCCGGAACGCAGGCUGGACUGCCCUGGUCUUAGAUCCGAUAAUUGACGGACUCCACUUUACACAAGUCCUAAUGGACGGCGGCAGUGACCUAAACCUGCUAUAUUAGGACACAAUCCGCAAAAUGGGGAUAAACCCAGCAAUAAUUCGCCAUGGCAACACUUCCUUUCAAGGGGUCACGCCAGGCCAAGAUACCCAUUGUAUGGGUUCCCUCUCGUUAGAAGUUAUGUUCGGCUCCCCCGACAACUUCCGAAGCGAAAAGCUAACCUUCCACAUCGCCCCAUUCAUAAGUAGCUAUCAAGCACUACUGGGACGCGAAGCUUUCGCCCGCUUUAAUGCAAUACCGCAUUAGGCAUCCCUUACACUCAAAAUGCCUGGUCCAUGAGGCAUCAUCUCAUUAAAGGGAAAUAUCAAGUGUUCCUCGAGCGCGGACGAUGGUGCGGCUGCCUUGACAGCCGCACACUAAUGCAGCUUUACUAGCUAGAGCACCUAAACAGGUCGUUCACGACCCCGAACAUGGCUCGACGAGUCCGGCGUAAACAUACAAAGACUUAAUAGCCGCAUACCCCCGUACAAGGGGCUCUGCGCGUUUACACCAGGAGACAAUAAAGCUCAAUUCUACCCAUUUUUUGUAUUAUACUUUGUUUAUUUUAACAUAGAUUUCUCGCACGAUUGUUUUCCACUAUGUUCCUCUCUUUUGGAGACGAACACCGUGCUACACCCGUCUAGGAUACGGCACAACAGAGACACAUGCACAGACGUGUAGUAGGGACCCGUUUCAAGGAUUCUUUUCAGAUUAAGACCCUGCGUAAACCUUUUUUACUGUCUCUUGUUGAUUACACCCCCCGGUUUUUUGCUAUAACCGAGGAGGAGGCUGGCGUCUUGGCAUGUGGCCACGCCAGAAUUUUGCAUGUACCUAGACACCAGGGGCUUCUUACCAAGGGCUUUUGUUCGACCCGUUUUCAUAAAGACUGAAUACCUUAGGGAGUGUUUGGCGUCGCGAGUUUGGCCUUAUGUGCAUCAGCUCAGAGUCAUGUCUUUGGUCAAAUGUUGGGUUUGCCUGGCUCCUGUGUUUUGCUGCCUUACGUUCCGCUCUAUCGGCUAAGGCGGCACCAGGAGAACUACUGCGAUUGUGCCCCGGUUCGGCCAGGUGAGCACCUCAGUAGAGAAAGCUGAAAACUGACUGUCAUGAUAUAGCGAGAGACUGGUCAACCACUCGAUGACUUGCCGGAAUCUUUAGGAUUCCUCCGCAUUAACGAAGGGCCGUUUCCCGGUCAGGCACACACGCGCCUUGAAUUCGGGCGACCGCGGUGCCCCCAGGGGCUAUUCAGUAGCCCCACUGUCAAACUUCUAUGGCUAAGUGAAAGUGAUAAAGCAUUAUAGUCCGGUUGCCAAGUUCGCUGCGCUAUCACCUACUUUAUAGGACCAAGACGUUGGAUCAAGUGUGAAAAUGCGCCUUCUGCGAACACCCCCGCAUUAUAUGCGAGGGGGCUGAAGCCAACGACUGCCAUCUUUCAGCUUAUAUACACAUAUACAUUAACGGCCGCACAUGAGGUAUUCUAAUUCUUGAAAGCACAAGUAUAAAAAGCUUUUUUAUUCCAUCAAAACAUUGUUUUACAAUAGCACAUGUUAUUCGAACACAACAUCCUUCGAGCACUGCAUCUCUAUUAAACGAGCGCCCUGUAGAACUUCCUCAAAGUAGUGCUUGGCAGGUACUCGGCUUUCGUCCGAAUCCUGGGAUGCAACAACACUGGCCUUCAUAUUCGCCCAGUAUGUCUUGACACGGGCAAGAGCCAUCUGUGCACCCUCUAUGCAUGCUGACCUCUUCAUUGCAUCAACAUGCGGCACCGUACCAAGGAACUGCUGCACCAAGCUAAAAUAACUCUUCGGCUCUGGCCCUUCCGGCCACAGACGACUCGCGACGUACCUCAUGGCGAGUCCGGAUAACCUGUUCAGCUCCGCCCAAGCGGCCAAACGGUCGGACACCGAAAGUGGGCGUUCUGGAUUGUCAAACUGCGACCAAAAAAGUUCUUCCAAUUCAUGGUCAUAUCGACCCGGAAGUGUUCGGUCGCGUCCGCGGCACUCGCCGCCAAAUCCAGAUAAGUGUUCGCCGCACUCCACUUCCGGUCUAACGGAGCAUACUUAGGAUCCCCGAACUUCAUCCGCAGGAUAUAGAGCUUUCCAGCCGCGAUAUCUCCGGCCUGACGUAGCUCCUCCUUCAUAGCUCUCAUUGCAGAGCAAGUGUCCUUGGCCUCAGCAGUGACCUUUUCUAGGUCCUUCUGUGCCACCCUAUCUGCUUUUUCAAGAAGCUUACAAUGGUCGGCAGCAUCCUUCAAUUUUACAGCCAUCUCGGCCAUUUCUUUCUUGCUCCGGCAGUGAGCAGCCUGUUCGGCUUUUAGCUCUUCAGCCUCUUUAACGGCAGCCGCAUCGCUUUUCCUCGCUUGCUCCUUGGCUCGGGCAAGUUCCGCCCGAAGGUUCUCAACGGCAGCGACACCAUCUGCAUUAAGCACAUAUGUUAUAAGGUACGAUAUCAAGCUCCUCUUACCAUAUGUCUUUGGAGACAUUACAUACCUUGUGCCUCGUCUAGCCGCUCAUUUACAAGCGCGAGGUCGGCUUCUGCCACGUCAAGUUGCCGCUUUAGCUCGGCAAAUUCAUUAGUCCGGCUAGCCACCAAACACCUCGCCACCUACAUAGGAAAGGCGACAUAUUAUACCUGGGAUUAUGAUCCUCUGUGUCCCGUCAUUUUUUGACAACACACAGAGUCUCAGGGGCAACUAUCUAUAUAGGGCGCAUUUUAUAUAUGCGGCUCUGUCAAAAGGUACAUCUUUUCGCGUACCUAAAAACCUGUCAGUAAACUCCUGGCAGCCUCGUACAAUCCGCUUUCCACGGAUGAAAUCCUUCUAAUCACCGUGUUCAUCAACACACGGUGUUCUUCUGAGAUAGACGCUCGCCCGAGCAGAUCCUUCAGCUCCUCCGACCGUGCACCAACAGGUGCCGGACUAGUCCGACGACCUUUUUCAAGGUCCCGAUUUGGAGAAACCCUCCGACACGACACCUCGGGGUCGCCCGCCUCGCAAGAUGGUACAGUUGGGGGAGGCGUUUCGCUCUCCAUCAUCUCCGGACGAAGAUCCCCUAAAGAUGAGCUCUACUGAGAAGGGCUGAGAUCCGAACUGCAAGGUAAAAUUUUGGUUAUCUUCCUCAGAAAUAAAACAGGGAUAUCUCUCAUUUUAAAACCCCUCUCUUUACUUACGGCUCGGUGGAGAGCUGAUACCCUUGGGGGAGUAACGCGGCCGGGGCAUCCUCCGGCGCCGGACCCUCUUUGAGGCCAUCGCCUCCGGGUCUUCAGAGGCGGUCCUCUUCUUUCCCUCGAAAUAGGGAAUUCUCGAUUCCUCCUUUCCUGACAGUCUCCUUCAGGCGAUAGCUUAUUUGUUCCCCUCUUUGUCUUCUUCCAAAGGAGCAAUCUCCAGCAUCCUGGUCAACACGGGAUCCGGCGUGGUCUCAGGGAGGGGGGCCGGGCACCUGAUAAGCUUUGCUUUCGUUAUCCACUCCUGUUUAAAGGAUAGCUCUUUUGAGGGCAGUGUUAUGAUAAAUGUACGAUAGCGUGUCCGGGUACAGGGCUACUUACUUGAGUGUCCGGGCAAUUGCAUCUCAGACCUGCGUCCUCGGACAAGUCCGGACACAUUGCUUGUGAUCCGAAGAAUAAUUUGUACAUCUCCACGGGCGUCGUGCCCAUAAAAUGUUGGAGGGCUCACGGUCCUUCCGGAUUAAAUUCCCACAGGCGGAGGGGGGGACGUUUGCAGGGUAGUAUGUGGCGAAUCAACAGAACAUGCGCCACUACGGCCAAAUUGGUAUCUCUUUCUAGGAGAUCUCGAAUGCGGCCCUGCAGCAAGGGCACGUCCUUGGACGGCCCCCAGUUAAGCCCUUUAUUGACCCAUGAUGCUAGCCGUGGUGGGGGACCUGAGCGAAAAGCAGGUGGUGCCACCCAUGUGGUGCCCCUGGGAGCUGUGAUGUAAAACCACUCUUGUUGCCAUAAGCCGAACUCCUCUUGAAAAGAGCCCUCGGGCCAUGGAGCGUUGGCAAUUUUGCUUAUAAUAGCACCUCCGCACUUAGUGUGCUGCCUCUCGAUCAUCUUCGGUUCUACCUUGAAGGUUUUAAGCCACAAUCCUAAGUGAGGAGUAAUAUGGAGGAAGGCCUCAUACACGACAAUGAAUGAUGAGAUUUGGAGGAUGGACUCCGGAGCUAAGUCAUGAAAUUCCAGCCCGUAAUAAAACAUGAGCCCCCUCAUGAAGGGAUCAAUCGGGAAGCCUAGCCCCCGAAGGAAGUGAGAUAUGAACACCACAUUCUCACCAGGCUGGGGAGUGGGAAUAGCCUGCCCUUGAGCAGGAAGCCUAUGCGAGAUUUCGUCGGUCAGAUACCGAGCAUCUCUCAGCUUUCGCACGUCUUCUUUCGUAAUGGAGGAAGGCAACCACCGACCUUGGAGGUCAAAGCGUACAUCAUUGAAGGUCCAAAGCGCCUGAAUCUGGAGCUUUGGGUGUUGGAACUUGAGGCAAGAGGCGGAUUUGAUUGGAUUGAAAGAAAGGAGACGAGCCUUGGUCCCUUUAUAAAGGGGUUGAAUACCAAGAGCCCUCCCCGUGACCGUUUGGGACUCACUUUCAAUUAAGAAGCCAUACCAAUGGCAUGGUUGGGUUACCCACGUCCGUAUUGAUGAGAAUCCCGGAAUAAGGGGACACGAUCUCUGCUUUGACAAGACGUGCCAAGGAAACCGCCUCGCUAAACGCACUGAGGUGGGACAGUAAAAUGAUUCGAAUACAGGCUUGGCCGUGGCGUGAUGUCACACUACGGAAUACGUCAGCAGAUUAGAUUUGUGUAAAUAUUAUUCUCUCUACGGUGGUAGGUGGAACUUAUUUUGCAGAGCCGGAUACUAUCCUUGUGUUCAACAUCUUCUAUGAAGUAUUCGGAGGAGGAACCCGCCUUGCAAUGUCGAAGACAAUUUGCGUGCCAGACUCGUCGUCAUUGAAGCCUGGUUUAGGGGCUACUGAGGGAGUCCUGGAUUAGGGGGUGUCCGGAUGGCCGGACUAUGACCUUUGGCCGGACUCCCAGACUAUGAAGAUACAAGAUUGAAGACUUCGUCCCGUGUCCGGAUAGGACUUUCCUUGGCGUGGAAGGCAAGCUUGGCGAUACAAUACGUAGAUCUCCUCCCAUUGUAACCGACUCUGUGUAACCCUAACCCUCUCUGGUGUCUAUAUAAACCACAGGGUUUUAGUCCGUAGGACGAACAACAAUCAUACCAUAGGCUAGCUUCUAGGGUUUAGCCUUUGUGAUCUCAUGGUAGAUCUACUCUUGUACUACCCAUAUCAUCAAUAUUAAUCAAGCAGGAGUAGGGUUUUACCUCCAUCGAGAGGGCCCGAACCUGGGUAAAAACAUCAUGUCCCUUGUCUCCUGUUACCAUCCGCCUAGACGCACAGUUCGGGACCCCCUACCCGAGAUCCGCCGGUUUUGGCACCGACAGUAAUUAUUAUAUUUCCUUGUUCAUGAUAAUUGUCUAUUGUUCAUGCUAUAAUUGUAUUGAUCGGAAACCAUAAUACAUGUGUGAAUACAUAGACCACAACAAGUCCCUAGUGAGCCUCUAGUUGACUAGCUCGUUGAUCAACAGAUGGUCAUGGUUUCCUGACUAUGGACAUUGGAUGUCAUUGAUAACGGGAUCACAUCAUUGGGAGAAUGAUGUGAUGGACAAGACCCAAUCCUAAGCAUAGCACAAGAUCGUGUAGUUCGUUUGCUAGAGCUUUUCUAAUGUCAAGUAUCAUUUCCUUAGACCAUGAGAUUGUGUAACUCCCAGAUACCGUAGGAGUGCUUUGGGUGUACCAAAUGUCACAAUGUAACUGGGUGACUAUAAAGGUGCUCUAUAGGUAUCUUCAAAAGUGUCUGUUCGGUUGGCACGAAUCGAGACAGGGAUUUGUCACUCUGUAUGACGGAGAGGUAUCACUGGGCCCACUCGGUAAUGCAUCAUCAUAAUGAGCUCAAUGUGACCAAGUGGUUGGUCACAGUAUCAUGCAUUACAGAACGAGUAAAGUGACUUGCCGACAAUGAGGUUGAACGAGGUAUUGGGAUACCAAUGAUCGAAUCUCAGGCAAGUAACGUACCGAUUGACAAAGUGAAUUUUAUACGGGAUUGCUUGAAUCCUCGACAUCGUGGUUCAUCCGAUGAGAUCAUUGUGGAACAUGUGGGAGUCAACAUGGGUAUCCAGAUCCCGCUGUUGGUUAUUCGCCGGAGAGCUGUCUCGGUCAUGUCUGCAUGAUUCCCGAACCCGUAGGGUCUUCACACUUAAGGUUCGAUGACGCUAGGGUUAUUAGGAAGAUUUUUAUGUUAUUACCGAAUGUUGUUCGGAGUCCCAGAUGAGAUCCCGGAUGUCAUGAGGAGUUUCGGAAUGGUCCGGAGGUGAAGAUUUAUAUAUGGGAAGUUGUCAUACUGUCAACGAAAAUGUUCGAGGGCAUACCGGUAUUGUACCGGGGCCACCGGAGGGGUUCUGGGGGUCCACCGGGAGGGGCCACCUAUCCCGGAGGGCCUUAUGGGCUGUAGAGGGAAGGGAACCAGCCCCUUGGAGGGCUGGGCGCCACCCCCCUAGGGCACAUGCGCCUAGGGUUUGGGGAACCCUAAAGGGGGGAACCUCCCUUGCUUAGGGGGCAAGCCCCCUCCCCCCUUGGCCGCCGCCCACCUUCUAGAUCCCAUCUAGAGGGGCCAGCCCCCCUUCCCCCUUCUCCUAUAAAUAGAGGGGCGAGGGGAGGGCUGCAGCACCACAUCCAAGGCGCAGCCCCUCCCCUCCCCAACACCUCUCCUCCUCCGCAAGAGCUUGGCGAAGCCCUGCCGGAGAACUGCUGCUCCAUCACCACCAGGCCGUCGUGCUGCUGCUGGAGCCCUCUUCCUCAACCUCUCCCUCCUCCUUGCUGUAUCAAGGCACGGGAGACUUCACCGGGCUGCACAUGUGUUGAACGCGGAGGUGCCGUUGUUUGGCGCUAAGAUCGGAAUCCACCGCGAUCUGAAUCGCUAUGAAUACGACUCCUUCAUCCGCGUUCUUGUAACGCUUCCGUCUCAUGAUCUUCAAGGGUAGGAAGAUGCACUCCCCUCUCUCUCGUUGCUAGUUACUCCAUAGAUUGAUCUUGGUGAUGCGCAUAAUUUUUUUAAUUUCUGCAACGAUCCCUAACAGUGGCAUCAUGAGCUAGGUCUAUGAGUAGUUUCUAUGCAUGAGUAGAACACAAGUUUGUUGUGGGCGUCGAUUUUGUCAAUUUACUUGCCACUACUAGUCUUAUCUUGUUUCGGCGGCAUUGUGGGAUGAAGCGGCCCGGACCGACCUUACACGUACACUUACGUGAGACAGGUUCCACCGACUGACAUGCACUAGUUGCAUAAGGUUGCUAGCGGGUGUCUGUCUCUCCCACUUUAGUCGGAUCGGAUUCGAUGAAAAGGGUCCUUAUGAAGGGUAAAUAGCAAUUGGCAUAUCACGUUGUGGUUUUGGCGUAGGUAAGAAACGUUCUUGCUAGAAACCUAUAGCAGCCACGUAAAAACAUGCAACAACAAUUAGAAGACGUCUAACUUGUUUUUGCAGCAUAUGCCGUGUGAUGUGAUAUGGCCAAAAGGAUGUGAUGAAUGAUAUAUAUGUGAUGUAUGAGAUUGACCAUGUUCUUGUAAUAGGAAUCACGACUUGCAUGUCGAUGAGUAUGACAACCGGCAGGAGCCAUACGAGUUGUCUUAAUUAUUGCAUGACCUGCGUGUCAUUGAAUAAUGCCAUGUAACUACUUUACUUUAUUGCUAAACCGUUAGCCGUAGUAGUAGAAGUAAUCGUUGGCGUGACAACUUCAUGAAGACACGAUGAUGGAGAUCAUGAUGAUGGAGAUCAUGGUGUCAUGCCGGUGAAGAUGAUGGUCAUGGCGCCCCGAAGAUGGAGAUCAAAAGGAGCAAAAUUAUAUUGGCCAUAUCAUGUCACUAUUUGAUUGCAUGUGAUGUUUAUCAUGUUUUACAUCUCAUUUGCUUAGAAUGACGGUAGCAUAAAUAAGAUGAUCCCUCAUAAAAUUUCAAGAAUGUGUUCCCCCUAACUGUGCAUCGUUGCGAAGGUUCGUUGUUUCGAAGCACCUCGUGAUGAUCGGGUGUGAUAGAUUCUAACGUUCGAAUACAACGGGUGUAAGCCAGAUUUACACAUGCAAAACACUUAGGUUGACUUGACGAGCCUAGCAUGUACAGACAUGGCCUCAGAACACAAGAGACCAAAAGGUAGAACAUGAGUCGUAUAGAAGAUACGAUCAACAUGAAGAUGUUCACCGAUGAUGACUAGUCCGUCUCACGUGAUGAUCGGACAUGGCCUAGUUGACUCGGAUCAUGUAUCACUUAGAUGACUAGAGGGAUGUCUGUCUGAGUGGGAGUUCAUUAUAUAAUUUGAUUAGAUGAACUUAGUCUAAAAUCUUUGCAAUAUGUCUUAUAGAUCAAAUGGCCCAUGCUAAUGUUGCCCUCAACUUCAACGCGUUCCUAGAGAAAACCAAGCUGAAAGACGAUGGCAGCAACUAUACGGACUGGGUCUGGAACUUGAGGAUCAUCCUCAUAGCUGCCAAGAGAGCAUAUGUCCUAGAUGCACCGCUAGGUGAAGCAGCCGUUUUCCCAGCAACUCAAGACGUUAUGAAUGCCUGGCAGUUGUGUAGUGAUGAUUACUCCCUGGUUCAGUGCGGCAUGCUUUACAGCUUAGAACCGGGGCUCCAAAAGCAUUUUGAGCAGCACGGAGCAUAUGAGAUGUUCCAAGAGCUGAAAAUGGUUUUCCAAGCUCAUGCCCGGGUCAAGAGAUAUGAAGUCUCCGACAAGUUCUACAGUUGUAAGAUGGAGGAGAAUAGUUCUGUCAACGAGCACAUACUCAAAAAUUCUGGGUUGCACAACCGCUUAUCUCAGCUGAAAGUUAAUCUCCCGGAUGACGCGGUCAUUGACAGAAUCCUCCAGUUGCUCACACCUAGCUACAAGAGCUUUGUGAUGAACUACAAUAUGCAGGGGAUGGUGAAAACCAUUCCUGAGGUAUUUUCAAUGCUGAAAUCAGCGGAGGUGGAGAUCAAAAAGGAACAUCCAGUGUUGAUGGUCAAUAAAACCACUAGUUUCAAGAAAGGCAAGGGUAAGAAGAACUUCAAUAAGGACGGCAAGGGAGUUUUCGUGCCCGGUAAGCCAGUUGCCGGGAAGAAGCCAAAGCAUGGACCCAAACCUGAGACUGAGUGCUUUUAUUGCAAGAGAAACGAACACUGGAAUCGGAACUGCCCCAAGUACUUAGCGGACAAGAAGGCCGGCAACACCAAAAGUAUAUGUGAUAUACAUGUUAUUGAUGUGUACCAUACCAGUACUCGUACUAGCUCCUGGGUAUUUGAUACCGGUGCGGUUGCUCAUAUUUGUAACUCAAAACAGGAGCUGCGGAAUAAGCGGAGACUGGCGAAGGACGAGGUGACGAUGCGCGUCGGGAAUGGUUCCAAGUUCGAUGUGAUCGCCGUCGGCACGCUACCUCUACAUUUACCUACUGGAUUAGUUUUAAACCUCAAUAAUUGUUAUUUAGUGCCAGCUUUGAGCAUGAACAUUGUAUCAGGAUCUCGUCUAAUACGAGAUUGAAAGCACAAGUGCUCCCUAGGUGGUUUUGGUAAUUAAUGUCAACAUAUCUCUUGUUGGACUAACACUUUUAUCUAGUAUAUUUCAGACAAAUUCAACAUUGGAGUGGCAUGGACUAAAGGAUGUGGGAACUCCUUCAAGAUGCUAAGGACAAAGGAUUGGCUAAAGCUUCAAGCUCAAGACUCUUCAUUUUACAUUUUAGUGAUCGAAGAUCACAUUGAGUCUAUAGGAAAAGCCAAUACUAUCAAGAAGGGAUGAGGUGUUGCUUAAUGAGUUUCUUGCUCCAUAGUGCUUAGUGAUAUGCUCCAAAACCCUCAACUACUUUCCCACUUCCACUCAUAUGACCUAAACCUAAAGCCAAAAUCGGUCACACCGAUUCUUUCUAUCCGGCGCUACCGAGUUCAGAUGUCAUAGCCACUGCCACAAACCCUAGGCAAAUCGGUCUCACCGAUAGGGAUCUCGGUCUCACCAAGAUGGUAUUGUAAUCUCUCUAUGUAUGUCCAUCAUCAAAAUUGGUCUCACCGAGUUUGAGCAAUCGGUACUACCGAGAUUACAAUGCAAACUUCCUGGUUGACUCAUUACCAAAAUUGGUCCCACCGAGUUUGAGUAAUCGGUCAAACCGAGUUUGCCUGGGCAACUCUCGGGUUAGCUAAUUACCAAAAUCAGUCCAACCGAGUUUGUGUAAUCGGUCUCACCGAGAUUACAUUACCCUAACCCUAACCAUAUCGGUCCUACCGAGUUGCAUGUCGGUCUCACCGAAAAUCCUAACAGUCACUAGGUUUACUAAAUCGGUCUGACCGAGUUUGUUGAUUCGGUCCCACCGAGAUUGGUAAAUUGUGUGUAAUGGUUAGAUUUUGUGUGGAGGCUAUAUAUAUACCCCUCCACCUCCUCUUCAUUCGUGGAGAGAGCCAUCAGAACAAACCUACACUUCCAACUUACUAGUUCUGAGAGAGAAAUACCUACUCAUGUGUUGAGGCCAAGAUAUUCCAUUCCUACCACAUGAAUCUUGAUCUCUAGCCUUCCCCAAGUUGCUUUCCACUCAAAUCUUCUUUCCACCAGAACCAAAUCCUAUGAGCGAGAGUUGAGUGUUGGGUAGACUAUCAUUUGAAGCACAAGAGCAAGGAGUUCAUCAUCAACGCACCAUUUGUUACUUCUUGGAGAGUGGUGUCUCCUAGAUUGGCUAGGUGUCACUUGGGAGCCUCCGACAAGAUUGUGGAGUUGAACCAAGGAGUUUGUAAGGGCAAGGAGAUCGCCUACUUCAUGAAGAUCUACCGCUAGUGAGGCAAGUCCUUCGUGGGCCACGGCCAUGGUGGGAUAGACAAGGUUGCUUCUUCGUGGACCCUUCUUGGGUGGAGCCCUCCGUGGACUCGCGCAUCCAUUACCCUUCGUGGGUUGAAGUCUCCAUCAAUGUGGAUGUACGAUAGCACCACCUAUCGGAACCACGCCAAAAACAUCCGUGUCUCCAAUUGCGUUUGAAUCCUCCAAAACCCCUCCCUUUGUAUUCUUGCAAGUUGCAUGCUUUACUUUCUGCUGCUCAUAUACUCUUUGCAUGCUUGCUUGCUAUAUGUUGUGAAUGUUAAACUUGUGCCUAAACUCCACUUAAACUUAAAGAAGCUAAAAACUGCAACUUUGGUACUUAGUGUUUAAUCACCCCCCUCUAGACACCUCUUCUCAAGGUCCUAUAAGUGGUAUCAGAGCCAGGUUUCCAUUGCCUUGCUUUAAUCACCAUUGGAGGAAGAUGGAUGAGUCUACUUUGGGGAGUCUUAGACAUAGAGUGCCUAUUCUUGAUGGAGAGUACUUUCAUGAGUGGAAAAUGAGAUGCUUGUAAUUUUCAAUCAAUAUAAUUUGAACAAGUACAUUGCUAGUCCUUGUGCACCUUAUGUUGAUCCUGUGCAUCCUACCCUUGAUGAGUCUAUUGACAUGAUUAGGAAUGUUAGAACUGUUAAUCUUAUCACUAGAGGCUUGCCUAGAAACUUGGUUGGAAAACUGCCUACUCUUGAGUGUGCCUACACUAUAUGGAAAUUUCUUGAGGAACAAUUUCCUCAUUAUUCUUUGAAAAAUCUUGAUGAAAUUCUUCAUAAGUCUAUUGCUUUGAGUAAGAUGAAUACUAGUGAUCCUAUGUUUGGUGAUCGUCUAUUUGAACUUACAAACCUUAUGCGUGCCAAAGGAAAUGUUUGAAUUAUUAGCGAUAUCAUUUCCGAAGCUACUAGAAUUCAUAGAGGAGAUUAUUGUCAAACUCAUACUAAUGAAUCACCCUCUCUAGGAUUUGAUCCACCACAUGACGAUGUUGAACAUGGAUACUAUGAUGAGGAUGUUGAUAGUGACUUCGAUCUUGACGAUGCAAUGAGACAUUUUGGUCUUAUGGCAAAUCUUCGGGGAUAUAUGGCAGGAGGAAAGGAAGGGUUCUUGAUAGUGGAUGUACCGAUCACAUGACCGGAGAUAAAGACAUGUUUCGCGAGCUUGCUGAAAAUGAUAGUCCUCGAAAGUAUGUCACUUUCGGUCACAACUCAAAGGGUAAGGUGGUUGGCCUCGGUAAGGUGGCCAUCUCACAUGAUAGCUCCAUUCAGAAUGUUAUGCUCGUUGAAUCUCUUGGCUACAACUUACUUUCAGUAUCUAGACUUGCUGAUUUCGGUUUCAAUGUCCUAUUUACUGAAGUAGAUUGCCAAGUGUUUCAUCGAGACAAUCAUAAAAUGGUCUUUACCGGUAUACGUAGAGGUGAUCUAUACAUAGUUGAUUUCACUAAAAAGGCUCAACCUAAAACUUGCUUCAUUGCUAAAUUCUCAAAAGGUUGGUUAUGGCAUAGACGACUAGGUCACCUUGGCAUGAGAAACCUUGACAAGCUUAUUAAAGGAAAUCAUAUCCUUGGUGUUAACAAUGUCAUAUUUGAUAAGGAUAGACUUUGCAGUGCUUGUCAAGCAGGUAAAUAGGUUGGAGGAAGGUAUCCCAUGAAGAACAUCAUGACCACAAGGAGGCCACUCGAGCUACUUCACAUGGAUCUUUUUGGUCCCAACUCUUACAAGAGUCUCGGAGGAAAUUCUUUUGGUCUAGUUAUAGUUGAUGACUUUUCAAGAUUUACGUGGUGUUCUUUCUCGAUGAUAAAUCACAGGUCCAAAAGAUCUUCAAAAACUUCGCUAGAAAGGCCCAAAACCAAUUUGAAGUGAAGAUCAAGAAGGUUCGCAGCGACAACGGAACGGAGUUCAAGAACACGCAUGUGGACACCUUUCUUGAGGAAGAAGGGAUUUCACACGAGUUCUCGGCUACGUACACACCUCAACAAAAUGGAGUUGUUGAGAGGAAGAACCGAACGCUCAUCGAAAUGGCGAGAAUGAUGCUUGAUGAGUACAAGACACCGAAGCACUUUUGGGCAGAAGCGGUUGAGACAGCUUGUCAUGCAACAAAUUGCUUGUAUCUUCACAAGCUACUCGGCAAGACGGCAUACAAGCUCCUCACCGGUAACAAACCCCAAGUUGGAUACUUUCGAGUAUUCGGCUCAAAGUCCUACAUUCUUGAUAAGCAUCGUCGUUCUAAAUUUGCUCCUAAGUCUCAUGAAGGUUUCCUACUAGGUUAUGGCUCAACUCUCACACUUACCGUGUCUACAACAAUUUCACCCGAAAGGUUGAAGAGACGGUAGAUGUGAAGUUUGAUGAAUCUAACGGCUCGCAAGUAGAGAAAUUGCCAAUUGAUGUAGGAGACAAAGAUCCUUCUGAAGCAAUCCAAGACUUGUCUAUUGGCAAGGUCUGUCCAAUGGAGGUGAAGGAGAGUACCUCGUCCGUCCAAGUGGAAGCUUGUACUUCACGACAAGGAGAACCAAGAGUUGAUACGGAAGCAUCCACAAGUGGGACACACCAAGAUGAAGAAAACGAGGAAGUGCAUCAAGAUGAACGUCAACAGCCUCCUUCUCCACCACGAAAAGAGAACGACAACGCCAACAAUGAAGAAGGCCAAGAAGAAGAACAAGAUGAAGAAUAAGUUCAACCAAGAACCAAGCAAAAGCUUUCACGAGUUCGGCAAGAACUGCUAAAGACCAUCCCGUCGAGCAAAUCUACAACGAUAUUCAAACCGGGAGAAUCACUUGCUCUAAAACUCGUUUAGCUAACUUUUGUGAAAACUAUUCUUUCAUCUCUAGCAUUGAACCUAUGAAGGUCGAAGAAGCAUUGGAAGAUCCGGAUUGGAUAAAUGCUAUGCAUGAAGAGCUACACAACUUUGAGAGGAACCAAGUUUGGACAUUGGUAGAGAAGCCCGACAACAACCACAACAUCAUCGGUACCAAAUGGGUGUUUCGUAACAAGCAAGAUGAAGAUGGACAAGUAGUUCGCAGCAAAGCACGUCUCGUCGCCCAAGGCUACACACAAGUCAAAGGUAUGGACUAUGGUGAGACUUAUGCUCCCGUUGCUAGACUUGAGUCCAUUCGCAUCUUACUUGCCUAUGCUAAUCACCAUGAUAUCACCUUGUACCAAAUGGACAUUAAAAGUGCUUUUCUAAAUGGUGAAAUAGAUGAGGAAGUUUAUGUUAAACAACCUCCCAGCUUUAUCAAUCCUAAGAAACCAAAUCACGUUUACAAACUUCACAAAGCUCUUUAUGGUCUUAAACAAGCUCCUAGAGCGUGGUAUAAAUGCUUGACCAAGUUCCUUAUUGAAAAAGGCUUUGAAAUUGGGAAAAUUGAUUCUACUCUUUUUACUAAAAGGGUUAAUGGAGAAUUAUUUGUAUGCCAAAUUUAUGUUCAUGAUAUCAUAUUUGGAUCAACUAACCCUCAUUUUAGUGAAAAGUUUGGGAAGCUAAUGUCGGAGAAGUUUGAGAUGUCUAUGAUGAGUGAACUCAAAUUCUUUCUUGGAUUGCAAAUCAAGCAAACUAAGGAAGGUACUUUUGUCUCUCAAACAAAGUACACUAAGGAUUUGUUCAAGAAGUUCAAUAUGCAAGAAUGCAAAGGUAUGCCUACACCCAUGCCUACUAGUGGACAUCUUGACUUGACCAAAGAUGGUGAACCGGUUGAUCAAAAGGUUUAUCGCUCUAUGAUUGGUUCAUUGUUAUAUCUAUGUGCUUCACGUCCCGAUAUCAUGCUAAGUGUGUGCAUGUGUGCACGAUAUCAAGCUGCUCCUAAAGAAUGUCAUCUUAAGGCCGUGAAAAGGAUAAUGAGAUACUUAAUCCAUACACCAAAUUUUGGCAUUUGGUAUCCCAAGAGGGCCUCUUUCGAUCUUGUUGGCUACUCCGACUCGGACUAUGCCGGAGACAAGGUUGAUAGAAAGUCCACUUCGGGUACUUGUCAAUUUCUUGGUAGAUCUCUUGUGUCUUGGUCCUCCAAGAAACAAAACUCGGUAUCCUUAUCCACUGCCGAAGCGGAAUACAUUGCCGCUGGUUCAUGUUGUGCUCAAUUACUUUGGAUGACCCAAACUCUUAAAGAUUAUGGGAUAUAUGUGAAACAUGUUCCAUUGCUUUGUGACAAUGAAAGUGCUAUCAAAAUUGGUCAUAAUCCUGUGCAACAUUCUCGAACUAAGCAUAUUGAAGUUCGUCUUCAUUUCAUUCGAGAUCAUGUUGCUAAGGGAGACAUUUCUUAAGCAUGUUCACACCGAAAAGCAAUUAGCAGAUAUAUUCACUAAACCUCUUGAUGAGAAACUGUUUUGUAGGUUGAGAGGAGAAUUGAACAUCAUUGAUGCUUCAAACUUGGAGUAGAAACUCCAUUGGAUACAUGCAAGACAUGAGCUUAUGACUAAUCCUUGAUAUUUCUCUUAUGAUGAAAAUCUUAUAUCUUGGACAUAUUUGCAUCUUGCAUGUUAUCUAACCCAUGUAGGUACUUGGUUGAAUCAAAUUCCAUGAGAUUGUAACGUACUCACAUCUUGAGCAAUCUCUACAUCACCAAGUCUCUAUACAAAGGUGGUUGAAGACAAGGAAGCACGAAACCAUUCAAACAUAUCCUUUGACAAAUUCUAUGUUGAGCUUCAUGAUUGUCAUUUUUGGAUACACAAGUGCUCUUCCUUGCAAGAACUAACCCAUGUAGGUAGAUGGACUCAAAUUCCAAGUGGUGCUCCCAUCUCUUGAUGAGCUACAUCAACCUUGAGCAACCCACACAAGUUCAACUACAUGAUCAACACCACAAACCAAGGUAUGUUAUUCCAUCUUAGAGAAGCUUUACUCCGAGUCAUGAGCUAAAGCAACUCGACAAGAUGUGAAUACAUCAAGAUGCUUAAACAAAAAAUGGUAAUCCCAUUUUGAGCUUAAACGAUGAGUAUGACCUAUGAUCAAGUGAUCUCACUUGACUCCUAAGUCAAUAUACUCUAACAUAGGUGACUUUGUCGCCAACCAUCUCUAGAUGAAGUUCUCUUGUGUUCUUUUCUGUGUUUUUGCAUUUGUCUCAUGCAUAUUUGUUUCCCCUUUCAACAUUAAAAAACUUCAUCUAGAUUUCUUUCUUUUCUGUUUGUUCAGCAUUUUCUGCAUCCAAUUCAUUGCAUAUCAUUUAGUAAAUUCCUUGCAAAUCUUUGUGAGAUCCUACUAGUCUAGUGAGCUGAGGUGACAAGUGUUUUCUCUGCGAUGAACUCGGUUCCACCGAUUAGUUAUUUUCGGUCCAGCCGAAUUCUUUCGGUACAACCUACGCAUACCACUCGGUGCCACCGACUUCACAACAGGAAAACAGUUUGCCACUUAUUCUGUGUUUCUUCUGAUCCAGCUCCACUCAAUGAAUCUUGUCCUCUACAAGCAUCACAUUUUUAUCAUUUGACUUGUGUUGUGACUCAAGGACCAAACCCAUUCGACAGAUUCUUCUUGGAAAUUGAUGUCAAAGGGGGAGAGAGAGAUCACAUCAAAGCUUAUCAUUUAGAGAGAGAUCACAUCAGAGAAUAUAUCACCUCCUCAGGGGGAGAAAGAGAUCUCCAGGGGGAGAGAAAGACAUGUUCAUACUCAAGUAGAAAGUAUUUCUCAAGGAUCCCAGAUGCUUGGUGUUCAAGAGGAGAGAUGCCACAUGUCUUACUGAGGGGAAAGACAUGUUCAUAUGUGCUUAUUUGCAUUAGUUUGCAUUAGCUCUAUUCAUUCAUAUCUUUCAGCUCUGAUUUUCUGUUCCCUAUCUUCUCCCAUGCUUGAUUCAGGGGGAGCAAGACAUCUAAGGGAAAGAAAUCAUUCAAAUUCAUUGCAUAUUUUUACUCUUGGGGACAUGUCUAAUCCAAUGUGGUACUUAGUACUCACUCUCUACAUGUCAUCCCAGUCUUGGUAUUCUUGUGGUUUCUUCUGUUUGCUCUGGCUAGUAGAUGUACCUGUGUUAUAUAACCUUGUUUACGCGGGUCCAUUCCAUCCUAAGCCAACUCAAGACUACAAGGUAAGUAUAUGCAUCACAAUCAUGUGUAUGAGGAAUUCUUGCUGAUGUACAUACUGUUUGCAAGAAGGACUCAUGAGCAUGAAGGUAUUUUCUUUAAUAUUCUUUUCUCUGAUGCAUAUGGCCAAGAUACAUGUAACUCAUUGCCUACUCUAUCAUGGUUAUGCUCUCACAUGUUUCUCUAUUCCAUAUUCACAUGUUUGCAUACAUAUAGGGGGAGCCUAUGCUUGUUACAUAUCUUUCCAAAGCUUUACUUGCUAUUCUUUAUAUCCUUAUCUAAAGCUUUGAUGUAUGUUGUCAUCAAUUACCAAAAAGGGGGAGAUUGAAAGCACAGGUGCUCCCUAGGUGGUUUGGUAAUUAAUGUCAACAUAUCUCUUGUUGGACUAACACUUUUAUCUAGUAUAUUUCAGACAAAUUCAACAUUGGAGUGGCAUGGACAAAAGGAUGUGGGAACUCCUUCAAGAUGCUAAGGACAAAGGAUUGGCUAAAGCUUCAAGCUCAAGACUCUUCAUUUUACAUUUUAGUGAUCCAAGAUCACAUUGAGUCUAUAGGAAAAGCCAAUACUAUCAAGAAGGGAUAAGGUGUUGCUUAAUGAGUUUCUUGCUCCAUAGUGCUUAGUGAUAUGCUCCAAAACCCUCAACUACUUUCCCACUUCCACUCAUAUGACCUAAACCUAAAGCCAAAAUCAGUCACACCGAUUCUUUCUAUCCGGCGCCACCGAGUUCAGAUGUCAUAGCCACUGCCACAAACCCUAGGCAAAUCGGUCUCACCGAUAGGGAUCUCGGUCUCACCGAGAUGGGAUUGUAAUCUCUCUGUGUAUGUCCAUCAUCAAAAUUGGUCUCACCGAGUUUGAGCAAUCGGUACUACCGAGAUUACAAUGCAAACUUCCUGGUUGACUCAUUACCAAAAUCGGUCCCACCGAGUUUGAGUAAUCGGUCAAACCGAGUUUGCCUGACCAACUCUCUGGUUAGCUAAUUACCAAAAUCGGUCCAACCGAGUUUGUGUAAUCGGUCUCACCGAGAUUACAUUAUGCCCUAACCCUAACCAUAUCGGUCGUACCGAGUUGCAUGUCGGUCCCACUGAAAAUCCUAAUGGUCACUAGGUUUACUAAAUCGGUCUGACCGAGUUUGUUGAUUCGGUCCCACCGAGAUUGGUAAAUUGUGUGUAAUGGUUAGAUUUUGUGUGGACGCUAUAUAUAUACCCCUCCACCUCCUCUUCAUUCAUGGAGAGAGCCAUCAGAACAAACCUACACUUCCAACUUACCAGUUCUGAGAGAGAACUACCUACUCAUGUGUUGAGGCCAAGAUAUUCCAUUCCUACCACAUGAAUCUUGAUCUCUAGCCUUCCCCAAGUUGCUUUCCACUCAAAUCUUCUUUCCACCAGAUCCAAAUCCUAUGAGAGAGAUUUGAGUGUUGGGGAGACUAUCAUUUGAAGCACAAGAGCAAGGAGUUCAUCAUCAACGCACCAUUUGUUACUUCUUGGAGAGUGGUGUCUCCUUGAUUGGCUAGGUGUCACUUGGGAGCUUCCGACAAGAUUGUGGAGUUGAACCAAGGAGUUUGUAAGGGCAAAGAGAUCGCCUACUUCGUGAAGAUCUACCGCUAGUGAGGCAAGUCCUUCGUGGGCCACGGCCAUGGUGGGAUAGACAAGGUUGCUUCUGCGUGGACCCUUCUUGGGUGGAGCCCUCCGUGGACUCGCGCAGCCGUUACCCUUCGUGGGUUGAAGUCUCCAUCAACGUCGAUGUACGAUAGCACCACCUAUCGGAACCACGCCAAAAACAUCCGUGUCUCCAGUUGCGUUUGAAUCCUCCAAAACCCCUCCCUUUACUUUCUUGCAAGUUGCAUGCUUUACUUUCCGCUGCUCAUAUACUCUUUGCAUGCUUGCUUGCUAUAUGUUGUGAAUGUUAAACUUGUGCCGAAACUCCACUUAAACUUAAAGAAGCUAAAAACUGCAACUUUGGUACUAAGUGUCUAAUCACCCCCCCCCCCUCUAGACACCUCUUCUCAAGGUCCUACAGAGAUGGCUACUCAUUUAAAUCUGAGAAUAAUGGUUGUUCUAUUUAUAUGAGAGAUAUAUUUUAUGGUCAUGCCCCGCUGGUCAAUGGUUUAUUCUUUAUGAAUAUCGAACGUGAUGUUACACAUAUUCAUAGUGUGAAUACCAAAAGAUGUAAGGUUGAUAACGAUAGUCCCACAUACUUGUGGCACUACCGCCUUGGUCACAUUGGUGUCAAGCGCAUGAAGAAGCUCCAUGCAGAUAGACUUUUGGAGUCUCUUGAUUACGAAUCAUUUGACACAUGCGAACCAUGCCUCAUGGGCAAAAUGACCAAGACUCCAUUCUCCGGAACAAUGGAGCGAGCAACCAACUUAUUAGAAAUCAUACAUACUGAUGUGUGCGGUCCAAUGAGUAUUGAGGCUCACGGAGGCUAUCGUUAUGUUCUCACCCUCACUGAUGACUUAAGUAGAUAUGGGUAUGUCUACUUGAUGAAACACAAGUCUGAGACCUUUGAAAAGUUCAAGGAAUUUCAGAAUGAGGUAGAGAAUCAACGUGACAGAAAAAUAAAGUUCUUACGAUCAGAUCGUGGGGGAGAAUAUUUGAGUCACGAAUUUGGUACGCACUUAAGGAAAUGUGGAAUUGUUUCACAACUCAUGCCACCUGGAACACCUCAGCGUAAUGGUGUGUUCGAACAUCGUAAUCGCACUCUAUUGGAUAUGGUGCGAUCUAUGAUGUCUCUUACCGAUUUACCGCUAUUAUUUUGGGGAUACGCUCUAGAGACAACUACAUUCACUUUAAAUAUGGCAUCAUCUAAAUCCAUUGAGAUGACACCGUAUGAAUUAUGGUUUGGGAAGAAACCUAAGCUGUCGUUUCUAAAAGUUUGGGGAUGCGAUGCUUAUGUCAAGAAACUUCAACCUGAAAAGCUCGAACCCAAGUGGGGAAAAUGCGUCUUCAUAGGAUACCCUAAGGAAACCAUUGGGUAUACCUUCUACCUUAGAUCUGAAGGCAAGAUCUUUGUUGCCAAGAACGGGUCCUUUCUGGAGAAAGAGUUUCUCUCGAAAGAAGUAAGUGGGAGUAAAGUAGAACUCGAUGAAGUACUGCCUCUUGAACUGGAAAGUAGCGCAGCUCGGGAAGAUGUUCCUGUGCUGCCUGCACUGACUAGAGAGGAAGUUAAUGAUGAUGAUCAAGGUACUUCAGAUCAAGUUGCUACUUAACUUCGUAGGUCCACAAGGACACAUUCCACACCAGAAUGGUAUGGCAACCCUGUCUUGGAAAUCAUGUUGUUAGAUAAUGGUGAACCUUCGAACUAUGAAGAAGCGAUGGCGGGCCCAGAUUCCAACAAAUGGCUUGAAGCCAUGCAAUCCGAGAUAGGAUCCAUGUAUGAAAACAAAGUAUGGACUUUGACAGACUUGCCCGAUGAUCGGCGAGCGAUAGAAAAUAAAUGGAUCUUUAAGAAGAAGACGGACGCGGAUGGUAAUGUUACCAUCUAUAAUGCUCGACUUGUCGCUAAGGGUUAUCGACAAGUUCAAGGGGUUGACUACGAUGAGACCUUCUCACCCGUAGCGAAGCUGAAGUCCAUAUGAAUCAUGUUAGCAAUUGUCGCAUUCUAUGAUUAUGAGAUAUGGCAAAUGGACGUCAAAACGGCACUCCUUAACGGCUUCAUUAAGGAAGAAUUGUAUAUGAUGCAGCCGGAAGGUUUUGUCGAUCCUAAGAAUGCUAACAAGGUAUGCAAGCUCCAGUGCUCCAUCUAUGGUCUGGUGCAAGCAUCUCGGAGUUGGAACAUUCGCUUUGAUGAAAUGAUCAAAGCGUUUGGGUUUAUGCAGACUUAUGGAGAAGCCUGCGUUUACAAGAAAGUGAGUGGGAGCUCUGUAGCAUUUCUCAUAUUAUAUGUGGAUGACAUACUUUUGAUGGGAAAUGAUAUAGAACUUUUGGACAGCAUAAAGGCCUACUUGAAUAAGUGUUUUUCAAUGAAGGACCUUGGAGAAGCUGCUUACAUAUUAGGCAUCAAGAUCUAUAGAGAUAGAUCGAGACGCCUCGUAGGUCUUUCACAAAGCACAUACCUUGAUAAGAUAUUGAAGAAGUUCAAUAUGGAUCAGUCCAAGAAAGGGUUCUUUCCUGUAUUGCAAGUUGUGAGAUUGAGCUCGGCUCAAAGCCCGACCACGGCAGAAGAUAGAGAAAAGAUGAGUGUCAUCCCCUAUGCCUCAGCCAUAGGGUCUAUUAUGUAUGCCAUGUUGUGUACCAGACCUGAUGUAAACCUUGUCGUAAGUUCGGUAGGAAGGUACCAAAGUAAUCCCGGCAUGGAACACUGGACAACGGUCAAGAAUAUCCUGGAGUACCUGAAAAGGACAAAGGAUAUGUUUCUCGUUUAUGGAGGUGACGAAGAGCUCGUUGUAAAGGGUUACGUCAAUGCUAGCUUCUACACAGAUCUGGAUGACUCCAAGUCACAAACCGGAUACGUGUAUAUUUUGAAUGGUGGGGCGGUAAGCUGGUGCAGUUGCAAGCAAAGCGUCGUGGCGGGAUCUACAUGUGAAGCGGAGUACAUGGCAGCCUCGGAGGCAGCACAUGAAGCAAUCUGGAUGAAGGAGUUCAUUACCGACCUAGGAGUUAUUCCCAAUACACCGGGCCCAAUGACUCUCUUCUAUGACAACACUGGAGCUAUUGCCCUUGCCAAGGAGCCCAGGUUUCACAAGAAGACCAGACACAUCAAGCGUCGCUUCAACUCCAUUCGUGAAAAUGUUCAAGAUGGAGACAUAGAUAUUUGUAAAGUGCAUACGGAUCUGAAUGUCGCAGAUCCGUUGACUAAACCUCUUCCACGGGCAAAACAUCAUCAACACCAGAACUCUAUGGGUGUUCGAUUCAUCACAAUGUAACUAGAUUAUUGACUCUAGUGCAAGUGGGAGACUGUUGGAAAUAUGCCCUAGAGGCAAUAAUAAAAUGGUUAUUAUUAUAUUUCCUUGUUCAUGAUAAUUGUCUAUUGUUCAUGCUAUAAUUGUAUUGAUCGGAAACCGUAAUACAUGUGUGAAUACAUAGACCACAACAAGUCCCUAGUGAGCCUCUAGUUGCCUAGCUCAUUGAUCAACAGAUGGUCAUGGUUUCCUGACUAUGGACAUUGGAUGUUAUUGAUAACGGGAUCACAUCAUUGGGAGAAUGAUGUGAUGGACAAGACCCAAUCCUAAGCAUAGCACAAGAUCGUGUAGUUCGUUUGCUAAAGCUUUUCUAAUGUCAAGUAUCAUUUCCUUAGACCAUGAGAUUGUGUAACUCCCGGAUACCGUAGGAGUGCUUUGGGUGUACCAAGCGUCACAACGUACCUGGGUGACUAUAUGUUCUACAGGUAUCUCUGAAAGUGUCUGUUGGGUUGGCACGAAUCGAGACUGGGAUUUGUCACUCCGUAUGACGGAGAGGUAUCUCUGUGCCCACUCAGUAAUGCAUCAUCAUAAUGAUCUCAAUGUGACCAAGUGGUUGGUCACAGGAUCAUGCAUUACGGAACAAGAAAAGUGACUUGCCGACAACGAGGUUGAAUGAGGUAUUGGGGUACCGAUGAUCCAAUCUCGGGCAUGUAACGUAUUGAUUGACAAAGGGAAUUGUAUACGGGAUUGCUUGAAUCCUCGACAUCGUGGUUCAUCCGAUGAGAUCAUCAUGGAACAUGUGGGAGCCAACAUGGGUAUCCAUAUCCUGCUGUUGGUUAUUGACCGGAGAGCUGUCUCGGUCAUGUCUGCAUGAUUCCCGAACCCGUAGGGUCUACACACUUAAGGUUCGAUGACGCUAGGGUUAUUAGGAAGAUUUGUAUGUGAUUACUGAAUGUUGUUCGGAGUCCCGGAUGAGAUCCGGGACGUCACGAGGAGUUACAGAAUGGUCCAGAGGAAAAGAUUUAUAUAUGGGAAGUUGUCAGACGGUCACCGGAAAUGUUCGGGGGCAUAUCGGUAUUGUACCGGGGCCACCGGAGGGGUUCCAGGGGUCCACCGGGAGGGGCCACCUGUCCCGGAGGGCCUUAUGGGCUGUAUAGGGAAGGGAACCAGCCCCGUGGAGGGCUGGGCGCCACCCCCCUAGGACCCGUGCGCCUAGGGUUUGGGGAACCCUAAAGGGGGAACCUCCCUUGCUUGGGGGGCAAGCCCCCUCCCCCCCUUGGCCGCCGCCCCCCUCUAGAUCCCAUCUAGAGGGGCCGGCCCCCUUCCCCUUCUCCUAUAAAUAGAGGGGUGAGGGGAGGGCUGCAGCACCACAUCUAAGGCGCUGCCCCUCCCCUCCCCAACACCUCUCCUCCUCUGCAAGAGCUUGGCGAAGCCCUGCCGGAGAACUGCUGCUCCAUCACCACCACGCCGUCGUGCUGCUGCUGGAGCCCUCUUCCUCAACCUCUCCCUCCUCCUUGCUGGAUCAAGGCGCGGGAGACGUCACCGGGCUGCACGUGUGUUGAACGCGGAGGUGUCGUUGUUCGGCGCUAAGAUCGGAAUCCACCGCGAUCUGAAUCGCUACGAGUAUGACUCCUUCAUCCGCGUUCUUGUAACGCUUCCAUAUCGCGAUCUUCAAGGGUACGAAGAUGCACUCCCCUCUCUCUCGUUGCUAGUUACUCCAUAGAUUGAUCUUGGUGAUGCAUAGAAAUUUUUUAAUUUCUGCAACGAUCCCCAACAAAAUUGAGUGUGGUGGGGUGUGCAAGGGUUCAAGUCACGUUGCUUGAAUCAAUGAUAUUUAGCUCAUGCCUUAACUCAUGAAAUCUUGCUUCAUCCAAGGGCUUCAUGAAAAUAUCUGCAGGGUUAUCAUGAGUGUUGACAUACUUGAGCUCGAUCUCCCCUCGCCUAAUAUGAUCCCGUAUGAAGUGAUACCGAAUCUCAAUAUGCUUUGUCUUGAAGUGUUGCACCGGGUUGAGAGAAAUCUUGAUGGCACUUUCAUUGUCACACCAAAGAGGCACUUUGUCACAAAUGACACCGUAAUCCUUUAAAGUUUGCCUCAUCCAUAAGAGUUGUGCACAACAACUACCGGCCGCCACAUACUCCGCUUCAGUGGACGAGAGAGACACACAACUUUGCUUCUUGGAAGACCAACUCACCAAAGAGCAACCAAGAAAUUGGCACCCUCCGGAAGUGGACUUCCUAUCCAUUUUUUCUCCCACCCAAUCGGAAUCUGAACAUCCUUCAAGCUUGAAGUUUGCUCCUCUUGGGUACCAUAAGCCAAAGUUUGGGGCAUGAGCCAAAUAUCGGAAGAUUCGCUUGACCACCACAAAGUGUCUUUCCUUCGGUGCGGCUUGAAACCGUGCACACAUUCCCACACUCAACAUGAUAUCUGGUCUAGAUGCACAAAGGUAAAGCAAGGAGCCAAUCAUGGAGCGAUAUACCUUUUGAUCCACCGCUUUACCAUUGGGAUCAAUGUCAAGUUGGCACUUGGUUUGCAUUGGGGUGGAAGCCGGCUUGACAUCACAUAGCUUGAAUCUCUUCAGCAUGUCUUGAGUGUAUUUGGCUUGGUUGAUGAAGGUUCCUUCUCUUCGUUUCUUAAUCUCGAACCCGAGAAAGAACUUCAACUCUCCCAUCAUAGACAUCUUGAACUUUGAGGUCAUGAGUGCGGCAAAUUCUUCAUUGAAAGCUUUGUUAGGGGAACCAAAAAUAAUAUCAUCAACAUAUAGUUGGCACACAAACAACUCCCCUUUGACCUUCUUAGUAAAAAGAGUGGGGUCGAUUUUCCCGAUUUCGAACCCAUGAUCUUGCAACAACUCCGUAAGGUGCUCAUACCACGCACGUGGGGCUUGUUUAAGGCCAUAGAGCGCCUUGUGGAGUUGGUACACAUGAUUGGGGAAGUAGGGAUCUUCGAACCCGGGGGGUUGUUUGACAUACACCAACUCAUUAAUGGGACCAUUAAGAAAAGCACUCUUCACAUACAUUUGUUGCAAUGUGAAAUUAUGAUGAGAAGCAUAAGUAAUCAACAAACGAAUAGAUUCAAGGCAAGCAACGGGAGCAAAGGUUUCACCAUAGUCGAUACCCUCGACUUGGGAGUAGCCUUGUGCCACCAAGAGAGCCUUGUUGCGAACAAUAAUCCCAUGAGCAUAUUACUUUUUCUUGAAUAUCCACUUGGUGCCUAUGACAUUAUGAUUCCCGGUUUGCCUUGGCACUAAUUUCCACACUUGGUUAUGCUCGAAGUUGUUGAGUUCUUCAUGCAUGGCAUUGAGCCAAUCCGGGUCCUCGAGCGCCUCAUAAACCUUUUGGGGUUCGACACAAGAAACAAAAACAUGAUGUUCACAAUAGUUUGCUAAUUGUCUAAGAGUGCUUACCCCCUUUCUUAGGCUUCCAACCACAUUCUCCAUAAGGUGACCUUUGGUGGUGAGCUUGAAGGCGAUCUUCGCGACACGACGCUCUAAAUCCUCCUCGGAUGUGAAGAGAGGAGGGGUAACUUGAUCAUCUUGAGUGUCAUCUUGAGCUUGCCCUUGAUCUUGCACUUGCUCGAAGGGAAGAGCUUGACCUUGGGCAUCAUUUGGUGGUGCACCAUCAUCUUGAGGUUGAUCUUGCCCUUGAUCAUUUUCAUGAGGUUGAGGGCCUUCACUUUGUUCUUCGGAAGCGUGUGGGUCUUGGGUUGGUGAUGGCUCCACUUGAGUGGAGCAUUGUCCUUCUCCUUCGGCCACAAGGGGUUCCUCAAUGGGUAGGAUAUGACCAACACCCAUUCUUCUUAUGGCUUGGGAGGAAUUUCAUCACCUACAUCACAAGUACCACUUUGCUCCACUUGGGAUCCGUUAUUCUCGUCAAACUCCACGUUACACGUCUCCUCAAUGAGUCCAGUGGACUUGCUGAGGAAACGGUAAGCAUGAGAGUUUGUAGCAUAACCAACAAAUAUGCCCUCAUAAGCUCUAGCCUCAAAUUUAGACAAACUACUACAUUUCUUGAGAAUGAAACACUUACACCCAAACACCCGGAAGUACUUGAGGUUGGGCUUGUUACCGGUAAUUAUUUCAUAGGGUGUCUUGUUCAAGCCUUUGCGGAGGUAGAGCUGAUUUGAUGCAUGACAUGCUGUGUUGAUGGCUUCGGCCCAAAAGUUAUAAGGAGACUUGAACUCCGCCAUCAUGGUCCUUGCCGCAUCCAUCAACGUCCGGUUCUUCCUUUCGGCUACACCAUUUUGUUGAGGGGUGUAAGGUGCGGCAUACUGAUGCUUGAUCCCCUCAUCACUGAGAAACUCAUCCAAGGUGUAGUUCUUGAACUCGGUGCCAUUGUCACUCCUUGUGAUCAAGAUCUUUGCAUCAUGUUGCCAUUGAGCUUCAUUUGCAAAGUUGAUGACGGUUUGUUGAGUCUCGCUCUUACUCUUGAGGAAAUAUACCCAAGUAUAUCUUGAAUAGUCAUCCACAAUCACCAAGCAAUACUUCCUACCCCCAAUACUAUCAGAUGAUGGAGGCCUAAAGAGAUCCAUGUGAAGGAGCUCCAAGGGUCUCUUCGAGUAGAUGAUAGUCGUGUGAGGGUGAGCCGUCUCAUGAAGCUUUCCCUCGAUACAAGCACUGCAAGCACGAUCUUUGGCAAAACUAACAUUUGUUAGUCCACGGACAUGGUCCCCCUUGAGAAGGCUUUGCAAAUAUCUCAUAUUGACAUGGGCUAAACGGUGAUGCCAAAGCCAUCCCACAUCAACUUUAGCCAUUAGGCAUGUCGCGAUCUUAGUGGGUCGCUUCGAAAAGUUAAUCACAUAAAGACCGUUCUCGACAUGCCCAACAAAGGCUACUUUAAGAGUCUUGCUCCACAAGAGGGCCACGGUAUCAACAUCAAAGAAAGUAGCAAAGCCCAUAAGUGCAAGUUGACGAACGGAAAGAAGAUUGUAAGCAAGGGACUCAACAAGCAUGACUUUCUCGAUUGUGUGAUCAUGAGAAAUGGCAACCUUUCCAAGCCCCAAUACCUUAGAGGACGAGGCAUCACCCCACUCGACGUUGGUGGGCAUAGAUGGAAUCCUUUGCACAUCCACCACCAACUCAUUGCUUCCGAUCAUAUGAUUUGUUGCUCCACUAUCGAGCAACCAUGAUCCUCCACCGGAAGCAAACACCUACACGAAAUCGAUGCUUGGUUUUAGGUACCCAUUGAGUAAUGGGUCCUUUGAUGUUAGUAACAAGGGUCUUGGGAACCCAAAUAGACCAUUCAAUGUAAUCAUAAGGAGAAUAAACAAAUUUAGCAUAAACAUACCCAUCACUAGCACGGCAUAACACAUAAGAAGGGUUAAAGUCGCCGGCUUUGUUGGAAGGGGUGGCAUUGCCCUUCUUGACAUCGCCACCCUUCACAUUGUUCUUCUUCUCCUUAGUAGCACCAUCUCCCUCCUUCACAAACAUUUGCUUGAGAGGAGGAGGUCGUUUGGUCUUGUCAUUCUUCUUCUUGUUCUUGGGCUUGGAUGCGAACCCAACUCCCUCCUUGGCCACAACUUCCUUUUGAUUGCUCAAAAUGUCAUUGAGGUUUUUAUCACCUUGACUGCAUGUCACAAGGCCUUUCUUCAGUUGCUCUUUCAACUGGGCAUUUUCCUCCACACGAUGCACAUGCUCACAACACGGGUUAGUAGCAUUUGCGUUAUCAAUUAAGACCAUAUGAGGAAAGGUGGCUUUCUCCUUGGUUAGCUUCACUUGGAGUUGAACAUGAGACUCCUUGAGGCUAGCAUGAGCACCCUUCAAAGCCUUGUGAGCCUUUUCAAGUAAAUGAAACUCCUCUUUGAGUCUAGCAAGGUCAACCCCAAGUUUAGCCUUCUCAGAGUUUAACACACAAGAGAUAACAAGAGCAUGAUCAAGAUCUUUCUUUAAUUUAGCAUGGUCAACGUUGUGUGACUCCUCAAGAGCCAAACGAUGACCACGCUCUUCCUCAAGAGCGUUAGAGAGAUCCGAUAUCUCAUCGGCAUAGUCACGACUAUGACCUUCCAUCUUAGAGAUGGUUUCUUCAUGAGCCUCGAUCAUGUCAUUGGCUUCACCAAGUUGUUCCAAGAGAGAAACAAAGUGCUUGUUGGAUUUACCCUUGAGUUUACUCAUAAAAGACUCAAAUUGAUUCAUCUCUUCAUUAGACCCCUCAUUUUCAUCAAUGCAAUCCAUCAAGGAGGGAUUAGUAAUGAUGGUGGUUUUGAUGUUGGGGGUUACCUUGUUAGUGGCUUUAGCCAUGAGGCACUUGGCGGUGAUGUUCUCAUUGGGUGAAUCGAGGAGAGACACCCAGGGAGUUGUGGCAAUGGCAACGGAGGCCAUGGCCAUUGCUUCUCCAUCUUCAUCAUAAUCAUCAUCCUCAUGGUAGUCUUCUUGGACCACUAACCCUUGAGUAGGAGUCUUUUUGGUGAAGUUGUUCUUGUUGGGGAAGGACUUGGCUUUGUCUUUUCGAAUGAGCUUGCCACCAUUGUCUUCCCGCUUCUCGUAAGGACAAUCCACAACAAAGUGACUCAAAUUGCCACAAUUGUAACAGGUUCUCACUCGUUGCUUGCCCUUGAACCAACUUGAAUUGUUCUUGUUGAAAUUGGGCCUUGUGUUCUUCUUGCUCCAAAAUUGCCUUGAAGCAAGAGCCAUGUGCUCAUGAUAAUCAUACUUUGUAUCCUCGGGAUUGCCCUCCUCAUCUUCCUCUUCUUCCUGUUCUUCCACAAUGACCUUGGCCUUCAAGGCAAGAUUGGACUUCUUUGUUCUUUGAGAAUGGAGCACCGUGUUGUUGGCGGUCUUGUCCAAGAUGCUCACUGCAAUGAACUCAUCCAACACUUAACUUGAGGUCAUGGAGUGGAAGUCCGGUCUUUGACGGAUGACAAAGGACAUGGCCUUGUUGUAGGGCAUCAUGGCCUUGAGGAACUUGCGCUUGAUCCAAUUGUCAUUCAUGUCCUUGCUCCCAUGAUCUCGGAGUGAGACCGCGAGUUUGGUUACUCUCCGAAAGAGCUCACGAGGUUCUUCAUCUUCUUUCAUUGCAAACUCAUUUGCUUCAUCUUGCAGCACUUCAUAGUUGGAGCAUUGAAUGCUUGCGCUUCCCCGAUAGAGAGACACAACGCAAUGCCAUGCGUCCUUGGCCAUGGCGUAGCACUACAAAAAAAGACACAUCCGUGACAUUUUGGGCCGAACGAAUUUUUUCUAUCAUACAUAUGACACUUCUAUGACGAUAAUUGUGAAAAAACCCGGUAUCAUCAUAGAUGUGGUGGGCUCCUACUUCUAUGACAAAAAAUCAUGACAGAAAAUGGGCUUUUCAUCCUGGGCGGGCCGGAGACGCAGCUGCAUGACAUUCUUUGGGCCAUCCAUGACGGAAAAAACUAUGGUAGAAACGAGGGGGGGGUGAAUUUCGGGGAGUUGCCGGUUAUGGUGGGAGGUCAGGGGCCGAGCGAUGCGCGUUUCUCUCGUACACGUGCAAGGCGUUGGCUCUAACUGAACCCGAGCGAGGCGUUGGGAUCUAACUGAACCCGAGCGAUUGCAUUGCAGGCUACGCGUUACUGAACCCGAGCGAUCGAUCGAUGGCUGUUAACUGAACCCGAUGGAGCAAUUCCUUCGCUACUGCUGCUAACUGAAGCCGAUCGAUUGGAUGAACAGUGAGCGUUGCGGGGGAGGGUUGGAUGAACAGUGAGCGGUGGCGUUGCCUCUGGAUAACAGGACCCCGUGGUGUGGAGGUCUGGAUGAACAGUAGACGGUGGAGGGGUGGCCGUGGAGGGGUGGUUGAACAGGACCCCGUGGUGUGGAGGGCUGGAUGAAUAGUAGACGGUGGAGGGGUGGUUGAACAGUAGACGGUGGAAUAGCGCGUGGUGGAGGCUGGAUGAACAGGAGCCCGUGGAGGCUGGAGGAGGUCGAGGGUAGCCCGUGGAGGCUGGAGGAGAUCGAUGGUGGAGAUGAACAGUAUCUUGUGGAGUCCCGUUUUGCGGUACGCCACACCCCUCUCGAUGAACAGGACCCCCAUUUCGACCAUAGCGCUCCAACACAAGUCCGUUUCGUCCGUUUUGCGGUACGCCACACCCCUCCCGAUCAAUAGGAUCCCCGUUUCGACCGUAGGAGGUCUGUUUUGCGGUACGCCACACCCCUCCCGAUCAACAGGACCCCCGUUUCGACCGUAGGAGGUCCGUUUCAUCCGUUUGGCGGUACGCCACACCCCUCCCGAUCAACAGGACNNNNNNNNNNNNNNNNNNNNNNNNNNNNNNNNNNNNNNNNNNNNNNNNNNNNNNNNNNNNNNNNNNNNNNNNNNNNNNNNNNNNNNNNNNNNNNNNNNNNNNNNNNNNNNNNNNNNNNNNNNNNNNNNNNNNNNNNNNNNNNNNNNNNNNNNNNNNNNNNNNNNNNNNNNNNNNNNNNNNNNNNNNNNNNNNNNNNNNNNNNNNNNNNNNNNNNNNNNNNNNNNNNNNNNNNNNNNNNNNNNNNNNNNNNNNNNNNNNNNNNNNNNNNNNNNNNNNNNNNNNNNNNNNNNNNNNNNNNNNNNNNNNNNNNNNNNNNNNNNNNNNNNNNNNNNNNNNNNNNNNNNNNNNNNNNNNNNNNNNNNNNNNNNNNNNNNNNNNNNNNNNNNNNNNNNNNNNNNNNNNNNNNNNCCGUAGGAGGUCCGUUUCCUCCGCUUUGUGGUACUUCACACCCCUCCCGAUCAACAGGACCCCCGUUUCGACCGUAGGAGGUCCGUUUCCUCCGUUUUGCGGUACGCCACACCCCUCCCGAUCAACAGGACCCCCGUUUAGACCGUAGGAGGUCCGCUUCCUCUAUUUUGCGGUACGCCAGGCCCCUCCCAAUCAAUAGGAUCCCGUUUCGAACGUGGCCGGUCGAACACAGGGCCGUUUCCUCCGUUCUUCGGUACACUAGGCCUCGUUUCCAUCGCCUGUUCCAUCCAAGCCUUCCCGAUGAACACGACCAUGCAUUCCAUUCUGACCCAGCCGGUUGGCUCCCCAUGAACACGACGACGACGUUGUUUCUCCGUUCCGACCCAGCCAUGUACGUAUGCGCGAGUAGGCGUUCAAGACCCUGCCCGUAUGUACGUACGUGGCCGUAUUUUCUUUCUUGCACCCUCGCCGUUGUACGUACGUGUACAUGCUACGUGCGCGCCUCUACUACGACACGUGUGCGCCUCUACUAUGACACGUGUGUGCCUCUACAUCGACCAGUAUGUACGUACACGUUCGCGACCAGAAUGACAAUGCUACGUACGCUUCGACCAGGUGGGUCCCGACUGUCAUGCACUUCCUUGCCUACGAAGAUGUAGCUGGCGGGUCCCAGCAGUCAGGGGGGCGAAUCGUUUUGGGUAUUUUUUUGCCCGGACGCACUUCCUUGCAUGCGAAGGUGUAGCUAGUUGGUCCCAGUAGUCAGGAGGGAAACGUUUUUUCGCAAAAUACGGUGGCCCGUCCGGUGGGUCCCUGCUGUCAGGUGGAGGAAUCAUUAUUUUCCGUGUAAUAAGGAGGCACUUCCUUGCUGCGGCCGUGGACCCAGCUGUCAGCCUCUCGACGUACAGCCCACGUCCAAUGGAAGUCGUUCCUUGACCACGUUGACCAUGCCGCGCCGAGAGCACCAGGGCGGUGGACGACGGCGAGGCCUAGGAAGGGGACGACGCGGAGCCGGUGAAGACGCGGCAGUGGAUGCCCACACAGAGAGGAGUAUGAGUAUUCACUCGUUCGGCUGCGCUGUGAGGCUGCCGUCGCCGCAGGGCCUGGCCUAAGGUGGGAAUAGUAGGGGGAGGUGAGGCCUCCACGGCAGCACAGCCGGCCACGGGAGGCAGGAGCAGGCAGCACAACCGGCGCUGCUUUGGGCGGAUGGAGCAAGAAGAUCAGAGGUUGAAGAAGCACUACGGCCGUUGGAUGGACAUCGUACAGUCACUGGAGCUAGAAUCGUUCAUAUUGACUAAGUUGACAAAGCCCUCCAUCCACGUCAACUUAGUAGGCCCACAAGUCAGCUUCCCACCAAGGUGAGUCCCAGCUAGCAGGGGGAGUAUUCAUUUUUUUGUGCGUAAUAAAGAGGCACUUCUGGUGGGUCUGAGCUGACAGCGGGGGAACGUUUUUUUCACGAAAUGCGGUGGCCCGUCGGGUGGGUCCCAGCAGUCAGGGGGAAACAUUUUUUAGCGAAAUAAGGUGGCUCGUCCAGUGGGUCCCUGCUGUCAGGUGGAGGAAUAAUUAUUUUGCGCGUAAUAAGGAGGCACUUCCUUGCGGUCGUCGUGGACCCAACUGUCAGCCUCUCCACGUACAGUACUCUUCCGAUGGAAGUCGGUCAUUGACCACGUUGAUCACGCCGUGCCGAGAGCACCAGGGCGGUGGACGACGGCGACGCCUAGGAAGGGGACGAUGCGGAGCCGGGGAAGACGCAACAGUGGAAGCCCGCGUGGAGAGGAGUACGAGGGUUCACUGGUUCGGCUACGGUGUGAGGAUGCCGUCACCGCAGAAUAACAGGGGGUGUGGGUGAGUGGAGGGAUGGCCUGGCCAGCGGUGGGAGUAGUAUGGGGGCGGUGAGGCCUCCGCGGCAGCACAGCCGGCCACGGGAGGCAGGAGCAGGUGGCACGACCGGCGCUGCUUUGGGCGGCUGGACUAAGAAGACCAGAGGUUGAAGAAGCACUACGGCCGUUGGAUGGACAUCGUACGGUCACUGAAGCUAGAAUCGUUUAUAUUGACUAAGUUAACAAAGCCCUUGGUAUGCUCCAAUUUAGUAGGCCCACAGGCCAGCCUCCGAAACGGUGCGCCCCAGAUGUUAGGGGGAGGAAUCAUUUUUUGGGCGGCCGAAGCUAAGAAUAUCCAAGAUUGAACAAGAAGAACGACAUCCGUUGGAUAGAUAUCCAACGGCCACUGCUGCUAGAACCAUGUGUUGACUAUAAUAAGUUGACAAAGCAUUGCAUACGCGUCAACUUAUUUUUUUAGGGGACGUGUCACUUAGUAGGCCCACAAGUGUGUGGCAGAGAACUUAUAGCCCAUUUGCGUUUUCUAAGAAUGUACAGCCCAUUUUUGAAUUCUAAUGGAAUUUACAACAGCCCAUUUACAGUUUGUUAGAAGUACAGCCCAUUUUCUAGCUAGGACAAUCAUUAAUAAUUUAAACCAACCGUUGAAGACAGAAUUCAAUAAAAUUUCCCACAUUUUGAUGGGAUCCGAAAUAUUUUUAUCCCGAAAUUUCUAGUCAUAUUAAAUAUAAAUUUGUAUUAUGUAAAAAUCCAACGAAACAUUGCGCGCGCAACAAUGAAAAUUUUAGAUUUUCAAAAUCCAUAAAUAAUAUUUUAUAAACUAAUUUCGUGUUUGGUGCUUUUUUUAUAGUUACUGCCCAGUUUUUAUAAUUACAUCCCAUUUAUUAUUUUUAAAGCCCAUUUUCCUGUUAAGCCUAAUGCAUCCCUCCUAGGAAAGAUUUGCAGCCCAGCGGGGCGGAGAAUAACAAGUUGACCUUGCCUGGGUAUUCCUCAAAAAGACGUAUAGCUGGGCUAGCCAUUUUCAUCUUGAAAAAAGUAGUAGCUAGGCUGGAUAUCUGGCCUGGGCUAGACGGGCCACAGCCCGCCCAGUUAAUACCCUACUCUCCUCUGAACAACAACAAAAUCAUCGCCAACAAAAACUCUGCAGUGCUCACGCCUCAAAAACACAAAUACUGCUCGAGCUGCUUGGUCCCAGCUGUCGGCCCCACCUUGUGCAAUUCUCUCGUUUAUAUUGACUACAUAGGUUGACAGUGGUGUGGGACCGUGAUGUCAGGAAACCAGGAGAAAGCAAAAAAAAUAUAGUUGUACAUAAUAAGGAGGCACUUGCGUACGUACGGCUAUGGCCCUAGUGGGUCCCUAGUGUCAUCCAGUCAAAAUAAAGUCAUCUCCUGAAUCCUCAUGUUCGUUGACCAUGUUAACAGUGCUCGGCGCCACGGUGAGCGCAACAACUUGAAGGACAACGGAGAGGGCCUCGUGGGCCCUACGGAGGUCUGAUACAGCGCCCGCUGCUCAUUCAGGAAGCCAGCAUCAGUGGCGGAGGCAGGAAUGCAUAUAAUCGGAUGUUGAGGAGGGCCGGCUGCAGGCAACAGUAAAAAUUUGUCACUGUUCAUAUGCAUAAUACAAAGGAAAUGAGGAUGUUGGGGAGGGCCCGGGCCCUGGCUGGCCACCCCCUGCCUCCGCCACUGGCCAGGAUCAUCAGACACCUAUGAGCACCUUCGAGAAACUGAGACGGCAUGAAACGGUAAGGCCGCGCUUGGGAGCUCUGGUUUAUUUCAAACCUGUAUUAACAUACAAGUGUAAUUUACUCGUCAUCGGAAGGCCCGAGGUCUGUAAGUAAAACUGGCGGGUUACGCGUGUAAUUUGAGAGACCAGUGUAUAUUUUAUGAGCACUGCUAUAUGGAUGACAUUACCAGACGAUACAUGCACGACGUGUGUAUCAUGCCAUCCAUGGGCAAGGCUGAAACAGCAGCUAACGGCUGGAUUAGCAAUCAUCUGAGUGUCGUUCAGCAUUUUUAUCGUGUGUGAAGUACUUCCAAUAUUUUACUAGUCGAAAUCGACCAACCAAGCGCCUUCGCCCUAGACCAUCUGCUUUAAUUUACAAGCGUCAGUUUUACAAGCGGUUUUGGUUGGAAAACGACGAUCCAAUCACGGCCUAAUAUCAUGAGUUGGUCGGAAGAUCAUAUGGUUUCACGUCUAACCUACCCGACAUGUCGUAUAGGCUAUGAAUGAAACAUCAGACGAUGAACUUCUUACGCAUGGAAACAACAGAAGAGGAUGAUCUUCUUAAUAAGCAAAUCACUAGCAUUAGAUCGACAUGCAAAACAAUACGAAGCAUUAUUCUCAGGAGGCACGCUGAACAGCUCAUGAUGUCGCAUGCCACAACAUUCCAAGCUCAACUUUGCAAUCAAACACAAGGCCUGGCAUUACAUAGACAAUAUUCAGAACAAACUCUUAACACAGGAAUAUCUCAGCAGAGUAACUAUUUACUUCUAAACUGAACACAUGAAUAGGAAAAAACACUCGAUGCUGCUCCCAGCAAGGGCGUCCCACUCAAAAAUAUCAAAUGCAUGUCUUUUGGCUAACAUCAAUGAGCAAAUUUUGACAAGGUUUUCCAAUUCCAAUAUAUUAAACUGAUGUCUUCUUGCUAGCAUCAAUGAUUAAACUUGACAAGCUUUUCCCAUUCAAAAUAUGUAAUGCCUAUGAUCGUGUCCUGUCGUAGCUUCUUGUACUUGUUUGGGAACUUUUUGCCCAGGGCACUCCACGUGUUGUUAAAUUGCCAACGGUCUCUGCAGACUAGUCAUGUCACCGGUGUCUAAUAAUACUCUGUAAAGCUUCUCGGUCAUUCCUUCUGUAAUGUACCGCAACCAGUGACUGCUUCUUUCUGCAAAGUGGAACGUCCAACUGGACCCAGUAACGCAGCAGCUUGCCUUGGACACAUUGGCUCCCUUUGUGCAGUUCAACUAAAAUCGAAGUCGGAAUAAAAUCGAGCUUUAAUUUUGAUAUCCGUGUAAGCAACUAUAGGUAUAAGGGAAACAAUUACUGAGAAAUAAUAGUUGAUGACUUGUCUUAAUGGGAAACAAAGCAGGAGAGUAGAAAUUCUCCAUCAGUGUGAUUCAUUCAUAUUGACUGAGACAUUAUCUUAACAAUGCCUUGUUUCAACAUGUAUAAAGAACGAAAAAAUAGAAAAGUACCAUUCCUAAAACAAUGCAACUGAUUCAUUUUUAAAGAGACAUUAUCUUAAAAAUACCUUGGUUAAACAUGUAGAAAGAACUACAAAGCAGGAUAGUACCAUUCCUAACAAGUGUUGCAGUUUUGAACUAAGAUUCAGUAGUUAAUUAAUUCUGAGAGUGGCAUUGCUUAAUUUUACCAGCAGCAUUAGAUUAACGAAAAGCAUAAAUAGUUCCAGGGGAGAGUGGGCGCAACAACAAUAUGUGCUUCCAUCUACUUAUAAAGGGGGUGAUGCAGAGUUUGUUGUAACAAAGCAACAAGCAUCAUGUCUGGGUUGGUCCCAUUUUUGUUCACUACUUAAUGGGAAAAGACAGCAAUACAAUAGCUUCAAUUCAACAUUUAUUUAAAACAGUACUAAUACAGGUAGCACAACAUCUCAAAGCACACUGCACAAUCAUGUGGAUGAAGGCCUGUACUGACCUUUCAUGAGAACACCAGGAUAAAAUACGAAUCAGCUAACACGAAUAGGAAAUCCAAUCUCCUUUUGUGCAGUUGCACUGAAAUCAAGCAAAGUGUUUCGCGUAGCGAAGCAAAAUGUCGCAAUAGAAACAAGUUGAAUAGAUAUCAUGUGGUUGAGACCAAGAUUUGAAACAACUUGAUAGGAACACUGGAAACAAAUCUCGGAUCUCCUUUUGUGCAGUUCCACCAAAAUUAAGCAAAGUCACCGGUGUGACAUUCAAGUUGAACUGCACAAAACACUCUUAAAACAGAAGUGUUUCGAGUAGCGAAGCAAAAUGUCGCAAUAGCAACAAGUUGAAUCGAUACCCCUGUUUUAACAGAGGCAAAAAAGGAAACAAUUACUUGCCGAUAAAGGAGGAUGAAACAAACGGUGACAGAAAGAAGCAUCUAACUUAUCUUGGAUGGAAAACAAAGUAGGAUAGUAGCAUUUAUAAAAUGGUUGAAUUGAUUCAUAUUAACAGAGACACUCUCUUGAAACAACAUUCGUUAAAAAAUGUAAUUUACUUUUAACAGUGGCAUUACUUCAAUUUUCCGGUGGUAUUCUUAGAUUAACAACAUCAAAAUAGCUGUAUGGGACAUGCUAGCACCAUGUGCAUCCACACGUAUAAAUGGGUGAUGCAGAGUAUGUAGCCAAGCAGCAUAUCUGUGUUGGUCCCAUAUUUGUUCUCUUUGAACUUUUUUCCUAUGUGAGGGCAGCACAUCUAGUCCUGCACAAACUACCCCCCCCCCCAGUUUCUUUCCGUUUUCAACAAAGAGAUCGGUUCCUUACAGAUGUGUGUAUUGGGUUACCCCCUUUUUCCCUUUUCGACCAACAAAGCGGCUGGAUAGCCAGUCUAUACUACUUUUCCUCCCUCCUUUCCUCAUUAAACCACGUCCUAGAUUCAUGCUCCACCUCACCGCACCUUUCUUUCCUCUUUGAACCAAGACCUAGAUUCGACUACAGAUCAAAAAAGAUCCACAUGCAGCUAGAGCAACGACGGUUUCAGAGAAACUUAUACCUUAGUGUCGUCGGGAUGUGGCAAGGCGUGCGGCGGGAGGCCGGAUCUGCCCACACUACGUACGGCAGCGAGGAAGAAGGGGUCGGUGGCCCUCCCGCACAGGCGUUGGGUGAAAGAGAACAGCGCAGCCGGCAGUGGGUUGCCUCCCUCGCCGAAGCCGAUAGAGUUAAUGCUGCACCUCCUCCCCUUCCCGGUGCGACGGGAUACGGACGCUUCCUUCACCAGCUAUGAGGGGGGAGAGAGAGACAAGAGGCCAACUCAGUCUUGUUUAGAUCUGGUGAAGAGAGGGUGAGAGACUGUGAAUAUAGCAAACCCUAGCAAAUGAAUGAUGAGCCUCCAGCGUGUAACAUAUAUGUAUUGCGGCGAGCGUGUGGAGAGUGCAAACCCUAGCGAACAAGCGCUGAGGCUCCCGCUUAUAUUAUAUACUUGUGGGAGCUUAUAUGUGAUAUCCUUAAAUAACAUCUAGAUGUGAAUUAGACAAACUGAUUUUCAAACAUACCAAGAAAGAAAACUCGAUCAAAACACGCCCCCACUUCCAGGUCACGAGAGUCGUCGCGCACACACACAUAGACAUAGACAUGCAUAUCCGUGUUUACGUAAAUUCCAUUUUCAUCUCCAUCUCCAAUCAUAUUUGUCCAACUGGCACAUUAUUUACGUUGUUAAUUACAUACGCAGCAAUAUUAACGUACAGCAUCUCUUGUUUGCGCAUGUCCGGACCGCUGCCACGACUGGUCCUGACCAACCCGAACCCUCCUCAUCACCCGCGCAUGCUUCCCGCCCAAAACGGUCAGUGCCGCAUUCAUGCCCGGCCAGUGCGGACGCGACCUCUCACAGGCGCCGGCAUUGAAGCGGCGCGCCGGUCGAGAGAGCGACGCCCGCGCCGCUUCCGGGUGCAGGCGGCUGCUCCGCGUUCAAAGGUCGCAAUAGCAGGCUACAACAUGCAUGUAAAAAGUUCUUGGGAGUCCGUGCUAUAGCUACCUGUCCUCCCCCAACUCGUCAAUCUCUUCCAGUAGUGCUAGUAGUACUCCAUGGCACGAUCCAUCGACAAGCAGGCGGGAAAGUUAUCGUAUACUCGGUUUGCGGUGAGUGGCAUGCCAAGCAACUGUGUGGGGUCGAGUCGUGGAGGAGGGUGAGACACGAACACGACAGACGUGAUUUAAACGUUGGUUUUGCUCGAUGGCGUGAUCCAACGAAACGAAACGUUGGUUUCUCUCCGUUUCCAUUUUUUCUCCGGAAAAACGGAAACUUUCCACUCCAUUUUCAUUCCUAUUCCAAGGUUGCCCCGUUACAACAUUCCAUCAAAUACAAAGGAAAACUAACACGCAUGCUGAUGCAUCUCAAUGAUUCACAGAUCAUAGCCAAUAUUUACUUCACAACUAAAGAAAAAAGUUGUGAGAGCGUGUACGAAAGAAAAACUAUUGAUGGGGUCACUACGACUUAAACCCUAAACCCUAAACAUGAUAUAAUUCCAUGUCCAGGUAGAACCUGUCGAAGGAAAGACGGCUGGCACCCUCGGAUCAUACGAUGCUUUUGUGCAGUUCCACUAAAAUCGACCUGGGCAUCCCUGAUGGCAAAGAUAUUGAAGAAGUGUGAUUAGAAUAAUAGUACUGGCACUAGUUCAUGUGACAUAAACUCAUCACAACUAGAAGCCGGUAGAAGUAGAGAAAGAUGGACAUGGAGAUGGAGCUACGGCAGUGGAGCAAGCCAGCUCCAAAAGGAAGAUGGACUACCUGGGAUGUCGGGCUGUACCUAGAAGGGCGGUUGGGACGUGGCAUCAUCCCAUACCACGGUGACCCCUGAUUGGGACGCACCGACGGCUGGUUUUCUCCCUCGCCUAUGUCGACCGCGUCUACGCAGAACAUUGUUCCCUUCCCCCAGCUGCGGGAUCAGGCCCGUCGUUCUAUGCUUGUGAAGAGAGCAACCUUAGCAAGCAGGCUUGUAGAUUAGGCUCCUGCUAGUGUAUAUAUAGUGGUUCUCUUUUUCUCUCCAUAUCAACCAUUUUAUAUUGCGUACGUGUCAUUCAAGAGUGAAAUGAUGGUUGCUUCUUCCAACUAACUUACCGUGUGAUUUGACUGCUCCUUAGUGGCCCCUACAUGUACUACCCCUACGUGUAUGCAACAGUCACGCGUACACAUGGACGCAAAAACGCGCGCGACGCCCUAAUGCGUGCAUGUCCGAGCACACGACGGAACACACACGGUCACGCUAAGUGCUCAACCUACACGUGCAUGCACACACAUACUCAGUCAGGGUGAGCUAGUGACCGUAUAAACACCAGAAAAUAUAUAUGAGCUCAAUGAGCAUAUUAUGAAGUCCACUGACAGUAUUUUUACAAAUAUACAGUGACAGACAGUGUAUUUAUCUCGUUUGAACUUAAUCCAUAUUAACCGGAGAGGAGGCAGUAUGGACUAGCAUUACUUGCGCGCGGUGACUCGCAGGACAAGGAGAAACUUUUGACUAAUGCAAGCUCUCCCUCGCUCAGGAGGUGGACGUGCAACAGUUAAUUCGGUGUCAGAUUGCCAGAAGCAUACACAAUACUACUAGUACUACUAUUGUUCGACUUCCCGAAUAGGCGAACAGCCAAGCGCAAAGUUUACUAGUACUAGUACUACUAAUAUAGUCUAUAAAGGUACAUACUAUACUAGUACUAGGAACCGGAUGGAGGAGCGUCUGCACUCUUAUUAUAAUUUUAAAAUGUGAUACAGCAAUCUUCAACACAUUUGGUUCUCUUCGAGGGUUCUCGCAUGUGAUAAUGGAAGUUGAUUCCAUGGAACACUCGCCACAAUUCUCGCUUAAUUCUGGCUCAUAUCCUGUUACAAAUAGUAGCGCUCGAUAAUAUUUCCUCUUUUUUUGUUAUUCAGCAUGUAAACAGGUCAGCAAACCUUACGGCGCAUCUUCGUGCGAACCGUGCUUGCCGCACUUUGAAUGUGGCCGAGAGCUGGCUUGAUGAAACACCUCGCUUCCUACUUCUUUUUUUGCGGGGUACCUCGCUUCCUAGUGACCAGUGUCUUGGCUGAUCGUCCUAAGAAUGCUUAUAUAUGAAUAAAGCUCUCUCACUUACCCGCAAAAAAGAUUAAGCCAUAUUAACCGGAAAGGAGGGAGUAUGGACUAGCACUACUUUUUGGUGUGUCCCGUCAACUCGCAGAACGAGGAGAAGCUUGCAGGACAAGGUGAAGCUCGCUUACGCCUUUUGACUAAUGCAACCUACCUCGGUGGACAUGCAUCAGUCCAUUCGGUGUCAGAUUGUCAGAGGCAUACAUUGUAGUACCCAACAUGCAGAGUAUCAUCAUUGUUCGACUUCACGAAGAGGCGAAGAGCCAAGCUCAGUAGUACGAGUAGUACUACUACUAGAACCGCAUGGUGGAGCGUCUGUACUCUUAUUUUUUUCUCUGAUAAAGUACACGUUUAUUCCGGAGAAGGGCAGAAAACGGCAGCCCAACAUGUAGUGAAUGAUAUCGAUCAACCAACCAUGCUCAAAUAUAUCUUGGCCUCCAUGCGAACCCGUCUGUGUGUUCUCGCUCCUCGUCUCUCUCAAGGAACGGCGGGUUGGCUCUUUACCGUGAAUUGAGAUUGGUUUGCUCACACUCCUGUCCCACAUGUCAGUUAUAUGCCAAGAGGAGGUGCGUUGACUGACUGGCCAUACGCGUACUUGGUUUUGAACCUUCAUACUACUUCCCCCUCCGUCACAGUUUACAGGGCGCACUUCAUUAUGAUGCAUUUCUCUCAAUGCAUUUCCACCACCAGAGAGACUUUAGACGCGUUUGGUUUAAUGCUCAAUUAAUUAGGGCGUGGUAACCGCAAUCAAGUCCACAAUUUUCUCUCCUUGUACUCUGUACUAAUCCUACGGAGUGGAGUAAGUGCAUGCAUGUGUGUACCCGGGGUGGAAGCACUGCAUGCAUGUGUGUACGCAUUAUUCCCUCUAGUAAUAGACGCCGUGCUAUAACUACCAAUGCUAUUUUUCAGGUUGAUCGCUAGUCGCCUUGGUCCCACAGAUCUUUUUUCUUUUUUCUGAAGCGUGUUGUUAAACAGUGAUGGAUGGAGUAGUAUGAGCGGAUUCAAAGAAGAGUGUAUUGAUGGUUGCUUCUUCAGAGCAACUUAUAGUGGGAAAGGUGAGGCUUAUGAUUUGACUGCUCAUUACUCACUAUUAAUGCGGCGCAAGUCUCCCAUGUGGUUGUGCACUACCCCCUCGGUUCUUAAAUAUACUUCGGAGUAUAUUUGUCUUUCUAGAGAUUUCAAUGAGUGACUGCUCAAAUAUUUGUCUUUUUAGAGAUUUCAAAUGGACUGGCACAUACGGAUGUAUAUACAUAUUUAAGAGCGUAGAUUCUCUCAUUUUGCUUUGUAUGUAGUCACUUGCUGAAAUCUCUAGAAAGACGAAUAGAAUAUUUAGGAACGGAGGGAGUACACAUACGAAGCAAAAUGAGUGAAUCUACACUCUAAAAUAUGCCUGUUUGAAAUUUGUAAAAAGACAAAUAUUUAGGAACGAAGGAGUAUAAUUUUGCGCAUGGCACAUGGACCCAGAUGAUGAAGAGGCUUCUGGCAAUGCUAUCCAGCUUCCAUCAUUUGUUUACAUAAUUGACGUACUAUACAAAUAAUUUUCCAGCGAGACAUGAAAUUGUACAAUGGUGUGAGCUUUCAGCUUCUGUUUCGCGUGUCUUGCCAUCGAUGCUCUUUCAAAAACAAUAAAAAAACUAACUUCCUUGCUAAUGCGUGUCAAUUAUUAGCAGAUCAGAGCUAAUAAUUACAUCACAACUGAAGACAGAGUUGUGAGAAGGUGUUAAAUUAAAAUUGAUCCAUGCUUUCAUUGGCAGCAACGUCCCCCCAGCUCUGUCUAAAUCAACAAGGCAUGUUGGGAAAAAAAGUAGCUGUCUGGAGCAUGCAACAUUUCGAUCAUUUUGUGCAGUUCCACUAAAAUAGAGCUGAGCGUCCCUGUUCCAAAGAUAUUAAGUGUGAUUACGAUAAUAGAGGACUACUGAUGAAACAAUAAACACAUAAAUAGAAGCCGGUCACCUUUGCAGUCUCUCUUAAGACUAACUAGUUGGAGAAGAUUAGGCUCGGAGUUGGAUGAGGAGGAUAGAGCAAAACCAAUCUCCCUUUGUGCAGUCGCACUGAAAUGUAGAGACGUUGCCCAUGUGACAUUUUAGUACAACUGCACAAAACACUCUUAAGAAAAAGUGAUUUGUGCAGUUCACCAAAAGGUCGCAAUAGCAACGAGGUGAAAUGGAUAGCCCUGUUUGCAAAACAGAGGUAGAAAGGAAACAAUUACUGGCCAAUAACAGUUGAUGACACAUGCGACGACAAAAAAGAAGCAUAUUCCUUGCCCUAAGGGAAGAUAACAACACGGUUGUGUUUGUCUAAAUCGGUGUGAGGACGAGAAUGCAAUAUGGAAAGUACACUGGACGAGCUAUGUUUUGGGCAAAGAACUAUGGAAGAUCCACAUGCAGCGACGUGGGAAGACGUGCAGUGGAGCAAGGCCGGAGGGGAUACCUGGAGGUCGUCGGGAUGUAACUAGGUGAGCGGCGGCGGGCGGAAUCUACGAGCAGGUGGCGUAGGCCCUGCCGCGCGGGAGCUUGGACAGAGAGAACGGCGUGUACCGCAGAUCGAGACGUGUUGCCUCUGCGCCAUCGAACGGAGAAACGAUGCACUUCCUCCCUUUCCCCCGGCGGACGGGAUGCGUUCGGAUCAAUGACCAACGGUGAGAGAGAGAGAGGCCACUGCACUCCCUUUCCCCCAGCGGACGGGAUGCGGCUGGAUCAAUGACCAACGGUCAGAGAGAGAGGCCACCGCAGCCUUGUGUGAGAUACUCUGAAGAGCGACAAACUAGGCACGCAAGGCUCCAUUGUAUAUAGUGAGCGGACUACUUUUUCUCCAUAAAAAUCGUUUUAUAUUCUGUGUACGUGCCAUUGAGCGCUAUAACUUUAUUUAAAAAUAAUGCGGCAACGCGUCAAGUCGAACUUUGUUUCAUGCAGGCAUGGUACACGACCUCCCUAGGUAAACAACCGCUAUAGGCGUUCAAAUUAGCAUGUGGGGUGCCAUUUCGUAAAGAAAUGAGCUCCACCGUGUACCCGCGCGGGUGUGGCUGGGCACGAAGCGUGAGUACGUGCAUGGUGCACCUAUUCUCUUCUUGUAUACGUACACCACCUACGUGGGGUUGUGUGAGAGAGAUACAAACCUAGAGAGAUAUAGUGUGUGUGUUCUUGAGAGUUUUUUNNNNNNNNNNNNNNNNNNNNNNNNNNNNNNNNNNNNNNNNNNNNNNNNNNNNNNNNNNNNNNNNNNNNNNNNNNNNNNNNNNNNNNNNNNNNNNNNNNNNNNNNNNNNNNNNNNNNNNNNNNNNNNNNNNNNNNNNNNNNNNNNNNNNNNNNNNNNNNNNNNNNNNNNNNNNNNNNNNNNNNNNNNNNNNNNNNNNNNNNNNNNNNNNNNNNNNNNNNNNNNNNNNNNNNNNNNNNNNNNNNNNNNNNNNNNNNNAUAUGUAAUGUGUGUGAAAUAGAGUCUUGGAUAUAACAUAUAUAUAGAGGGGGCGAUCCACGAGAAGAGAGUGGAGGUAUCACCGACUUGAGGUGUCCAUAGAAUCGAAAAGAGGGAUGAUGAUGUGUGUGUGUGCGGGCGCGAUCGAUAAAGAGUGCCAUCGAAUUUGUGUGUGCCCAUGUCAUAGAUAUAGAGUGGCUGGCCUACUGGAACGUGAGAGGGGACAUGUGCAGUUUGUCUCUGUGGCAUGGAUACCUACCUGCAGCGCUCGACUAUCGGUGUGUGGUGGGGGAAGAGGGAGGCCCAAUUAACUAUAGAGGUACAAUGGCUGGUAUAUGUGUGGAGGAGGAGAGAGGCCUACCUCAUGUAUUAAGGAGAUCGAUCUGCCUCAUGUAUUAAGGGAGAUCGAUCGGCAUCCAUGCAUAUGUGCAGGAGAGGAAUAAGGUUGGGAGAGAGACAGAGCUAGAGUGUUGGAGGGGGUGGUAGUGGAGUUGCUUCUAACAAAUGGUGGGAUAGGCCUGCUAGACAAACGGAGGGCACGCACGCAAUAUCAAUAAGAGAGGAGAUGGCUGCUUGUUGUCUGUGCACGUGCAUGUGAGAGACGGGUCAGGAGGCAUGCACGAAUGAUGAGGGGGGACGAUGUAGCUGUGGUAAGCAGACAUAACUACAUAGGAAGAUCGAUCGCCCUUUGUUAGAGAAAGGAGAGACAUAAGUUGUGAGGUACGUCGAUCGAUGGGGGGGUAGUUAAAGUCGAUCCAGGUAUAUGUUGGGAGAUCGAUCGGUAUACAUGCAUAUGUGUGUUAGAAGCAAACGAGGCACGAGGAGAAGGAUAGAGAUAGAGGGAUGCAUGUAGGAGGUGGCACGAGAGGCAUACUAUAUCGAGCGGGGAGGAGUGUGCGAGUACGAGAACGAUGAAAAGAGUGGUGGGAGUGAGGCAUGGACGGUGACAAGAGAAGAGGGGAAGCUUGUGUUUGUUCUAGGCACACCUGGCUAGAGAGGCAUAUCGAUCGAUGUGUGCCGUAAAGAAGGAGCUGGGGGGCCUACACACACCGUGGGUGAACGACCUAAAGUGAAAAGACGAAUUUGCGCGAUGGAGCUAGAGAAUGCUAAGGGAGGGUGAGAGGGAUGCGGGCGUGUGCAUGCACAACAGAAACUUAGCGCUAGCUACAAAUACAAGAGGGUUGUGUGGGUGUAAAAGACGAAUAGAGAUCAUAUAUACUUCAUUAUAAAAAGCGAAUUCGGAUAUUUGAAGAAUUUAUCAUAGUGUUUUAAACCGACGCAUGUGUGAAUAUAUAUAACGGUGAUACACAUGGUGUGUUUAUGAACAUGUUAUACUACAUUUAAUAUAUUUUAUCUCUACUCUUAUAAAAAACGGAGUUGUUGAUGAUGGUGUGCCUGCCAUCCUGCAUUAUAGGCCGUCCGAUUUAUAUCUGGCGGAUAGCAAGGAAACUAUGAUGGUUGAAGUUGGCAACAAUCAUGAUUGUAGAUUCUUAUUGAAAUAGAGAAACAAAUUCAAAGUUAGUUCGGAUUGCAGUGGUAGUAUAGACAUUUGGAAUGCACAAAAAUGUUGGUAUGAGUAGGUUACAUGCAUUAUACAGCAAGCGAAAAAAUUUAAUCGGACAUAACAUGGAUUCAUACUCCCUCCUUCCAUCUAUGUAGGGCGUAAUGAGAUUUUUAAGACCGCCUUUGACUAUUGACAAUAUUAAUAGUACAUGACAUGCACAAGGUGAAAAUUAUAUCAUUGAAAGAACCUUUCACAAACGAAGUUAACGGUGUGCUUUGUGUAAGUUGCAUGUCAUAUACCAUUGCUCUAAUAUUUGGUCAAAGUUAGCAUCGAAAAACGCAUUAGGCCCUAUAUAGAUGGAAGGAGGGAGUAGCUUUGAAUAGCAUUUGUAUAGUAAAACAGGGCAAGACUCUCUCUUUGUGUGGUGUGAAUAGUUUUAUUUUUUUCAUUUUCUUUUUGGUUGAGGGAAGUGCGAAUUGAUUUGGUAAGUACAAGUACAAUAUUACUACACGUUAGGCUUGUCCCUAAAAUUCAACUCGCGUCUUGUUAUAUCCCAAAAAUUCAGAUAUCGUGCUCCCAAAACUGGCGCCUUCACAACCCGCGCCUUGCCAUCCCGAACUUAUAACGCGCGCGAAAACUCCCUCCAGCUGCCAAAUCCCGACACGCGAAAUCCCCCUUCUAACCCUGAGCCGAAAGGGCCGCUAGUUCAAAUCGGUGGGGGGUACUUUUGUAACACACCCUACAUUUUGGACAAGCGCGUCCCUAAGUCAUGCUUCACCCCCUCCCAUCGCCCUCUUUUCUCCAUUUGAAAUCCCAGGCCGCCAUAACCUCUCCGCUCCAGCCGCGAACCCCACUCUCCUCCGUUCGCCACGUCACCGUUGUCCAGCCGAAGCCUCUUCCCCGACGACGUCGUCCACCGCAACAGCUCGACGUCCCUCGUCCACCUCCCCGGAUGAGGAUUCGUCGUCCAUCUCGCCGUCCAGCCGGUACAGCCGCCCCGUCCUCCACCUCCAAGGAGCUGCUCCAACGAUCGCCUCAUCUAUCGCGGCUGCUCCAUCCCCACAGCGCUGCCUUAACCUGCUCCACCAGAACCGCAGCAUUCUCACCGACUCCUCGGACGAAGCUGAGGCCUACUCGGCACCACCAAAGAGGUUGUACACUCAUCGCAUCGCACCUUCUCCUUAACUCGACCUCCCGGCACCGACGGUGCUCCAUCCUGCACCCCCAUGGAGCGGCUACCUUGAAGCUGGCGCCACGGGCGACAUCUCCACGAUGGCUCUCCCCCAGUGCGAGGCCUCUUCGGCGGCGGCGUCCAUACCAGCCGGAUCUGCUGCUGCUGCUCCGGCUCUUGCUCGAUCCCUCGCUCGCCCAGCUGCUGUUGUUCCCCCCCUCGCUCGUGCUGCUGCUCUGCUCCGAUUAAGCCACACUUCAGUCGACUGAAUCGACUUUUGGGUCAGCCAAUUUUCAGGGGUUGGAGGGGGGGCUCGCCGGAGUUAAGGAAGAACCACCCGCAGUGGGAACGCGGGCUCGCCGGAGAGGUACCCCACUAUCUAUCUUAGGGUUCAGGGUGGGGGGCGGGGGGCCUAGAGGGCUGGCCGGGGUGGCGAGUUGUUUCGGGGCGGCGAGGCGGCGUUGGGGCCGGCGGUUCGGCCGGUGGUGGCUGGCGGCUCAGGGGGUGCAGGUUGAAGAUGAACUGCAGGCCCUCCCUAAACUACAUGUCAAGUGCCUCUCUGCUACGAUUGCGUUCAGUUUCGACAAUAGCAUUCAGAUUCCACAGUAAAUUUCAGUUUCGAUAGUUAAGUUCAGAGUCAACAGUUUUUACCUCAUCUGUUCUAGUCAGGUGGUUUUUGGUGAUGUUAACUUUACAUCCAUUUUACAUCAUCUAUUGGAGAUGCUAUUAGAUCCCACUUGAUAUUGGCGAUGUCUAUCUUGUGCUGCUUCAGCCUUGACGUCUUACGGCUCACCGGAGCUGCUCCAACGACAGAAAGAUCCAUCACAACAGAGCAGUGCCCUGGACGCCGUCUACAGAUUCCUUAGAUCUUCCUCCACACCUCCGACAGCCACGUCUGCCUCAACUGCUUCAGCGACCAACCCAAUGAUGCUGAGGUCAACACGGUUACGGCAAAGAGGUUGUACACUUGUUGCUUCACUUAUUACUAUACAUUCACGUCGAUCCAUUAGGGCUAUUUUGGUUCAACGGAAAAACAUAGCAAUAGGGAAUUUUCCAAUGGCACUCUACUAUUCAAUUAUUCAUGCAUUUUGUUGAAAGGAAUGAAGCAAAACAUCCACCUGGACCUACUUUUCAAAAUCCUAUGCAUGAAAACAAGACCAAGUGCAUUAGUGCCAGAAUAACAUUCUAACUGUACACGCUUUCAUAUGGUUUCUCUUUGUUUUGGUCAUGUUUCUUUGCAUUCCUCUGCUCUUCCAAUUCCUGUAAACGAAACACCCAAGUUGACAGAAAUCCUGUGUUUACAAAUGAUCUGUUUACCAUGUGCAUUUUCCUAUCCUAUUCCGGUGUUUUUCCUAUCCCUGCAUUUUAAGAAUCAUGCAAGCAAAUGAGCCCUUACAGAAUUACUUCAGUCACAGGUACGUGUCGAAGGGAACUUUGUGUGGUUUGUCCUGCUCCUGCCGCGACGUUGUCCACCUCACCUGAGCUGCUCCAUCGACAGAAGCAUCCACCAAACCAGACAUCACGACUCCUGACCAUCUUUCGCCGCCUCAGAUCUCCUUCCCUGCCGCCGGCACCCACCCCAAUGGCGUCACCAUCAUCGACUCAGCAGAUGAACCUGAGGAGUACACGGGUCCACAAGAGAGGUCGCACUCUUUUGUUUCUGCUUAUGUUAUGCAUUGCUUAAACUUACCUGCUACUUUUCGUCCUGUUCAGCUCUUGGACUCCCAACUCAGAUCCAAAUUAAUGUUCAAACUUGAGUUCUAUAUUAGUUGUGGGGCACAUAUCAAGGCAGCAAUGAAUAGUAUGUCUGUCUAAUAUCUGGUUCACCUAGGGUAUGCCUAUGUUGUUCAUCUUGGGUGGGAAACAAAUAGUAAAGCAUUCAUCAUCUGUCUUUUUAUUAAUUUAAAGCAAUCAUCAGCCUGCUAUCAUUAUUUUUGGAUCCAUCCACUGGUUGUUACCAUCACUCUAAAUUUCUGCAUGCCCUCUGAGGGAGUCCGGGACUAGGGGGUGUCCGGAUAGCCGAACUAUCAUCAUUGGCCGGACUCCAAGACUAUGAAGAUACAAGAUUGAAGAAUUCGUCCCGUGUCCGGAUGGGACUUUCCUUGGCGUGGACGGCAAGCUUGGCGAUACGGAUAUGUAGAUCUCCUACCAUUGUAACCGACUCUGUGUAACCCUAGCCCUCUCCGGUGUCUAUAUAAACCGGAUGGCUUUAGUCCGUAGGAUGAACAACAAUCAUACCGUAGGCUAGCUUCUAGGGUUUAGCCUCCUUGAUCUCGUGGUAGAUCCACUCUUGUAACACACAUCAUCAAUAUUAAUCAAGCAGGACGUAGGGUUUUACCUCCAUCAAGAGGGCCUGAACCUGGGUAAAACAUCGAGUCCCUUGUCUCCUAUUACCAUCCGCCUAGACGCACAGUUUGGGACCCCCUACCCGAGAUCCGCCGGUUUUGACACCGACAUUGGUGCUUUCAUUGAGAGUUCCUCUGUGUUGUCACCGAUAGGCUUGAUGGCUUCUUCGAUCAUCAACAAUGACGCAGUCCAGGGUGAGACCUUCCUCCCCGGACAGAUCUUUGUAUUCGGCGGCUUCGCACUGCGGGCCAAUUCGCUUGGCCAUCUGGAGCAGAUCGAAAGCUACGCCCCUGGCCGUUAGGUCAGAUUUGGAAGUUUGAACUUCACGGCUGACAUCCGCGAGGACUUGAUCCUCGAUGGAUUCGAGCCACAGCCGAGCGUGCCGCACUGUCACGAUGGGCAUGAUUUAGCUCUGUAGUCGGACAGUAUCCUGGAGGCCGCACUUAAGUCUGCUCCGAUCUUCAAUUCGGAGCCGGCUGUGCAGAUUGAGGAUGGAUGGCUAGACACCGUCUCGGGGGCUGCAAUCUCUAUGGCGAUAGAGCCGAACACUAAUCUGUCCCUCAUGAAGCCCGUGACUCCGAGGUGCCGGACUCCUCGCCGGACUCCGAGCCUCCCGCACCCCCUCCAAUCGAAUCCGGUUGGGCGCCGAUCAUGGAGUUCACCGCCGCGGACAUCUUUCAACGCUCACCUUUCGGCGACAACUUGAGUUCGCUAAAGUAUCUCUCGUUAUCAGGAGAGCCCUGGCCGGACUGCGGUCAGGACGGUUGGGAUGCGGACGACGAAGAAAUUCAAAGCCCACCCACCACCCACUUAGUAGCCACUGUCGACGAUCUAACCGACAUGCUAGACUUCGACUCCGAAGACAUCGACGGUAUGGACGACGAUGCCGGAGACGACCAAGAACCAGCGCCUAUCGGGCACGGGAAAGCCACCCCAACUCACAACGUAUACAUGGUGGAUACACCAAAAGGAAGCGAUAAUGAGGAACGACGGGACGUGGCGGAGGACAACUCCCCCAACAAACAACCAAAACGGCGAUGCAAGCGCCGCCCGAAGUCCCGCCUCGAUAAAAACGGCACCCAUACGGACCCGGCCCUAGAGCAGGGCGAAGUAGUGGACGGCGAACAUGCCACCAAGCAACCAUCCGAAUAUGACGAACUGGGCAAGCAACCCAUCCCCGGCGAAAACAAGAGCCUAGACGACCUCACACCGAACACAUCACCAGAGCAUAAGAACCUUCAUAAAAGGCUCGUCGCUACUGCAAGAAGUUUGAAGAAGCAAAAGCAGAAGCUCAAAACAGUGGAGGACGCACUCAGAAUGAGAUGGAGCAAAGUACUCAAUACCGCAGAUAAAUAUGGUGCCAGUCGCCAGGCAAAGAGCUACCCGAAGCGCAAGCUGUUGCCCGAAUUCGACGAGGAGGCCUUAGAGCCCCCGCAGUCAAAAAAGAAAGAGGCCGCCUGGCCGGAUAGAUGACCAGAUGACAGGCUAAGAGCAGCAAGGGGCUCCGCACACAAGCCGGCACACGAUCAGCAUAAAGAUCCUCGGAAAAAGGAUGACCCGGUCAGGUCUAUCUAUGGGCCAAAAAAUAAGACUCCAAGAAGCAACACAACCCGCCGAGCGUUUGAAGACAAUGGCACACCCAAAUACAGGGGCGCCGCACACCCACUAUGUUUCACCGACGAGGUACUGGAUCAUGAAUUUCCAGCGGGAUUCAAACCCGUAAACAUAGAGGCAUAUGACGGAACAACAGACCCCGGAGUCUGGAUUGAGGAUUAUAUCCUACACAUACAUAUGGCCAGAGGAAACGAUCUCCAUGCCAUAAAAUACCUACCCCUCAAGCUCAAAGGGCCAGCUCGGCAUUGGCUCAAAAGCCUCCCAGAAAAUACCAUUGGAAGUUGGGAAGAGCUCGAGGAUGCGUUUCGAGCAAAUUUUCAGGGGACUUAUGUUCGCCCUCUGGAUGCAGACGAUUUAAGUCACAUAACUCAACAGCCCGGAGAGUCAGCAUGCAAAUUCUGGAACAGGUUCCUCACCAAAAAGAACCAAAUAGUCGACUGUCCGGACGCCGAAGCCUUAGAAGCCUUUAAGCACAACGUCCGAGACGAAUGGCUCGCCAGACACCUCGGCCAGGAAAAGCCAAGAACAAUGGACGCACUAACAAGCCUCGUGACCCGCUUUUGCGCGGGGGAAGACAGCUGGCUAGCUAGAUGCAGUACCAGCGACCCGAGUACAUCCGAAGUCAGGGAUGGAAAUGGGAAAUCACGACGCAGAAAAGAUCAGCGCCGGAAUAAGGAAAAUGGCCCAAAUAGCACGGCGGUCAACGCCGGAUUCAAAAGCUCUCGGCCGAAUAAUAAAACACUGCCCCUCAAGGACAACAGUGACGAGCUAUCCAACCUAAAAAAAAUUCUGGAUAGGCUAUGUCAAAUACAUAGUACCUCCGGGAAGCCUGCAAACCAUACCCACAGACAUUGUUGGGUCUUCAAACAGUCCGGCCGACUUAAUGUCGAACGCAAGGGGCUCGACACACCAAGCGAAGACGACGACGAACCCCACAAGCAGCACGCCGGAAAACAUAAGACUUUCCCACUAGAAGUCAAAAUAGUGAACUCACUUCAUGUGAUAACACGAAAACACAGUGCGGCACCUGCCAUACCAGGACACCGUCCGCAGAAUUGGGAUAAACCCUACCAAAAUUCGCCGUAGCAGCACUUCCUUCAAAGGAGUGACGCCAGGCCUUUAAGCCAAUUGAACAGGCUUUGUACCACUAGAGGUUGUGUUCGGUUCAUCCGACAACCUCCGUCGCGAAAAGCUCACUCCCCAUAUCGCCCCAUUUCACAGUGGCCCUCAAGCACUACGGGAACGCGAAGCUUUCUCCCGCUUUAACACAAUGACACAUUACGCGUCUCUUACGCUUAAAAUGCCCGGUCCACGCGGCAUAAUCUCAUUAAAGAGUAACUCCGAGUGUUCCUCGACCACGGAGAACGUGAGGCCGCCUUGACAGCCACACACUAAUCCGACCUUGCAGGUCAAAGCCCCUAAAAACAGGUCAUUCAGACCAUGGACACGGUUAGGCGAGUCCGGCGUAAAUAAACAAGGGGCUUCCCAGCCGCAUACCCCUUUACAAGGGGUUGCGCGUAUAAACGAUGAGAGCCAAUAAAGCUCAACUUUAUUCAUCUUCCAAAUUAUACUUUAUUUUAAAUACAUCCUUUGCACGCUAUUUCUUCCAAACUAAGUCCUUCUCUUUUACAGAUGAAGCACAUGCUACACCCAUCCAGGAUACAGCACAACGGAGACACAGGCGCAGACGUGCAGCAGGGACCCGUUGCAAGGAUUCUUUUCAGAUUAAGACCCUGCGUAAAUCUUUCUUACUGUCUCUUGUUGAUACACAUCCCCCGGUUUUCUACCAUAACCGAGGAGGAGGCUGGCGUUUUGGCAUCGGCCGCGUCAGAAGUUCCCACCCGUACCUAGACACUAGGGGCUUAGGGCAUUGUUCUGCCCGGUAUCAUAAAGACCGAACACCUCAGGGAGUGUUCAGCGUCUCGAGUUAGGCCUUAUAUGCAUCAGCUCCGAAUCAUGUCUUUGGUCAAAUGUUGGGUUUGCCCGGCUCCUGUGUUUUGCUGCCUUACGUUCCGCUCCAUCGGCUAACACGGCACCAGGAGAACUACUGCGAUUGUGCCCCGGUUCGGCCGGGCGAGCACCUCAGUAGAGAAAGCCAAAAACUGACUGUCAUGAUAUAGCGAGAGACUGGUCAAUCACUCGAUCGACUAUUGGAAUGUUUAGAAUUCCUCCGCUUUGACGAAGGACCGCUUCCCAGUCAGGCACAUACACGCCCCGAGUUCGGAGAGCGCGGUGCCUCUAGGGGCUAUAUAGUAGCCCCACCUUCGAACUCCUAUGGCUAAGUGAAAGUGAUAAAGCAUUAUAGUCCGGUUGCCUAGUUUGCUACGCUAUCACCUCCUUCAAAAGGACCAAGACGUUGGAUUAAGUGUGAAAAAGCGCUUUUCUUUUUGCAAACACCCCUGCACCAUGUGCGUGGGGGCUGAAGCCAAAGACUGCCAUCUUUCAGGUUAUACAUACAUAUACGGCCGCACAGGAGAUAGUUCAAUACUUGAACGCACAAGUAUAAAAAGCUAUUGCAUUAUAAACAUGAUCUCACAAAUCAUACACGUCAUUUGAACAUGAAAUCUUUCGAGCACUGCGACUCUAUUAAACGAGCGCCCUGCAGGACUUCCUCAAAAUAGUGCUCGGCGGGUAAUCGGCUUUUGUCCGAACCCCGGGAUGCAACAGCGGUGGCAUCCAUGUCCACCCAGUAUGUCUUCACACGGGCGAGAGCCAUCCGUGCACCUUCUAUGCAUGCCAAUCGCUUCAUCGCCUUGAUAUGUGGCACCGCCCCAAGGAAUUGCUGCAACAAGCCAAAAUAACUCUUCGGCUUGGGCCUUUCCGGCCACAGACGAGCGACCACAUCCGUCAUGGCAAGUCCGGACAAUCUAUUCAGCUCAGCCCACUCAGCCAGCCGAUCAGCCAACAGGAGUGGACGCUCCGGACUAUGGAAUUGAGACCAGAAAAGCUCUUCCAUUUCGUGAUCCUCCUGGCUUCAGAAGUGCACGACUGCGUCCGCCGCACUCACCGCCAAAUCCAGAUAAGGAUCCUCCGCACCACACAAUUGGCCCAACUGAGCAUACUUCGGAUCCGUAAACUUCCUACGCAGUAGAAAGGGCUUUCCAGCCGCAAUGUCUCUGGCCUGACGCAGUUCCUCCUUCAUAGCCCGCAUCGCACCACGGGCAUCCUUGGCUUCGGCGGCGGCCUUCUUCAGGUCCUCUUGCUCCACUCGGCGUUCUCCUUCAAGAACCUCACAGCGGUCGGUAGCAUCUUUCAAUUUCAAGGCCAUUCCGGCCAUCUCUUCCCUGCUUCGGCAGUGAGCAGCCUUUUCGGCUUUUAGCUCUUCCGCUGCCUUCGAGGCAGCCGCAUCACUUUUCCUGGCUUGCUCCUUGGCUCGAGCAAGCUCUGCUCGAAGGUCUUCCACAGCAGCGGCACCAUCUGCAUCAAGCAUACAAAUUGUAAGGAAUGAGCGUUAGCUCCCUUACUAGGCGACCGCGGAGCAACCACCUACCUUGUGACUCAUCAAGUCGUUUAUUGACCAGCGCGAUGUCUGCAUCCGCAACAUCGAGUUGCCUCUUCAGCUCGGCAACUCCAUAAGUCCGGCUGGCCACCGAACGUUUUGCCACCUGCAUAGGAAAGGCGACAUUCUAUAACUGAGAUUAUGAUCCUUGGCACGCUGUCGCUUUCGAUAGCAUACCAAGUCUCAGGGGCUACUAUCUAUACAGGGCGCACUUCAUGUGCAAAACUGUCAAAAGGUAUGUCAUUUUUUGCGUACCUCAAUCCCCAUCAGCAAGCUUCCGACGGCCUCAUACAACCCGCUCUCGGCGGAUGAGAUCGUUUCAAUCACCAUACUCAUUAAUGUGCGGUGAUCUUCUGAGAUAGACGCCCUCUUGAGCAAAUCCUGCAGCUCCACCGGCCGUACUCCAAUGGGUGCCGGACUCUCCGGCCCCGCCGGACUCGGGGAGACCCUCCGUGACGACACCUCAGGGUCGUCCGCCCCGCCCGACGGGGCGGCAGAUGGAGGCGUUUCGCUCUCCAUCAUCUCCGGACGAAGGUCCCCCAAAGAUGAGCUCUGCUGAGAUGGGAUGAGAUUCGAACUACAAGGUGAAAACUUCGGUUACCUUAGAAAUAAAGCAGGGGUGUCCCCUAUUACAAAAUCCCCCCUUUUUUUACUUACGGCUCGCUGGAGGGCUGAUUCCUCUGGGGAGACUGUGCGGCUGGGGCUCUUCCCGGCGCAGGACCUUCCGACGCAGAUUUCCUUCCCCGCUUUGAGGCCUUGGCCUUCGGGUCUUCGUAAGCGGUCCUCUUCUCCCCCUGGAAGGAGGAAUUCUCGAUUCCCCCCUUAUUGAAGGCCUCCUUGGCAGAGGUGGUAGUUUCCCUGUGCCCCCCUUCGCUCUCCUCCAAAGGCGCAAACUCCAACAUUUUGACUAACACGGGAUCCGGCGUGGUCUCAGGGAGGGGGGGCGAACACCGUAUCAGUUUUGCUUGCGCUAUCCACUCCUGUCCGAGGGAUAGCUGGUUAAAAGGCAAACCCAUGAUAAAUAAAUGGACAAUAUGUCCGAACACAGGGCUACUUACUUGAGUAUCCGGGCGAUUGCAGCUUAGGCCAGCGUCCUCGGUCAAGUCCGGACGCAUCUCUUGUGAUUCGAAGAACAGUUUGUACAUCUCCGCGGGUGUCAAACCCAUGAAGUGUUGGAGAGCUCGUGGCCCCUCCGGAUUAAAUUCCCACAGGUGGAGGGGGCGACGUUUGGAGGGCAGAUGGCGCCAGAUCAGCAUAACCUGUGCCACUACGACCAGAUUAAUCUCCCUUUCUUGGAGGCCUCAAAUCCGGUCCUGCAAUAGGGGUACGUCUUUGGACGGCCCCCAGUUAAGCCCCUUGUUGACCCAUGACAUCAGCCGUUGUGGAGGGCCCGAGCGGAAGACGGGCGGCGGCCUCUGCCUGCUGCCCCUGGGAGCGGUGAUAUAGAACCACUCCUGUUGCCACAUGCCGAGCUCCUCCUGAAAAGAGCCCUCGGGCCAUGGAGCAUCGGCCCUCUUACUUAUAACCGCCCCGCUGCACUCUUCCUGACGCCCCUCGAUCAUCUUCCACCCCACGUUGAAGGUUUUGAGCCACAAGCCAAAUUGAGGGGUAGUGCGGAGGAAGGCUUCGCAAACGACAAUGAAUGAUGAGAUGUGGAGGAUGGACUCCGGAGCCAAGUCAUGGAAUUCCAGCCCAUAGUAAAACAUGAGCCCCCUCAUGAAGGGAUCCAUCGGGAAGCCUAAACCCCGACGGAGGUGAGACACGAACACGAUGCUCUCGCUGGGCUCGGGAGUAGGAAUAACUUGCCCUCGGGCAGGCAACCUAUGCGAAAUCUCGUAGGUCAAGUACCUGGUGUCUCUCAGCUUUAGCACGUCCUCUUCCGUGACGGAAGAGGGCAUCCACCGACAUCGUAGGUAGGAGCCGGACAUUAUCGAAGGUCGAAGGUACCCGAAUCUGGAGCCCUGGGUGUUGGAACUCAGGGCGAGGGGCGGAUUCGAUUGAGGAUUGAAGAAAAAGAACGGGCCUUGGUCUCAUUAUAAAGAGGAAGAAUACCAAGAGCCGUCCCCAUGACCGUUUGGAGCCCGUCUUCGAUGGAGGGGGCGUGGCAUUGGGCGCGGUUGGGUUACCCACGUCCGUAUUUAUGAGAACCCCGGAAUAAGGGGAACACGAUCUCUGCUUCGACAAGACGUGCCAAGGAAACCGCUUCGCUAAACACGCUGAGAGCCGGACACUGUCCUGGUGUUCACAAUCUUCCAUAAAUUAUUCGGAGGAGGAACCCGCCUUGCAAUGCCGAAGACAAUAUGCGCGCCGGACUCGUCGUCAUUGAAGCCUGGUUCAUGGGCUACUGAGGGAGUCCGGGACUAGGGGUUGUCCGGAUAGCCGAACUAUCAUCAUCGGCCGGACUCCAAGACUAUGAAGAUACAAGAUUGAAGACUUCUCCCGUGUCCGGAUGGGACUUUCCUUGGGGUGGAGGGCAAGCUUGGUGAUAUGGAUAUGUAGAUCUCCUACCAUUGUAACCGACUCUGUGUAACCCUAGCCCUCUCUGGUGUCUAUAUAAACCGGAUGGCUUUAGUCCGUAGGACGAACAACAAUCAUACCAUAGGCUAGCUUCUAGGGUUUAGCCUCCUUGAUCUCGUGGUAGAUCCACUCUUGUAACACACAUCAUCAAUAUUAAUCAAGCAGGACGUAGGGUUUUACCUCCAUCAAGAGGGCCCGAACCUGGGUAAAACAUCAUGUCCCUUGUCUCCUAUUACCAUCCGCCUAGACGCACAGUUCGGGACCCCCUACCCGAGAUCCGCCGGUUUUGACACCGACACUCUCCUUACAUAAUCUCACCAUAUUUUUUCGUAUGCAUGUCAUAUAUUGUACACAGUCAUGUUGAACAUGUAGAGAAAAAGAGAAGAGUUUUGCGCGGCAAUACAAUGUCAUGCAGACAUCGCUCCAUGGUGGGUUCAAUGGCAAACCCUCCCCACCCCUCUCCAGAUUGUAAUCCAGAGGAAGGUAUCUUUUCUGAGGUGGAUUCAGACGCCGCUGACCACUCCUAUUUACCCCCCAAGGUGUUUGCUCUACCUUGGCAUGAUGAUGUUAGUCAUAUCAUGCAUAUGUUGCCUUGCAGUGCCUACUUUUCACAUCAUAUAUGACAUCUGCUUAGUUUAGACAUGUUCUGUAAUGCCACCUAUUUAGUUUCUAUAUCAUAUAUGGGAAUUAUGCAGUCUCAUGUCUUUUAGCCAGCCAUAAUAUAUGUGAAAUGUGCAACGCCAUCCUGUUUAACCAGGCAUCAUAUAUUAGAAUGAUAUCUUGCCCAUCUUUUUCUUCAUUACAUUUCCAUUUGUCGAUAAUGUUUGUACAUUAAACUACUCUUCCUGUGAAUCGGCCAUUUGGGUGGGAGAUGGAAAAAUCUAGAGUGAAAACAAGGCCUUCAGAGCAGACAGUGCUACCUGUCGAAGCAGAUCUCUUGUUGGGUCCCGAUAGCUCCUCAGAGAUGGAUUCAGAGACAGAUGACCAGUCCUAUUCCCCUACUGAGGUGUAUGCUCUAACUUGGCACGGUUAUACUGCUCAUAUCAUGCAUACGGUGUCUUGCAUUGCAUAGUUUAGACAUCAUAUACACAAUAUUCAACACCAUGUUCUUAGUUCAGACAUCAUAUCGAAUGCCCUCUGUUUAGCAUAUAAAUCACAUAUGUGAAUUAAAUGAUGCGAUCCUGAUUACUUAGAUAACAUGUAGGUGAAUUAUUUCAUGCGAUCCUGUUUAGUUAUUCAUCAUAUUUUUGAAUUAUGUUAUGCUAUGCUAUCCAGUUUAGAUAUACAUCAUAUAUGUGAAAUUAUGUCAUGCUAUCCGUUUUAGUUAAACAAUAUACAUGUCAACUAUUUCAUGCCCUCUUUUUUCCACACUAUCUAUUGCAUCUGUCUCUCAUACAAUGCCUGUACAUUCAACUAUGUUUCUUGUUUAUCAGCCAUUUGAAUUGGAGCGGGUGAUGCCAGUAUCUAGUGGAAUAAAAACACGGUCUUCAAAUAAAACAGUGCUACCUCUUGGUGGAGAUAGCACCCCGGUUGUACAUGCACAAGAACUAGCCCUACCACACAUAACCCAAACUCUCGCAGAUUGUACCCCUACUGCGAUGGACAGAGAACCAUCUUCACCCAAUCUAACCCCAACCCCAGCCGAUAGUAACCCAGUUCCUGUUGACACAACACCAUCUCCACCACAGAGAUCCCAAACAAGAGCAGUUAGUAAGGCAGCUCCAGUGCCCAAAGGGCCAGUACUAUCAUGGCGAACCCCAACUCCACCAGUUAGUAUCCUGUGGAGGAAGCACAACCAGCCAGUCGUAGUUUAGCAUCUAUCGCAUUUGAUGUUGUUAAAUCAUAUGUGCGUAUCUUCCCAUCUUGGAAAUAUUAUACUGAAGAUGAAGGAAAAUGCCAGUUGCAGGUGUUUGUCCAGGAGUUAUGUGUAAGUAAUGUUAUUCAUGGCAAUUACUUUGCUUCGUCCCAUACAUCCUACCUACAUGAUGGUUAUAAUACAGCAAAUUUUCUCAUUUUUCUCUAUAGAGAAGGACCGAUUUGGAAACUCAGGAUGAGGUAACCUGUGCUAAUACCUCUACUAUCUUCAAGAAUGCUUGGCGGCAGUAUCGGAAUUACCUGAAGAAAACGUACUUCACCGGCAAAGAAACUCAUCAAAUUCCCUUAUGUUCUCCUGAGACACAUUUACUGGACGAUGACUGGGAACGCCUUGUUCGGUACUGGUCCCGAACCAAGAAUGUGGUAAGGUUUAUGAGCUCAAUUUCUAUUUUUAAGUAUUAUAUUCUUGCGUCUUACUGUACUCUGUUCAUGUAGAACAAGUGCCUAAACCUGAAGAACAAUUGUUCUAAUUUAAGAUUCCAUUGCUAUCAUAGUUCAAAGAAGCGCUAGGCGUUAAUUGUGCGUUUUGCCACCGCCUUGCACUUUACUGACCAAAGCACAUGCUUAUGCGUAGUUAUGCACAGAUUAAGCGUAGUUAUGCGCAAUGCGUUUUGCCAAUGCCUAGAGCCUAGGCGCACUUAAGCGCUCGCUUAGGCGCGCCUUUUUUAACUAUGAUUGCUUUGCUCUUGUAUCACUGUAUUUACUGAUACAAACUUAUUUUUAAAUUGAAGGAUCCAAUCGAAACUCCAAUGGCACAGCAGGUAUGUUCACGCAUGUUUCGUUAACAGGUUUGCUCUUAUCAAUAGCUCUUUUGAUUUCAAUUUCAAUUGUGUAUACAGUUGACUUUCAUACCAUGCACAUUACUAGCAUCACAACAGAGCCACUAGUGUUGUUGUACAUGUAGACCCGUGGUACCCAUCUGAAAUCUUGUUGUGCCGUGUAGUUUCCCAUGCUUUGUAUUCUUUCACUGCUGCUUUGUCUGGAACUGAUAUGAUUUGAACCGUGUCUCUAUUUUGAUUUGGAAAGACAAUGCAGUGACCAUAGGACAUAGAUAUAUGUUUGUUUGAUGCUUUUAUUAUGUACUAGUACUUGGCAAUAGAAGACUUGGUAGUUUAAUCCUGUCCACCUUACUAAUGAACUAGUUCACCGAAAUGAGUUUCAUAUACUAGUACAUGCUAAACUUGUUAUGUGUCUGCUUGUUUCUUCUUUUAGAAUGCUGACAGAAUAUUGGGGAAGAGUGCCUUAUUAAGCAAUGGUAAAGGAAGUAAUGCAGAUAAGGUUCAGGAUAGUGACACAUCCUUGUUGGUCUCCAACAAAGCUGAUAAAACAGCUAAGGAAGACUAUCUUGAAGACAGCGAGACAACCCCAAAGUCCUGUCUUGGUUUAGUGUUCGAGUUACUGGCCACUACCGCAUGCACAAGCUAUUCAAACUCACUGUCUGAAUCAGUUCGGUUUCUUGAGUCUCAACUACAAGCUGAAAGACAUCGAUCAGCUGUGCUGUGACAAGAAGCGGAAGGACUGCGGAAGUCCCUGGAGCAUUCAGAUGCAUACUUUCUGGUGCAACAGCAAGCGUUGGAGGAUUUUAGCGCCAAACAGGACAAAGCUAAUCAGCUUGCUAAGCUUAUUGCCAGCAUGGUGGAUACCCAGGAUAACGUUUCUUGAGCUCUUCUGAAGUUGUUUCAGUUAUGCUCUUGUUUUGCUGCCGUGUUUAUUUGCACUGGUGGCCAAUUUUGAUGGCCAGUGUAUGUAAUAUGCUGCUUUUUUCCCUAUAUUUGCACUAGUGGCGAACUUUGAUGCCCAGUGGAUGUAAUAUGUGUAAUAGCGGUAAUAGGCUAGCCUUACUUGCUUGCUUAUUUAUUUCCUUUAUUGUCUUGUUUAGUUGUUUGCUUGUAGUCACUGAAGUUCUUUUUCUGUGUUUUUCUAGUGGCCACAAUAGCCUAUUUUUGGUAACUAGGCCAAAAUAAUCAUGGCAACACAUGGACUGUUGUAACUAUAGGCCUCCUGCAGGCCGUAUGAUCCAUGGGCCUUCGUUCCGCCGUAGGACCAUUGGCCUUCUAUAUGGGCCGUAGGAUCCAUCGGCCUUCUAUACGGGCCAUAGGGAUCAAUGGGCCUUCUACGAGCCGUAGGGUCCAUGGGCCUUCUACAGGUCGUACGAUCCAUGGGCCUUCUACGGGUCGUACUAUCCAUGGGCCUCAUACGGACCGUAGGAUCCAUGGGCCUUCUACGGGGCGUAUCAUCAUUUCGACAAUCAUGGGCCGUACUAUUCGUGGACCAUAACGGCCCGUUAAUAGGCCGUAUUUGAUAACUCUAUGAAAACAGCCCAACGAGUUUUUUUACAUGAAAACGGCCCAACUUAUUAACGGUCCGCAAAUGGGCCGACUGUAACGACAGACUGAAUUUGGCCCACAAACAUAAAAUGACAGUAACGGGCCGUAUGUAACCGAAUGUUGCAAGUGAGCCCAAGAAUCAAUGGGCCCUGAGAAGGCCGGAAGAUAACUUGGGCUGGAAACGGUCCAAUGGAAUAACGGGCCAUUAAUGGGUAUAAAGUGAUACACUGUUCAUUACGGGCCAGUUUCACCAUGGGUCGUUAAUGGGCCAAGAGUUACAAAGGUCCUCAUAUGGGCCAAAAGAAGUCAUGGGCCACACAUGGGCCGAAAGUUAAAACGGUCUGAAUCAUAUAGGAGAGCCCAAAUGACGCUACUGGGCCUAAUUCGGAUAGGGCGUAAUGGGCCCUGGGUUAGCAGGCUGUAAAUGGGCUAUAUGCGAACAGGCCAUUAACAGGCUUUCCGUGGGCCGGCCCGCCACCUUUUGACCAAGUCAAACGGGUCGGCCUUUUCACAGGAAUGGGCCUCUAUUGGGCCAUGCCACAUGUCGCUGUAUCAUAGGCACCUUCGGUCCAAUGAGCGGAUGACAUCUGUCCCAACGGUGAGCCGACACGUGUUUCCUCCAGCCAAUGAUGAUUUUACACGUGGAAAAUCCCCAUUGGUCAGGGCUGUUAAUGGGUUAUCGGAUCCAAAACCCGACCCGAUAGAUUAACGGCGUUCCGUUACGGUGGAUGCCACAUGUCGGUCACCCUUGACGAAAGCACUUAUGUGACGCGCGAUUUAUUGUCAUGGAAGUGGACACUUCCAUGAUGAUAAUUUUGGUAAUGUCAUGGAACACUUCUACGACAGCACAAGUAUGACUAUCUUGAUUCUGUCAUAAAUUUGUCAUGGAUGUACAUGCAUGACAAAAAACUUGACCUACUGUGACAAACACGUAUCAUCACGGAAGUGUAUUUUUUUGUAGUAUAGGGUCGAAGAUGAGGGAGAUCUUCGGGGAGAAUAGCAUCUUGGAUGAUGAAGAGAGCAUUCUCAUUGAAUUGAUUAUCCAUGGCUUCUCUAGGGGUGAAGUUGCUUCGGUCAUUUGGAUAGAAACCUUCUUCAAUGAUUCUCCAAAUAUUAGUAUUCACAUGAUUUAAAUGACGCUUGAAGCGAUACACCCAAGAAUCAAAGUCCUCAUUUUUCACAAUCUUAGGAGGAGGGCCGGCAUGAUUUAAAUGAGUAGAGGGAAUUGGUCCUCCAUAAGUUGGAGGUUCCACAUGGCCAAAGAUGUCGGUGCCAUUUUGACCACUAGUAGAAGGACCCUUUUCACUAUUAGCUUCCCCCUUGUCGGAGUUAGCAUCUGUCACCUUGUUAGUGGGAUCAUCCACUUUCAUAGGCGAGGUAGAUAGUUUAAGUCCUUCUAAGAAUUUAUUAAACAUGCUUUCAACCUCGGUCAUCAUGGAGGUUUUCAAUGUGUCCAAAGCCACAUUAAAUUCCUCACGAGAGACCGCGGUUCCCCCAUCGGUCAUAGACGAGCUUGAAUUCACACCGGAGUGCUCCUCCCCCCAUCUACGGUGUCAACCAUACUCUUCGGACAGAAAAGUCCUUAAUAAAGAGACGAGGCUCUGAUACCAAUUGAAAGGAUUGAUAUAGUUGACUAGAGGGGGGGUGAGUAGGCAACUAACACUAUUUAAUCUUUUCUUUACCAAAUUAAACUUUGCAUCAAAGUAGGUUGUCUAGAUAUGCAAGUAGGUGAGCAACCUAUAUGAUGCAACAACAAUUAGCACACAAGCAAGCAUGGGAUAUAACACAAAAAGCUUGCACAAGUAAAGGCACAAUAUAACCAAGAGUGGAGCAAGUGAAGACGAGGAUGUGUUACCGAAGUUCCUUCCUUUUGAGGGGAAGUACGUCUCCGUUAGAGCGGUGUGGAGGCACAAUGCUCCCCAAGAGGCCACUAGGGCCACCGUAUUCUCCUCAUGCCCUCACACAAUGCGAGAUGCCGUGAUUCCACUAUUGGUGCCCUUGAAGGCGGCGACCGAACCUUUACAAACAAGGUUGGGGCUAUCUCCACAAAUUAAUUGGAGGCUCCCAAUGACACCACGAAGCUUCACCACAAUGGACUAUGGCUCCGCGGUGACCUCAGCCGUCUAGGAUGCUCAAACACCCAAGAGUAACAAGAUCCGCUAGGGAUUAGUGGGGGGAAUCAAACUUAUCUUGGUGGAAGUGUAGAUCGGGGCCUUCUCACCCAAUCCCGAGCAAAUCAACAAGUUUGAUUGGCUAGGGAGAGAGAUCGGGCGAAAAUGGAGCUUGGAGCAACAAUGGAGCUUAGGGUUGGAAGAGGUAGUCAACUAGAGGAAGAAGACACCCCUUAUAUAGUGGAGAGACAAAUCCAACCGUUAUCCACUUAGCCAACCCGUGACUUGUGGUACUACCGCCCCAGACCAGCGGUACUACCGCAAGGGAUCACGGUACUACCAUGAUGGACUAUGGUACUACCGCUGCUACAGCAGGCGCUAGUCCAGGCCAGAGCCGCAAGGGCUGAGAGCGGUAUUGCCGCUGGCGCGGUACUACCGCUCCCCCUAGCGGUACUACCGCAAGGCUGGAAUGGACUAGCCUGGGAAGGGCGCGGAUGAAUAAAAAUACAUCCGUGCCUACUUCCGCUAAAAAUCAGAUCGUGCAAAAAUCCGACACGGUACUACUACACCUGACGUGCGGUACUACCGCACAGGGAGCGGAUGUAAAAAAUUACAUCCGCCCCUACUUCCGCUCAUGUUGUUGUGCUAGAUCAGAACCACGGUACUACCGCGCGCAUGGGGCGGUACUACCGCGCAAGGGCGCGAAUGUAAAAAAUUACAUCUGCCCCUACAGCCGCACAAGCGGCUGGGUCUGGUCAGAGGCCACGGUACUACCGCUCCUUACGAGCGGUACUACCGUGGGCACCUACGGUACUACCGCAACGGCGUGUGGUACUACCGUGGGGGCCUGCGGUACUACCGCUCUUAAGAGCACUAGUACCGCAUGCCUCAGAACAGCAACACUAGGAAUCCUUCUUUUUGCAAAAAUGAAGAAAAUGGAAGAUGCUCCAAAGUGCAGAGGGAAAGGCGGUGUAAAGGAAGAAAACGUGUACGUGAUGAUUCCAUCCGAACCUUUCCAACGCGGACCCCCUCUUAAUAGUACGACUUUCCUACGACUCACACCACCGAAAAGAACCGUAGAAAAGCGCCGUCUUCAAUAGUCUUCGAGGGGCACCAAACCAUCUUGUGCCUAGUGACGAAUUGUCUGAGAUACUCAAGGCACACGAUUAGUCUGCAAAAGCAUUGUCAUCAAUCACCAAAACACCUUAGGGAUAAAUAUGCCCUUACACUUGGGAUCUCGAAUGACCAGACCUUGGUCUACGACAAGAUCGGAUGGAAAGUUGAUGGUAGGGAAAUUUAUAUCCCACCCACCUAGCCGCUACGGUCGAAGAUUUAACCGACAUACUCGACUACGCCUCCAAUGAGGCAACCGACAUGGAUGCAUAUUUCGGUGAUCUGCCUGGCGCUCCCAAAUCCAACACCGACAACUGGACGACUACCUCCACCUAUGACAUCUACAUGGUGGACACACACAAGAACGAUGAGUAAAAGGAGGGGAAAAGGAUGCCUCCAGAUGCUGACAAAAGCGUGGUAAACGCACUGGUAGAGGAGACGCCGGUAACAACAAUAUGGGCAGUGGCACUCCUGGCAAUAAAUACCAUCUCGGAUGGUGCCGGAGACUAGGACACUAGCGAUGGCGCCAAUGGCCUGGCCAAUGGCGACGACCCCAUGCCCGAUCAGGGCGACGACACCACAAGAAUGGAGGACUCCGAGAACCUUUAUGAUCCCAAUGAUAGCAACUAUAUGCCUGAAUCAAAGAGAAUGUUAGCCUGGGUCUGGAUGAGUUCGUGGUCCUCGAGGAUUUCCUCGCUUUAGAAGCUUUGCAUCGGAUGCUCAUUGCUUCUGCCCACAGCAUCAAGAAGGGGCAUGAGAAGCUUAAAGCCAAUCAGGAUACACUCAAUGACAAGUAGGUGGAGGUCCUAGCAAUCGAGGAAGAUAUCGAGAAAAGACAUGCGGACCAAAACAAAUCCUACCCAUGACGUUGUCUACUUCCAGCAUUCGAUGGCGAAGUGGACGACAACCUACCCUAUCAGCAUAAUCAAGCUGAUUAGCUGAACCGCCCUCCUUGGGGGCGGAAUAGACCUAGGGGCGGGCUUCGAGACCCCCCUGCAAUCCCUCACCGUGAAGGCAGAAAUCUGAUCCCGUCCGCUCCACCAUAUGAUUUGCGCGGUAAAUUGACCGCACAGCCUGCUCCGUCACGAUCCAUUUAUGGGCCGAGAGACCGCACACUACGCCGAAUAUCAAGCAUGGCUUGACAAGCAUGACAGGACCCGAGAUGAUAGCCAUGCUCAGACAACAACAAACAUCCGACAAGCCGUAGCUCGGGUCCGAGGAUCGGCACACCCGAUGUGUUUCACAGACAAGGCCAUGCAACAUCAGUUCCCUGAGGGCUUUAAACCCGUCAACAUCAAGCAAUAUGACAAAACAACUAACCCAGCUGUGUGGAUCAAAAACUUCCUUCUCCACAUCCAUAUGGAUUGAGGAGAUGACCUCCACGCCAUCAAAUACCUACUAUUGAAGCUUAAAGGACCAGCGAGGCAUUGGCUCAAUAGCUUGCCCGAGAACUCUAUCGGCAGCUGGGAGGAGAACCAACUUCCAGGGGCCCUACAUUCGGCCUUCGGAUACCGACAACCUGAGUCACAUCAAACAACAACCUGGCAAAUCUGCCAGGAAAUUUUGGAAUCGGUUCUUGACCAAGAAAAAAUCAAAUCGUUGACUGUCCAGAUGAGGAAGCAAUUGCUGCUUUCAAGCACAAUGUUCAGAUGAGUGGCUGGCCUGACAGCUCAGACAAGAUAAGCCAAUAACCAUGGCGGCUCUCACCGCUUGCAUGAUACGGUUCUGCGUAGGAGAAGACAGCUGGUUGGCCCGCAACGCUAGCCAUGUCGACGACCCUGGCAUCUCCGAAGUGUGCGAUGAGAAUGGGAAGCAGAGACGCAACAAGGACAACAAGCGUCGGCAUAAAGGCAACAAUAGUGACACUGAUGAGGUGACUGUGAACAGGGGCGGAGCCAGGAUUUGGACAUGAGGGGGGGCGAAAAGCCGACGUUCACAAAAUUCAUGGACUAUCACAAUAUUUUAAGUCUCACGAUAGCGUUGAUGACAAAUCAUAGAAUAUUUGUUUGAAACUACAAAAGAAUAGUACAUUUUUUUUAGGGGAGAAUAGUACAUUUCUAUUAACUUACUAAGCUCUACGACCACCAAUGUUGAACAAAUUGAUAACGUGAACUCCUGUAUGUUCCUUACCAUUAUAGAAAAUCAUGCAAUGUCGAAGAAAAUCAUUUUGUUUCAAAAACCUGUGUUGACUAGGCGAAGAAGUUCGUUCGGUUGUCACGGCCUACACUAGAAGAUUUAUGACCAACCAUAGUAAUCUAUCAACAAGUUAGUAUGUUGUAGUUUUACUUGUUUAAAAUUAUCCAACGGUCAAAUCGGCAACCGAAGACGAGAUUUUUAGCUUUAAAUGGUUGCAAACAUCUAGCUAGAAAUGGGCAAGUUGAUGGACGUGGAGUAAUUAAGCUCGAGCUCAAAUGAGCUCGUUAUCCUGGACGUUCGACAGUGCAUCUGGAUCUGAGCCAUCUGUUUAUACGAGCGUUGGAGUGGCGCUAGAAAAAUGCACACUGUAGAUAAAUACAUUCGCAACAGGGCUGAGGUUGGGCCAGAGUUAACAUUGGGGUCGGCGUCCGUUAGUCCCAGCGGAGGUGGGACGUGGAUCAGAAUCUCGUGUCCCUGCUUGGUCCAUGGCCCUGGAAGUUAGCUUUUCCGUCGGGUGGGGACAGGCAGACAAAUUGAUUGCAGGAUCCAGAGUGUUCUCUGCCCAGAGCGGUGCUCAUUUGGAAACAGGGGAGUCUUCGGCGGAGAGAGAAGAGCGCCGGCGGCGAUCCACCAUGGAGUUUCCGAUGCAUUCAAGCGGCAGGUACGUAGAUCUUUGUUUCCCUGGUGGUUUCGUCGCAAAUCUUACCCGUAUGGCUUUGGUGGCUGAAAGGAUUUGAUUUUGGCUUGAAUCAGAUCCAGUGUCCUUGAGGAACUAGGAGAGAGCUUGGUGCAAUGGUGCCGGCCGCUGUAGCGCCUGGGCUGAGGGGAGGUGCUACGGUGGAAGAGCAACAGGUGUAGCAGCCAGGAGCGGUGGAUAGCGCUGGUGUGCAGGAGGGAUAACCGCCUGGUUGGACCAAGAGGUUAGUGUUGGAUUUGUAUUUCAAUCAGUAAAAUAGGAAUUUACAUAAUAGUUGGAAUGAGUGGGUAAAUCCUGCCAUUAGAACAACUAGUGAUGUUGCUGUCAGCAAGCAGAACCGUGUUUACUGAACCCAGGCAGUUCAUAUGAGAAAAAUGUUGAUUGUCGAUUUGAGGGAGUUAAUAUGUGAAUUUGCUACGUUUGCAGUGAUAUUCAGGGAAUCAUGCUUACUGCCCAUGAGACAUUUCAUAUAAGGAAAUGCUGGUUACUGAAAUCCAGGCAAUUAAUAUGUGAAGUUUGAUGCGUUUGCAGGCUGGGGAUUAGGGCUGAGGCACCGAGAAGAACACCCUGCCCAAAUCGCGUCAGUGUGUUUGAGAAGGCUAUUCGGAGUUAUGCCGACAACCCAGCCGAGAAUGUGAUCACACCAGUGCUUGGCACUACUUUCAGACUCUUUAGGUUAGGCUUAUGACUUCUAUAAUUUGUACUCAUGGGCGAAAGGCUUCGGCAUCCGAUAUGAGAAGAGCCGGCUGAAUGUCGAGAGGACGAAUGCAUGCAGGAAAUAGUGUUAAUUUAGUUAAUCUCAGGAAGGGAGUGUCGUGCGGAUGGCUUUAGGGAGGGACAGAUCCCCACAAGUCUCAGAACUCUCCACGGUGAAGAUGAAUCCACAUGCCCCUGGAUGGAACAAGAGGUAAGCCUGAUGCUUGUUAGUUCAUUCCACCGUAGGACAUAGGAGGCGAAUUCAGUAUGACAGGCAGGUGGGAUGAUUUAGCGUAGUAAUGGAUGUGCAAAAAGAAUUUAGGUAUGGCCAGGUAGUUGGUGUUGAAAAACCAUCAUGUGGAAUGGAAAGGAAGUUUGUGUGGGUUGUAGUAUGGUGAAGCACAUGCCAGUUCCUGGGCUGAAAAAAUUGUACAGAUGUAGAUGCAGGCAAGUUCUGGCAUUCCUGUAGGUAAGAGCCACAAAAUUUUAGUUGCAUUGCUAAGGCAUGUUUUGAUUGAUCGUAUUUGCUGUCAAAUUUAGUAUGUUCGGCCGUAAUGAAGCAAAAAAAAAGCGGCUGUUGCAGAUUGAGGACUGGAUGGAGCUGUUGCACCUAGUAGAGCCCCGUGUCCAUCGCACGUCAGUGCUUUCGAGAAGGCAGUGCGCGGUUAUGCUGAGAACCCCAGUGCUGCCGUAUCUUUGAGUAUGAUUCUCUUUGAAUAAUCAUAGGUUUGGUCUAACUGAGGAGUUCCCAGACUACGCUCGUUGUAGCUAAGAGUGGCAGACUGUCAUCAUGCUGACAGAGGAUGGACGGCUUUGUUUGGCCAGAGUCGAAGGACUCAAUCUCCAUCUGUUGUCACUGAUGGCGAGCAUCGAUGGGCUCGUAAUAUGGACACAUGAAAGGCUCCUAGAUCUCGAGAAGUUUCUUGCGCCGGAAGUGGUGGCGACAUGUAUCUAUGGAGUACAGUAUUCACCUCUGGCAGCCUAUGGUUCUAUGGUCUGCUGUAAGUCAUUUUUAUACUGAGAUGGGCAAAGAAAUGCGAGAACAUGUUUAACUGGUAGAAACUGUUCUCCUAGUGUUGUUUGAACUUGCAGAUAUGUUUUUGCUGAUUUUUUUGCCUAACGAGUAGCUAAAAUUGGCUCCGCUGAUGAAGUUUACAACCGCCUGUGCAGGUACCUAGGUCAUGUUCUUCGUCAUCGUGAAGCACAACUUACUCAUGCAGGGUGCUCAAUCUCUUGCCAUGCCUGGUGAUGCCGUAAAUGCUAGGCAGUCAGUGUGGCUGAAACAAACUUGUACUGCCAAAUAUCAGCAUCAACUUGCAAAAAUGCGACAAAAUAAUCAUGCGAUGUCAUCUUUAGUGAUUUCUACAGAUGUUAUCCGACUGUGAGUUGCUUGGUAUAAUGCAUGUCAUCAUGUCAGAUCGUGUUGAUGAGAAGUGCCUGUUCAAUUUCAAUGGAUAUUUGUUUAUGCAUUGUGCUUUCUAGAUAUGUGUUGUUCUAUACUCUGCCAUUGUGAUGGCGAGGCAGUUCUGAUGCCAAAAAUUUGUGCUGCUGAUUAAAAUCCUAUGAGGAUGUUACACUAUGCUCUGCUAUCCGAGGGUUCGAAAAUGUGAUGGUUUUUUUUUUUCUCCAAAGAUUUAAAACUAUGUUUCAGGCUUUCAGCCGGAUUUAGAGUUUUGGGUCCAUCCCGAGGAGUGCUAGCAUUCCAACUUCAGGAAUAUAUCCCCACCUGCAUCAGGAAUCAACAGAUAGCAAAGAUGUUUGUGAUCCAUCCCGACUGAUGGUGUUCGUUUACUUGUGUCUCUGUCCUCCCUAUAUUUCAGUGAACAAUUUUGCAUAUUUCUUGUUGUGCAAAAUGGAUCCAGGUGCCCGUGGGCUAAAAUUGUGAUAAUAUUCAACACAAAUAGAUGUCGAGAGGUAGAGGUAGUGUUCCAAAUGGAACUAAGAGGAGAUCGCGACAGCACCACCAUUGCUGGCACACAAUCAACUCAUGAUUUCAGCACACAUGGAUAUUAUAUUUUUGCUAAUUUUCCUUUUAUCAAUCCUACACCCAAGGCAAAAAUUGCCGUCUCUAACUCGCCUAAGUCGUAACAGCCAUUUCUUGCUGAAAAUUAUUAGCAAUAGCGACGUCCAAAACUACAUCAAGCAGUACAGCUAUGAGGUUGAUUGCCACCAAAGCAGGCCGCGCAUGCUGGAGGUUCGUCAGUGCUGCUUGCCUGGCGGUGAACAUGGUGCUCCGGUGAGAAGAUUGCUUCAGGCUCCUGAAAAGAUCUGUCCCAUGAAAGCCUACGCUGGAGAAAGUUGGCACCAGGAGGGCUUGAAGAUCGUACUGAGGACCCACGGAGAACUGAGCGAGCUACUUAAGUAUCAGUAAAUUUCAGGAAGCCGCAGAGCUCAGCCUGCGAAAAAUGCGAAUCGGCUAAAAGGGGUCAAAAGUGUUGAUCGAAAAAAGCAUAUAAAAAAACAGUCAAUUUUUUAAUUCAACAUUACCACUUUGAUGACGCACUUGUAGAAACGAGAUCCAGGUCUGGCGCCGUCGACGGAGACGAAGGAGAUGGCGCGCCGGCCGCAAUCUGGGCAUGGCACCACCGCACCAGCGGCAGGAUUUCUUCAGGUGCUGACGACGGAAUCAGUUGAGCUGUUGGUGCAGACGGGCGGGGAUCGCCAUUACGGGUCCGAACUGGAACAGAAUCCAUGUACGCGGUACAGGACGUGGGCCCCGACCUGAGCCAUCAACCACAAUCCCUACGCCGUCUAUGCACGGUUACUGCCAUGUGUGGGCCAGGAUCAGAAAACAAAUUUCUUUACGUUGCUCAUACGGAGAAGUAUACACACGGGAGCGUGGAUCUCGGUGACUGCGGAGGGAUGGGAUAUCGGUCGCAUAUGAGCUCGAGCGCAGGUAGGCACUUUCGCAAGUUGAUACUCUAGUUGAGUCCGUUCUUGACUAGAAAAUACUAUAUGAUAAAAAAAUCCAUCAUUGUGCAUGUAUUAGACACAUCAAAUAAGUCAUUUUUUUAGAAUACACACAAACAUGUCAUUUAUUAAAGAGCAGAAAGGUCACACAAAUAAGUCAUGUCGUGGGUUGAAAAUGCACAAGAUACUACAGUUCAUGAAAGCAUGAUAAUUAUUAAUACAUACGUGUGCGUAGUGUUACCUGCUGCCAAUAUAUUAAUCAUGGUCAUCUAGCUCCGACUUCUAGCUGUAUUCAUAUUCAAUCCUGCCCAUCGACAUUGGACAAGAUCCUCGAUAGGCCUUGGCGCCUUGCCAAAUUAAUGGCACCUCAGAUAAACCCGCAAAUCACUCAACCCAGAACUUAUGGGUUAUAAAGCAGGCCGACAAGAUCGCAGCCGAUAACCCAGGCAAGGGCCAGCCUCGUAGUGAGGAUGAGGAUGAACCCCCAAGGCCAAACAAUGGAGGCCAAAAUAAUUCCCUCCCAAAGUAAAGGAUGUAAACAUGAUUUAUGUUACUCACAUGCCUAAGGAGAGGAAGCGAGCACUAGGUGAUGUUUACGCAUUGGAGCCCGUAGCGCCAAAAUUCAACGCCUGGUCGGCUUGCCUGAUCACUUUUGACCGAUGAGACCAUUGACGAGUGAUAUUUUUACACUCAUUCACCUUUGUUCAAACCAAGAUAUUUUAUUUAAAAAGAGGUAUUCGCUCUGACGACUAAUGAAUGCAAGGGCUCCACAAAUCCUCUCUUUGAUGUGUUUUCAUAGGAAAUGGGCUAGAAAGGGAAGAAGUCACGUGUGGAAAAGGAAAGGAAGGAGAAUGGAGGAAGAAGGAAUCCACAAAAGGCGUUUAUGCGGAAACAGAGCAAAAGACGGUGUUCCAUGCGCGCUUGUAUGAGCACCCGUAUGGCAUGAAAACUGAGGCAGGUCAUCCACCUGAGCAACUUUUAUAAAGGGGACCAUCUUAAAAUACAACGAGGGAGGCCAGAACGGAGCGUCUACAACAACCACAUCACCAUCAUCUUCAUCCCUAGCCGCGGCCAUCUCCAUAGCCACCAUCACCACUAUAGUGCUUCCUCAUUUAGUUCAUACUUGUAAUCGUGCAUCGCACAAUUCAUCCAUUGUAUGAUUUGCAAUCAAUCAAUCUUCAAGAUGUGUCCUUUAGUGUUUUCUUCUUGCGAUCUGAUCUACAUGCUUGAGUAGUUCGGUAAGGUAUGGAAUGAGGCAUGAGCCUUGCAACUCUCUAUAUUAGUCUCUUUUCUCUUGUUUGAUUUUGUGCAAAGGAGCAUAUACUCAGAUAAAACUACUCUACCUUUGGUUGAAGAUAAUCUUGACGUCCAUACAAGGCUCACGUGAACACCAUCAAUGUUUGACGUGUCACAACAUCACAACAAUCGUAUACCAGAUGGUCCAGGUGAAACGCAUCGUGAACCAGCCACAGUAGAUCGAGUACAAAAUAGAAAGACAAGAGUUAACUCGUGAAUGAAGAACGGUGCGGCAAGACGCGCGUCACACUCUGGCCCCCUCUUCUUCACGCCGCACGCAUUAACACACGUGACUGCUGUGUGGCUCGCAUGAACACCACCGGUGGACACCAAUACUGCGACGUGUAACAACGUCACAACAAGCUCCGGCCAGAUGGUCCAGAUAGGACGCACCGGGAGCCAGCCACAUUAGACCGCGGGAGCCAGCCACAUUGGACCGCGUACCAAAAUAGAAAGAGAAGAGACGAAGAGCGGCGCGGCAAAGACGCGCGUCACGGUCUGGUGUCGUCCAACGCACAACGUAUACCUCACAAGUCCGGCCCGCUGACAAAUCUCCGGUGCGGUCCGGUCCGGUCCGGUCUUCCCCGGCCCGCGCCUCACGCAUUAAAAGCGCGCGCGGCUGCUCCCUCACUUUCAUAGUACUCCAUAUCUACGUAGACUACUGCAGAUCACCAACUCAUCGGCGCGUCCGAGGAAGGAAGCAAUGGCGGAGGUGAGCAACAAGAGGGUGAUCCUGAAGCGCUACGUGACGGGGUUCCCCUCCGAGGAAGACAUGGAGCUCGUCCCCGCGACGGCGCGCCUGGCCGUGCCGCCGGGGUCGGCCGCCGUGGUGGUCAAGAACCUCUACCUCUCCUGCGACCCCUACCUGCGCAGCCGGAUGUCCGGGAACGACGAGCCCAGCCACGUGCCGGACUUCGUCCAGGGGGAGGUACUGCCGUCCUUUAAUUUGUUUUAACCUAGCAUCAAACUUGUUGGAUCUGUAGCUUGUGGUUCGCAUGAGCAGAACUUGCAAUAGCUACUCUGUUACUGUUUCACGGAACAAGGGACAGCCGACAGUAAUCUGAUCGGCAGUUCUGUACAUGGAUUCAGCCUUUUCUUUUUCUAAUCUGAAUUUUUCCCCACCUGAAGCUGAAGGCAUGACAAUUUGCUGCCUCCGUACGUGAACCCUGCCAGGUUUUAACUACUUUAGGCGUGAGCAAGGUGGUGGAAUCCGGGCACCAGGAUUACAAGCCCGGUGAUCUGGUGUGGGGAUUGACAGGAUGUGAAGAGUACACUUUGAUCACGGACCUGCAGUCACAUUUCAAGAUCAACCAUCCUGAAUUGCCGCUUUCAUACUACACAGGAGUUCUUGGUGAGUUCACUUUUAUUUGUCACAAGUUAACCAGGUCUGGUUAUCAUUAUACUCCAGUAAUUUAUUUGCUAUUCUGAAACCGGAAAGUUAUGGUUUCAUUUCUUCGUAGACCUUAGUCUGCUAUAGAAUCAAUCAAAUGUAACCUUGGCUGCUAUACUGGCUAGUAUAUUUUCUCUGACUGCUGGAAACUUGAUAAUUCAGGCAUGCCUGGCCUUACUGCCUAUGUUGGAUUUUUUGACGUGGCCAAGGCAAAGAAGGGCGACUAUGUCUUUGUGUCGGCAGCGUCAGGUGCCGUUGGACAGCUUGUCGGGCAGCUUGCCAAGAUCUCUGGCUGCUACGUGGUUGGUAGUGCCGGUUCUGAUGAGAAGGUUUGUGCCUACUCAUUUGAGCACAUCGCCAGACAAUGAGUAGUUCUGUUCAUACUGAUGUAAUUAUGUCACUGCUGUUGGCAAAACUUUCUAUUUUGUUGGAAUAAAUUUGCCUUCUCCUCAGGUCAACCUCCUAAAAACAAAGUUCGGGUUUGACGAUGCCUUCAACUACAAGAAGGAGCAGGACCUGGACGCCACACUGAAGAGGUUAAUUGCAGGGCCCUUCCCUAGCUACCAUAUACUCUUGCGAUUCUUCUAACUUCCAAUGAACAGGGCCAGAUAAUAAAGAGUUCUGCGUGCCAUGAUACUUGCUUUCAGGUGCUUCCCGGAGGGCAUCGACAUCUACUUCGAGAACGUGGGCGGCGCAAUGCUGGACGCGGUGCUUCUCAACAUGAGGAUGCACGGGCGGGUGUCGGUGUGCGGGAUGAUCUCGCAGUACAACCUGGAGCAGCGCGAGGGCGUGCGCAACCUCUUCUGCAUCAUCACCAAGCGCAUCCGCAUGGAGGGGUUCAUCGUGAGGGAUCACUACGGCAGCUACAGAAAGUUCGAAGAGGAGAUGGCCGGCU